rnacentral:lncRNA from 1 species
AAUCUUCUACUUCGGCAGGGCCCUAGCUUGGCAUUUGCUUUCUGGACACUCUUCCUUCACAUGGGUGCUUCCUUGAUGGCUUUUCACUUUUGUCGUUGGUGGAUGCGGGUGUAGAUUGUGGUUCAUCUGGCCUUCUGUGGCCUCCCGUUGCUUUCCUUUUCCUUUUGCCAUUAUUUUGGCUGUUUUUGCUUUCUCAGGCCCGCUCUUGCGGUCCUCUUUUGCAUUCGGCUUCCUUUCACUUACUCUGACUGUUGUCUUAUUGAGUGCAAGUUUUGUGGUGCUGAAUCUUUUGUAAUCAUUGGUUCAAGCUACAUAUUCUUACCCUUUACCAAAAAAAAAAAAAAAAAAAUCAUGCCAGCAAUAUUUUUCUUCAAAAUUUAGCGUAAAUGUUCAAUUUCACAUUAUAAAAGAAUAUUAUGUGCACACGCGAAGUAUAUUUAAAUGUGAGCGUAGAGUGAACUAAUGCAAUGUUUUUUGCCCAAGCCCAAAGUCUUCAAUAUAUUCUACAUGCCACUCCAUGUAAGUAAGAAGUAAGAACAGCACAUGAUGCUUGAAAAAUCAUUGUGAAGCAGUACCAGGACUUACUACUUCAGAGCGAAAUUGUAAGAGCAAGCAGUUGCACCUACAUUUAACUUGUGACUUCAAGUACUUUUUUUCCCGAUAAAUGAAGAAGAGGGAAUACUUACAUGGUGAGCAACUAAAAUGGCAAGCAUGUACAAUUGCAGUCACUUUUGGACAUAAAUACUCUAUUUAUAAGAAAUCCAAGAGAUCAGUGUGUCGUGUAAUAUUAGCCUUAAUCUAUUAUACUGGUGAAUGCACUCGAUCCCAUAAAAGCACCACUACACAAAUCUAGUCAAGCCCAUAAUCUUAUUCGCCUUUCAGAGCACCCUAUAAUUAAAAGAACCUGAAGUUGAAGAUGUCAGGACUGGUUUCACAGGCUUUUGCUUAGGGUUAAAGUACCACUAAAAAAUCAACUUGAAAAUCUUUUGCAGGUUUUGUAAGAGAGAUUAAUUAUGCUUUAAGUUUCGAUUCAAUGAACCAUGAUUUGAAAUGCUUCUUGAUUAUGGCAAUAGAUAGGUAACACAUUAUUUGUUCCCAACUAAUAUAAUGCAUUUCAUAUGAAAUUUCUAGUUUUUUUUUUUUUUUUUGGUGACCCAAGAUUCAUCAGGCCUGACUUUCGCUUACGCUAAGCCAGCCCACGGCCCAAACAAUACGCGGUAUACCUUGGACCAAGUGUCAAUAUCUAAGGGGAAUAGCACAUGACCUCACCACUAUGGCCCCCCACUUAAGACGUGUUAGCAGCUGUAGAAUUUCAACCCUAGAACCUCGACGAUGAAGUGCCCAAAGCCGAACCAACACAGCUGCCCACCGGUGGGUUGAAAUUUCUAGUUUUUGCCUUGUGUUAUGGUCAUAAACUUGAAACAUGGAUCUGCAUGAUUUGUAAGAUAGCUAUUAUCACAUAGGAUACAUAAAAUAGUCUUAAUUCACGUCUAAGUGGUAUAAUUACAACGAAUUGAAUCAAACAAGGUAUGGUUUGAAAGGCUUCACCCUUUUCAACUUAAGUUUGGUUUUCUUCAACAAUUUUCCAAGCAAACAAAUUUGUUUGGAAAAGAUCUACUUCGAGUAGAAUAAUACCUAACUGCAUAUACACUUAAUCAUCAUGCCCCGAGAAUUAGUUAUGGAGAUCAAUCCCUAGAAGCAGCCUUAACACCUCUAACACUUCAAAAAAAAAAAAAAAAACACUACACGGCGUGUUCAUUUCAUAUCAAUGUGGAAUUGGGGGGAAGGCUGAACUGCUACUUGUCAAAACCAGAAGGACCAAACAAUAUCAGUCCCUAGUCUCACUAACAUCAAAUUAUGUUUUCAUUCCCCAAGACAAAGUACUAACUUUCCUAACAUGUGAAGUAGCUGGGGGUGAUCAGUACUUGCAAGAUAUUCAACAAUUCGUUUCCUCAGAAGAACCAUUAAGACAGAGGGAGUCCAACUCCAAUGCCACAGCGUACACAAUGAAUGCCUUUGAUCAGCUAAUCCCCCACACCUAGCCAUUUGAUUAGGUACACCCCAGUGCAUUGACUAUUCAAACAAAUGCGAAAGAGAAGAUUUUAUAGUUUCAUACUUCCUUUCCUCAGCUAAUUUCAACUAGGAUAUUUGAAUAAAAGUCAAUGUUUUUAAAAAUUGUCCGAAAAUGAGAACUAGAUUGGUCAUCAUCGUGGGUUAGUCCAUGAUCGAAGGGGAAUAGCACUGAACACUUGACCAAAACCAAAAAUGGUAGGAAAAAAAGCAGAAUAAGAAAAAAAAAAAAAAACCCAUGCCAUGAUGCUGUCUAUUUUUCACUUCACAAACAUACAGCGUAUAUAUGUGCAUGUGCCCUCAUUUUGGACAUAAGAAUGUCAACAUGGCUCAAUCACGUUGCCCAUCUAAAAUCAACUCGAGAAAUUAUAAAAUCGAUAUGUGAACGUACUCGGAAUUGCUUGAGAACUCGUGAAGCCUUCCUUUCUGUGAAAAGAUGAUCACGGCGACCUCGGCGUUGCCGAGGACCGAGAGCUCAUAAGCUUUCUUCAGUAGCCCAGUCCAGCGCUUUGAGAAGGUGACUUGCUGGCUCGUCGUGUUCUCAAUUCGCCUCAUCUGAACUUUGCCUCUCGCCAUGAUUAAAUUCUUCCUACAUACAUGAUGGUUAUCAACCCUAAAAUGUCAAGUACUCAAACGUAGCGAUGAACAUAACAAAUAUACCUCAACGAUCAAAAAUAAUAACUCACCAGGACUUUCGCAGCGUCAACCAGCUCAAGAUUUAUCUUUUUAUCCACCUCCUAUUGUCUAGACUUUAGACUGAAAUUCUUCAGAAGCUAAAAACACCGCAAGACAAAUCACACUUCUUCAUCUUUUUCCAAACAGACACGAACUAUAUCAUCAUUCGAACACAAGCAAAAACCACAGGAUAAAGAUUUCACAAUCAAAGGUUGGAGAAUUAUAGAUUUGCCCAGGGUAUUAAAUGGGGAAGCUUCUCUACUCUACGCACAAAAAUGAACCACAAUAAAUUCAGACACCCUACAGAAGGCAAAAACCAAAAAACUGGAACGAAAGCAAAGGAUAUUUGGCAGCUCACGGAUCUCUCUUUAUUUUGUGGCUACGAACAUAAAAAGCAAAAAAAAAAAAAAAAUCAUUACUAUUCCAAAUUCAACGAUCUUCUACUCAGGGCAAAUAUGGUGUGAGAUACCCAUCAAAAGGAAAUACAGACAAAAAGGGAAAGAGAUAAGGAGGCAAGCAAAGCAUUCAAGUUCGACCGAAACGGCAUGGUCAAUUUCGUAAUGAAGAGUCGAAGAAGCAGAAGGAUUGUCUCGUUUGGAUAAAGUUAUGAAAAAGAGAGUAGAGAGAGAGAGAGAGAGAGAGAGAGGGAGGGAGAGGAGAUAUUAAGUUUUUUUUUUAAAGAAACGUGUACAUGGCCAGCGGGCUUCAGCUUCGGCUGUUGUGGCCUGUGGGACAUUCGAAUGAGAGAGCACUAAGAAGCGAAACGGGUGAAAAGAAAGAGAAAAAUGUCGUACGAUGGCCAUAAAUUGUGGACAUCAUCGUACCAUGGCGCGCGCUGUUAACGAAUGGGACGUUCACAACUGGGAAAACAUUAUCCCUCACUUAAACUCAGUGAGCCUCCACUCGACCGAUGGAAAGAGGCUCUGUCCUUUUCUUGGGCCUAAUAGGAACAGCCUCGGGGCUCUUCUUCGAUCGGUUCCUCUCCUAAUGGGUUUACAAGCACUAGGAGUACUCGAAAUUAUUACCAUGAUAUAUUCAUGGAUAAAAUAAAUACAGAUCUAUCCUUUAGCUUAUCUUUUCUUCAUGUUCUUCUCAUAAUUCCUCAUUAUUUAGGGGCGUAAAAAAUACCCGAAACUUUUCGAUUUGGAUAAAAGUAAAGAAAUUCAGGAAGUUUGACGCUUCAGUUCAGAUUUCGGAUUUUUUUUUCUUAGGUUAUGCACAUAAGAGAUCAAAAGCUACUGAUUAUGGUGCACUAAUCCAAAAUCACUUAAUUUUCUAAUUAGGAAAUGUGAUUUUGGACAAAACUAUUAUGUUUUGAUAGAAUACAAGUAGAACAAACAUAUCAUGAUAUCAAUAAAAUGGUGGAGCUUGGAGACUUCAGAAACCUUAGAGAUAACAAAGAUUGUGGCUGCAGAUAAAAUCACAGUUCCUAAAAUUGGUGAUAUUAAACAGCUAAAAUCAUGAGUAGACAGAGAAGGCAAAUUAGGCAACCGAUACAUUAUGAUUAUGUAUAUAUUACUCAUGUAUUGAUUUUAAAGUGAUAAGGUAGGAACACAUUAGCAUUCGUCUUACUUUGAGGCGAUAGCUACUGUUGAAUCAUUACAAUGGUUAGAGGUUAUGAGUGAAUGAAUGGAAUCACUCCAUUAGAACUAGACAUGGGAGCUUGUUAAAGUAGCCAAAAGCUAGAAUAUCAUUGGAAACAAGUGGAUCUACAAAUGGAAGGAGAGUAUUAAGGUAUAAGGUGAGACUUGUUGCGAAGGAUUGUACACUAGGGGUGUGCAACUGGAUCGGGUGAACCCGAUUCUCAGACCAACCCGCCCAAAAAACAGGGUCGGGAACUGGUUCUCAAAAUUCAGGACCGGUUCCAAGGGAUUACCCACCCGAGAAUCGGAUUAACUAGAUCGGUUUGAGAACCGAUUUGUAAGCCAAUCCAAAAGUCCAAAACCCUAAUUUGUUUCGCUGUUUCUAUCUUUACCUCUCACACCCGCAGACUUCUUCACAGCGUUUUCCCCCAUCACGCCAUUGCCAAAACCAACUCCCCCUCGCGCUGCUUCCUCAUCUACGUUCAUCUGCUUCCUCGUCGCGCCAUCGCCAUAUCCAGUUCCCUAUCGUGCUGCUUCCUCAUCUACGUUCAUCUGCUUCCUCGUCGUGCCAUCGCUAGCUCGCUCCCAUCACUAAGCCCCUCGCUAGCAAGAAGCUCGUCUACAGAUGUAAUGCCCCAUCAAACCCUUACUCAUUGUCUCAUGUUAACAUGCAUUCUUGCUCCCUUUCUCAUUUCCGUUGGUUGGCGAGUUGAUGAUGAGUUUUGGGUAUGUGAUUCGUCGGAUAUACACCGUCUUAUGGUCUCAGCUCAUUAUGAAACCUAUUAAAUGAAACUUUAGCUAGAAUUGGGUGCAUCGAAAUGCCGGUUCUCUUUGUCGAUAAGUUGGAUAUUCAUUGCGAAUGGCAAGCACAAAGGAGCGGGGUGGGCAUAAAUGGGUGUGCUGCAUGUUUGUGGUUCGAUUGAAAUUUCUUUGGGCUGACUAUUGGCAUGUCCUUAUGGUUCUUCUUGAUUGGCAGCUGCUAAAGACAAAUGCUUGAAAAGAGGCGUGAAGGAGGUUGUUAAAAGCAUCCGGUGCGGUCACAAAGGGUAUGAAUUUAUCCUCUCUUUUUUUUUUUCUAGUUUGAGCACAAAUGCCGGUCAAUGCAAGGUCGAAUGAAAUCUCUGUAGUUGCUUGGAGCCAGUCUUUUGUUCUGCACAGCGUUGGCUAGGGAGUGUUUGGGUUGUUAUUGAGCCCAGAUAUUCGAAAAGAGAUUUGAUUUACUAUGAAAACUAAUAUGUUUUUGUAGAAUCCAUAAUUUUUUUUUUUUUAGUUUUCAAUCAAUGGAUUAAGACAAAGACAUAUCAAUGGAAUAUGGAAGCUGUUUGUGUAAAUCGUCAGUGGAUUUUCGGUUGGGAUUCACUUUGUAUUUCAGUUUUGAGAUUAGAAAAGUUUUAUUUUCUUUGAAAUCAAUUAUUCUUCUGGUUUAAAAGCAUGCAUGGUGAUAUGUAGGAACUUUUGGAUAAGAAUGAGAGUCAUUAGUAUUUUGAUUGAUAGUGUUUUUAAUCGCUAGUUGUGGUUUUUAUGUAGAAUAGGUUGUGAGGUUGCUGUACAUAAUUUUUUAUGCAAAACAGAUUCCAAUAUAAACAAGGUUGACCUUGGAAUCGGAUCGGAAAAAUAGGGUGAGUCGGAUAUAGGGUCCAAUACAAACAAGGUCGAUAUAGGGUCUAAAAAAUGGAAACCGGUUAUAAUAGAGUCGGGUACAAGGUCUAGGUUUAGACCAUACCCACCCUAGACACAAUCACCCCUAUUGUACACAAUGAGAAAUCAUCAUUGAUUACAAUGAGGUGUUUUCUCCUAUUGUAAGGCAUUUUGAUAUUUGAAUAUUACUUGUCUUAAUUGCUACACAAGAUCUUGAACUAGAAUAGCUGGAUGUCAAUAUGGCAGUUUUUUUAUGAUGAGUUAGAGGAGCGCAUUUAUAUGAGGCAACCAAAAGGAUUUGUCAUUCCGAGUAAGGAAUAGCAUAUUUUUUUAUUAGAGAAAUCUUUUUGUGGGUGAAAAUAGUCUCCUAAAUAGUGGUAUAAUCAUUUUGAUAUUUUUAUGACUAGUCAAGACUAUUCAAAAAUCAGUUAAAUGGCUUACUUUAGAAAAUAGGAGGAUAGAUAUUUGAUUUAUCUAUUAGUAGUUGUUGAUGACAUAUUGAUAAUAGUUAAGAUUUUGUAUGAGAUUGAUGUGUUGAAGAGGUAGUUGACUACUAGAUUUUAGAUGAAAGAUUUGGGUACUACAUAAUAGAAAAAAUGUCAAAAACGCUUAUUGGAUUAAUUGUAUGAAAAGCUUUUGUUUUGAAUUGCGCUAUGAGUUUUACUUGCAAUCAAGUUGUUUAUUUAUAAAUACUCUAGGUGUGGGAAACAAUCGAGCAUGUAAGCAAUUAUUAACUCUAUGAUUCUCCAAUAAUUAGUAGAUUUCUUGUUAGCUCUUCUCGUUAAGAAGUUACCAACACAUAGACCAAACCACGUAAAUUUUUAAUGUUUUUUCUUCCUGACUUAUUUCUAUGGGGAUUUUGCAUUUAUUUAAUUCAUAAGUUCCAAUAUUUUCCGCAUUAAAUUUACAACAUUUUAGAUGGACAAGCCACCAUAUCAAUUAUAAAAUACAAAAGAUGAAGACAACAUAGCUAAUGCAAUGUGGAAUCAAAAGGACACUAAAAUAGCACAAGACCUUUGAAUAAAUCACAUAUCGAUAACAUGGGCCCUUAAUUAAAUUGCAUAUCUUUAUUAAUAUAUUAAGCCAAAGCACGCUCCUUACGCAUAUGACCAACAUGCCCCAUUUAUCAUGUUUCCACAUCUCAACAAUCUUGACCCUCUCAACUAUUUCAUAUUUUUUUUUUCAAUAACUAAGUACCUUUUAUAACGCAAAUAUUAACAUAGUUGGAGAACAUCUUCUCUCUACCAACUCAAUACAUAGGCAAGUCUUCAAAACAAAGAUGCAAUCCAACUUCCACUGCUGCUAAUACUAGUUGAGUUUCUUGGACAAAAGGCAACCAUAACAUUCUCAAUGACCUUUAUACAAAGCUAAAAGGCCUUUAAGCUAGAUUUGAAAAUCUAAAUAUCCUAUGAAUCACACAAAAUCUAUCAAUUGAGAUGGCAGAUAUUUUUUCUUUUAGCAAACCAACAACCUUAAGUCGAGUUGACAAAUAGAGUGAGUUUAUCUCCUUGCUACUCACAGUAUUUACACGUAAUGGCUAAUAUUAAGAGAAGUAUGUAUGCGUUUGUCUAAUUUCAGUAAUGGUUAAGUAUUGGAGAAGUAAUGCUAAAUCAUGCAUUGACAUAAUAUACGCAUCGUCAAAUGAUUAAAUAUUUUAACCUAUGCUUCAUUAUUUCGACAUGUACAAAAAGGUAUUUUGAAAAGUCAUCAUUUGGUUUAUUGGUAGUUUGGUUAAAAUGAUCGAAAUAGAAUCAUUGAUUACAAAUAGCAUUUUGCAUAAAAAGAUAAUCCAAUUUUACUUUCUUUUUUUAAAAAGUCAAAAGGGAUUCUUGUCAUUUUAGUCAAUGUUCAUCCUAACAAAUUUCACAUUUAAAAGUACUCACUUAAUAUUGAUUUGCUUCCCCAUGUCACUUUCACAGGUUUAUUUGAUGCACAAAAUCCCUUUUUAUUAUUUAUGAGGACAUUUAGGUACUUUUCUUGGUUUGGGAUUGAGACAUCCAAGACAAUGUUCUUGUUUUAUGAAAAUGAAUUAUUGUAGUAUGAUGUUUUAUAAAAAAUAAAAAAAAAAUCACACUAAUAUUGGAUUAUAGCUAACAAGCCAGCCAUGGAUCUUGAUGUAGACUAGCCCAAAUUAAUUCUUGACAAGUGACCAGGCAGAGGGACUCGUUGUCUUUCAAAUCCAAGCUUGUCCAUAGAUUUUUCCAUCACAAAGAAUGAAAACAAAGGGGAAAAUAGAAAGCUCAUACAUAAUUUUUGUCUCCUUUUUCUUAUUUAUUUGUAUUUCUUAAUAAUUGUUAAGUUGGAUGCACUAUACAUUUUAGUCUUCUCAUGUGUCACGAGAGAAUUAUAAAAAAAAAAUCCUAAAUUUAUUGCAAUUGGGUCAAUUUACUCCUAAACCCAUGAAUACUGGCCAGACGAUUGACGGGCUAACGUUGAUGUGUCAAUUUUUAAUUUUUAGUUUUAUUUUUUCAAAAUUUUAAUUUUUUUUCCUUUGUUUUUUUUCCCCAUCUUCCUCCUUCCUCAAGCUGAUCAGAGGCAUGGGCCGAUAGGGGCGAGCCUUGCCUAACCCCUUGCUAGAUCUGGACACUCAGCCUCACCUAAUCACGGUGAGGGCGAGCUUUACUGACUACUGGCAAGGUCAACCCUCGCCAGACCUAGCCAUGGCAAGCCCAGCGAUGGUGAGGCCGAGCCUCACCAAAUUUGACGAGGCCUCAACAUCGGCCUCACCAAUGGUCGGUGGGGGCGAGCCUCACCAUUGGUUAGCGAGGCUAAGCUAUGGUUAGUGGCGAUCGGUCAAAGAAAGGAGGAAGAAGGGGAAAAAAAGAAAAACAACAAAAAGGAAUAUGUAUAUAUAUACAUACAUACAUAUAUAUAUAUAUAUAUAUAUAUAUAUAUAUAUAUAAGAAUUAUUUAAAAAUACGAAAAAUAUAUUUAAAAAUUGUCAUGUCAAAAUCCACAAGGUAGCCAACGCUAGCUGACAUAAAUGUCGAUUGACUCAAUUUGGUCAGAUGAAUUAAAUUGGCAUAAUUGGAAAAGAUUUAUUACUCAAUUGAUUAAAAAAUAAAUUUAAAACUGAAUUGACACAAUUGUGAUAAAUUUAAUACCUUUAUGGUAAUUUUUCCCAUGUGCCAUUGAUUAUCCUUAAAUGCCUGUCCCUCCAAUCCCCUUCCAAUUUAAGGCAUCGCCUUGGAAACAUGUCAUCACUCACAAGCCCAGAUGGAAGCUAGCUUCUCGGAUGAAAAAAAGUUGGAUCUCGUUGUUUGGGAUGUGUCACGCCCCGAACCCUGAGACACGUGAAUAACUCGCCAUGGUCAUGUAAAUGUGAUAUUUCCAGGUAGUGUCGCCGACCCCAUUAAUUUAUUAUGCGCAUGCAGAACAUACUAAGAAACCCCUGACAAAACUUACGGGAUAGGAAAGUAGGAAAGCAAAUCAUUCAAAAACAAAUAUAUUUUCAUAUAUAAUCAUUCCAAAGUUUACAUACAGCUAAAAAUGGGUCAGUGACUAUGUGCAUAAAAAAAGGUCAGUUUGCAUAAUAGGGAUCGGUCCACCAAAAAGAGGAACAGUUCUAUGACUACUAGUCGAACUCGUUCGUCGAUCCCACAUCUUCCACAUCUGAUUGUACUGGAUUCGGAGACGAUGGGUUGUCCACUCCACCAUCAGGAAAGUCAACUACACCUUCACCCAAAAUGGCAUCCACCACAGCAAGUGGAAUAUCAUAACUAUCGAGUUGACCAAUCCUAAAACCAUUGGCCUCAAAACGGAACCAUGCCUUAAACCUAUGUGGCACCCUAACAUCCACGAUCUCCUGAAUCCAGACGGUAGACCUGAUCAGCUCAAUGUGACAUUCCAAAUUUUCAGUCAUGUUUUCAAUUGAAUAAAUCGGGCAUUUCAUUGAUGCGUCGAUAGGGCUGUUCUCAGAACUGAUCAUUCUAGAAAUAACUAGACUAUCUGGGGAAACCAUUAAGAAUUUUAAGGCAAAUAGACUUGAGCAUUCAACUCUUCUCAGAACUUAUUAUUCUAGAGAUAACUAGACUAUCUGGGGAAACCAUUAAGAAUUUUAAGGCAAAUAAACUUGAGCAUUCGACCAGGAAUCGGCUACUUGACCAUAUUCAUCUUUAGAGGUCAUUAUGGCACAUAUAUAAGUCGAUUCGAGAUCAGAGAUAGUUGGUUCGACGGAGAUGUGCGGCUAAUCGUGGGUGACACCACUAAAUUGGAAAAUUCUCGUCGACCAACACUAGACUGAUUUUCUUAUCAUUUUGAUACCCUAUGUCCAUAUUUGAAUCAUGGAGAAUUUCACAACAAUUGAGAGUCGUCAUUGAGUCGAGUGGGUUCAUUAUGGCUCGAAAAAAAUCGACUACGGGUUAUUUGCAUUGACAAGUUCUGAAAGUUACCUGGUAGUCUAGGUCACGUUAAAAACGCGUCGAAUGGAAAUUAACCGUGAAUUCAAACCUAAUUACAGAAAUUGAAAAUUCUGUAAUGUCACAAGCUAUUUUAGGAAAGUUGACUCAGUCUCAGAAGAUUUUUCAGAGAUUUCGAGAUUUUUACGAAAAAUCGGUUCGGAAGUUGCGGAAAAUUAACGGAAAUUCGUAUGUGCCGAAUUUAAGCAAGUUUGGACUUUCAAGCCGAGCCUUUGAGUGUCAGGGGCUUACAAAAAAUUGUUUGGAAUUUUUCUUCAUUGAAAUCGAAUCUCAAUUUGGGAAAUUGAGUGAAGAUAUUGAAAUUUAAUUGGUGAAUUUCGAAAUUGGAAAAAAAGGGCAGAAUAUUGGGGCUUCAAUUUGAUUAUUCGGUGGAUUAUCUACAAGAAAGUAAUUGGAGACUUGUAGGAUAAGAAUGAGGGCUUUUAAGGGGACAUAAGGGAUAAGUUUGGAGCCUACGGGAGACCAAACAUUUAAUGGAGAUAUUUUGGCUUUGAUUUUUCUCUCUCAUGCAAGACAACCGCAAGCUUAGCCUCUCUCUCCCUUCUUCGUUGCUACUCAUUCCCUUUUUGCCUUCGACGAAGCUCAGCUUUCAUUUUCAUUCCCUUUGCAUUUUCAUUCAUUGAACCUCCUUGCUGCCAUUUGUCUCACGGCUAUCCUCCAUGGGUCAAAGUUAUUUAGCAAGAGUUGUGGUGUUAACUUCUUGAAGCCCACGAACAACCGAAGCCCUUCUUUUUCUUUCGGUUUUGUGCGUUGUCCAGCACCACCGAUCAAAGCAGCUCACGACAGAAGCUGCUCCAUCCAGUGUUCUCCUCGCUCAACUCACGCCAGCACACCUCACGCUCGGUCAACCAAAGCUCACUUUGCGCCCACGCCGUGGACCUUGGAAGCUCCAUCACUCCACCGAAGUUCAUCUUAUCUCCGCUUGUUUCAUCCUACCGAAGCAGCACCGACCCACGCGUCCAUAGCUGCCCUUCCCGAUCAACAACAAGCCACUGAAGCCCCUUGGUUGACCUAUAGCUCCUAUGUUCGUCCAGUGAAGCUGCACGCAUCCAACGCCUCCUCCAGCGAAGCCUUCACGAGUAGCAGCUUCCAGCGAAGCCUUAAGCCAGCUGCCAUCCAAGCCGCACGUUCCCUUCGCCCGCAGAUCCUCAGCCCAAAUAUCUCAAAAGCCAGCAGCGACUUCUUUCCUUGUGCGGCCCAGUGUCUUCAGCCUAGCGGGCCCAUCAUCUUCUAGAAUUCCAACAACUUUAGUCGAGCAAUUGAUCAUUUUAGGCGACCCAAUAACAGCCCGCAGUUUGGCAUCUUCAAGCCCAAUUCCCCGCAAGCCAGCCCAAGUUGAUUAAGAGUAGCCCAUCUUCAGUAGGCCCAACCCAACUUGGGUUUAGCCUAAAAGCAAGAACAAAUCUUAGUUGGGCUGAGAUUUGUUUGGCCAAGUUUAAGGCUUGGCCCAAGUGUCCACUGGCACCGCCGAAAGUUCAGAUUUCGACCGCCGUCGCAUCGCCGUCACAGUUUCCCGGUCCCCGCUUUUAAUCAAGUGAGUAAUCUCACUAAUCCUUGCUUAGUAGACUAAUAAUGCUUAAUGGUUGAUUAUAUUUAAUUAAGUGCAAUUAGUUUGUCAGAUUAGUUUGGAACAAUUAAAUUAGUGACUUAAUGAUGCAUGUUAGGUGGUUAGACAUAGUCAUUAGCAAGUAGAGACGUACUAUUAUUUAUUGAAUAUAUCUCGGGAUUUUUCCCGACCCGUUUCGGGCUCCAAUCAAGCAUUACAUGCCUAAAUUGGAUUUAUUGCUAAUUAAUAAUUAAUUUUCGAAAUUCAUUAUUUAAUUAUUUAUUUUUCCGAAAAUUCAACCGGGAUGGCCAGUGACUAGAAUUUCGUGUUGAUUGUCAUGGUGCAGUCCAUUUAUUUAUUUGAGCUCUUCAUUGUGUUGAAUUGAAUUGAUUGUGCAAUUUGAAGAAUUUUUCCUAAAUUGAUUGAGAUUGAGUAAUUGAGUUGUGAAUGGUCGAGUAUGAUUGUUUAAAGUCAAAAAUCCAUCAGGUAUGUUAAUAUCGUGUGAAAAUUUAGUGAGUUGAUGAGUAUGUGGGGAUUUAUCCCAAGAUUGAUCAAUGUUGGUAUUCAAUUAGAAUUAGUUGAUGAGUAUGUGGGGAUUUAUCCUAAGAUUGAUCAAUGUCGGUAUUCAAUUAGAAUUUGACUGUGAGAGGUUGUGAGUUGAACAUCGGAAGCCGCCGAAGUAUGGCUAUGCUAGUUGGGUCGAGAUUUGCCACUGAAUUUGGAGUUGGCCGCGUCCGUUGGGCCAUAAAUUGCCAUCUAUUAAAAGUCGCGCCUGAUAAGGCCGUAAUUUGCCACCCGAUAGGGGUCGCGCCUAAUAAGGCCGUAAUCUGCCACCUAUUAAAGGUCGCGCCCAUUGGGCCGUAAUUUACUACCUAAAGAUAGGUCGUGUUCUUUUUUUUUUUUUUGGACCGUAAUUUGUUGCCAAUAAAAGUGGUAGAUUAUGCUCGUGAAGUCGUGAGUACAAUUUGAGGCUGAAUAAGGGAAAUGACUGGGAAAUGGUCGAAUUGACAUGAAAUCGACUAGGUCGAUUGAUCGAGAUAUUGAUCUGUAAUGUAAUUGCCUAUUGAACUGUGCUAAUAUGCAGGUGGAAUUUGAGGCCAAGGUAAGUUCUUUGAAUCGUGCGUGUAUAUGCAGUCUGGUUAGCGUAUUGGUUUUCUAAUUGAGUCUUAAUGGGGUAGAACUUGCUGAGACGUAAUCUCAUCCCGGUUGUGGGACAACAUUUCAGGACCCUGAUGAGGAGCCUAAGGAGCAAGAAACCGAAGAGGAGUACUUGAAGGAGAACCCCGAUGAUGAUCCGAGUACGACCCGGAUGAGGAUUAUGAUCCCAUCCUCUUUUGUGAAUCAUGUUUAAAUGCGAAUAGUGUGACUAGAAUGUUAUGAGUAGUCUUGUGAAUAGACUUUGAGUUAUGCCAUGUAUAAAGGUUCGGUUGUGGAUUUCAAUGUGAAAAAUAUGGCAUUAUUUUUCUAUCUCAUUGUUUUAUUGUUUGGGGAUUUAUAACUGCUUCAACAUGUGCUUAAUAAAAGAAAGGGUUGGCGAUACUUAGCCUGGGAUAUCGCAUUAUAAAAUCGACCAAAUAGAAGAAUGUGUGCGUGCCUGAGGAUCGCGUGACAUCCCCUUUUUGUGGUAUCAGAGCGAAGUUCAAGAUUGGAGUGAUAAGGAGCAUUGACCAUGGGAUAGUUGGUAGGAAAUGCCUUUAAAUUCAUGCUGGUGCAUGUUUGUGUUAGCUGAGUGCUAAAAUUGUUUGUUGUUUGGAUUGCUCCGUUUCUAAUUCGGUGUUGAAUUGGAAAUAGGUGUUAGUUGAGUAAAGCUACACUAUGAGCGAUCGGGAGCCGAGAACUCCUGUAAAAAGGACCAGUAGGGUCGUUAUUCGGGAUAAAGCUUUGACUCGUGUCGAGACUCGAGGCGGAAGUGGUCGAGCGCCAGCACAGGCUUGCGCGAGUAGAGUGAUUCCACCUAUCGUAGAUGUUGGGGUAGUAGCCUCUAAUGAUCCUAGGGUGGAUGGGAUCUUGCGUGUUCUUGAAGUAAUGGGUACUAGAAUGGAUCAGCAAGCCGCUACCGUUGAAGCCGCUGCUCAAGUUGCUGCAACUGCCGCUGCUGUCGCAGCCACUGGAGCCGCCCCUGCUACCGCACCUGCAGUCGCACCUGUCGCCAUGAAUGUUGAAGGUCCACCGGGGAUAGUGGUCGCUGCAAGAACAAUCCAUAAGCUAGUGGAGCAUUUCCUAAGACGAAAUCCACCGUUGUUCACCGGGUCUGGAGAUCCCAAAGCUGCUUCUUCAUAGGAUCAGAAGCUCGAGAAGGCAUUUGCACUGCUGAUGUGCAGCGAGACUGAGAAGGUAAUGUUAGCAACUUACCAGCUGGAUGGAGUUGCGAACACUUGGUGGAUGACUAUCCGUGAAACGAUCUUUUCGGAGAGCGUUGUUCAGGACUGGAACACUUUUCUUGAAACCUUCAAUGAUAAGUAUUUCUUCAAGACUACCAGAGAGGUGAAGAUGGCAGAAUUUCAACGUCUUUGCCAGGAUUCCCUAUCUGUUGAUGAGUAUGAAGCGAAGUUUGCUGAACUUUCACGAUAUGCCCUCGAGUUAAUCGAGAACCCUGUGAAUCGAGCGAGAAGGUUCAAAGAUAGAUUUAGACCAAACAUGAGGAGUGCUUUAGUCCUUCUGGAUCUGAAGACUUACAAUGAUCUGUAUCAGAGAGCUCAGAAAAUUGAGAAGGAUCAAAAUGACAGAGCCACCUUGUCUGGAUCAAGGUUCAAUUCUCAUAGAGACAACAUCCACCAAGGAAAGAGGCCUAUGCCUGGAAACAGAUUCCGAAUUUCGCCCAUUAGGGAGGGUGGAAUCGGAAAGACAGGGUCUAGCCAAAAUGGUGUGUGUCGCCUAUGUGGAAGGCAACACGGAUCCACCCCAUGCCAUUCUAGACCAGGUACUUGUUUUGGAUGUGGCCAGCCGAGUCACAUAGUUAGGGACUGUCCCAGAAGACAAGGGAGACCGCAUCAGUUGCCACCACCGCCGCAGAUGGGCCAUAUCAAAGGGUAUGCCCCUCAAAAUGUACCACAAGGAGGACAGCUGAGACCUCCAGUUCAGGGCACCGUGUAUGCAAUUACGCAGGGUUAGGCCGAAGCUGUGCUUGACAUAAUCACGAAUGGACCACCAGUUCAGAGAUGAAUCGAGUUAUGCACUGAGGAAAAAGGGCAAUGUUCCCAGAACAAUUAUAUCAGAGUGGUGCAGCUUUUGGUUAAGUUUAUAAAACUUUAGUUGUUAUAAUGAAGUCAUAUAAAGCAGAAUCAUUAGUUACAGUUGUAAUUGAACCCUUUGCCUACGUAUAACUUUGAUACUAUAUAUCAAAAGGUUUAGCUCGAUGAGCUUUUACUAUAAGGAAUUGUUGUUGCAAUGUGAUAUAGUUUAAUCCGUUGAAGGAUGUUAUAUCAAAGACAACGUUAUGAGUUAGAAUUUUAGAAGAAUAGUGAUUGAGAUGUCCUGUAUCACCCUGGAAAGACGCUUUAGUUGACAAAUCAGAAUGUUUAGAAAAUCCCGCAAGAGGAUACCGGUAAGGGAAAAGUUGACGUUAAGAUUUCGGAAAAUGGAACGUUGAGGUAUCGUAAGUGAUGAUAAGUGUCAAACAGUACGAAACUUGAGGAGGAGACCUUGUCAGGAAUUCACUAUAAUAGUUGUAGUAUUCGACCAUACAGUGGGAGGUAGGUAGACCGAUAUGAAGAUAGUUAUCGUCAGACAGGUUGCAAAUGUCAAAUUUGCUAGUAAGUGAAAGUUUAGUAAUGCAAGUCGAGAGAACAUUUACAAUCACUCGAGAGUCCCGAGUGGGAAUGGAAGUAUAUCGUGAUGGAAUGUUGUGAUAGGUUUACUAAGGAGUCAGAGGAAUAAUGACUCCAGUUGGGGUAAUAGUCGACAAAUCGAUGAAGUCGGCCCACUUUAUUGUUGUAUGGAAGGAUAUUGAUUGGAAUAGGCAUGCCGAAGUGUAUGUGUGUCAGACAGUUCAUCUACAUGGAGUACUAGUGACGAACUUAUAUCGGAUCUAGAACCGAGGUUCCCAGUUUCAGCAGAUCAAUCAAAUAAUUGCUUUUGAGGCAGAACAAAGCAGAGUGUGCAAAACUUCAGUUUGUUGAGAUGAGAUCAGAGAAAGAAAGAUCACAGGCUGAGGGUCAAUUCAGCAGUCAGUAGUUGCAAUUGCCGUGAUUAGUGCUAGAGUACAGAUCGCUCAGAACUGCCAGAAUAAUUGAAUUGUUGACAUUGAAGACCCCAAAAGUUCUAAAUUGGUGAGUACACCUUUUUUGAAGGUGUGAUCAAUGAGGGAUACCUUGCGUUUCAGCAAGGAGGGAAAAUUGAAAUCGAAGUACAUAGGUCCCUUUUGAGAUUCUAAAAGAAAUCGGGAUCUGAUCGUAUCGUCUUGCAUUUCCACCGAGGUGAGCGCAAAUGCAUGACGUCUUUCACAUGUCAAUGUUGAGGACAUAUAAGCCUGACAAGACCCACGUGCUAAAUCUUGAAAAAUUAGGCGUGGACGACAGAGUAUCGUACAUGAAAAGUUCGGUCCAGCUUGUUGAUCAGAAAGAUCAUAUUAUGUGUAUCAAAAAGGUCCCAUUGGUCAAAGUGGUCUAACAACGCCACGAGACUGAAGAAGCAACCAGGGAAAGUGAGACUAGAUGAGACAACAAUACCCCCACCUUUUUGUUUAAGGAUUAAUAAAUGUUUAAAUUUCGAUGACGAAAUUUUUAUAAGAGUGGAAGAGUUGUGACAUCCCAGAUUUUCGGUCAUGUUUUCAAUUGAAUAAAUCAUGCAUUUUAUUGACGCGUCGAUAGAGCUGUCCUCAGAAUUGAUCAUCCUAGAGAUAACUAGACUAUCUGGGGAAACCAUUACGAAAUUUUAAGGCAAAUAGACUUGAGCAUUCGACUAGGAAUCGAUUACUUGAUCAUGUUCAUCUUUAGAGGUCAUUAUGGCACAGAUAUAAGUUGAUUUGAGAUCAGAGAUAGGUUGGUUCGACGGAGAUGUGUGGCUAAUCGUGGGUGACACCACUAAAUUGGAAAAUUCUCGUCGACCAACACUAGAUUAAUUUUCUUAUCGUUUUGGUACCCUGUGUCCAUAUUUGAAUUAUUGAGAUUUUCACGACAAUCAAAAGUCGUCAUUGAGUCGAGUGGGUUCUUGUGACUAAAAAAAAUCGAUCAUGGGUCAUUUGCAUUGACAAGUUCUAAAAGUUACCUGGUAAUCUAGGUCACGCAAAAAACGCGUCGAAUGGAAAUUAACCGUGAAUUCGAACCCGAUUUCAGAAAUUGAAAGUUCUGUGGUGUCACGAGCUAUUUUAGGAAAGUUGACUCAAUCUCAGAAGAUUUUUCGGAGAUUCCAGGAUUUUUACUGAAAAUCGGUUCGGACGUCACAGAAAAUUAACGGAAAUUUAUAUAGGCCGAAUUUAAGCGAGUUUGGACUUUCAAGCUGAGCCUUUAAGUGUCAGGGACUUACAAAAAAUUGUUUGGGAUUUUUCUUCAUCAAAAUCGGAUGUCAAUUUGGGAAAUUGAGUGAAGAAAUUGAAAUUUAAUUGGUGAAUUUCGAAAUUGGAAAAAAAAAAGGGCAGAAUAUUGGGGCUUCAAUUUGAUUAUUUGGUGGAUUAUCUACAAGAAAGUAAUUGGAGACUUGUAGGAUAAGAUUGAGGGCUUUUAAGGGGACAAAAGGGAUAAGUUUGGAGCCUAUGGGAGACCAAACAUUUAAUGGACAUAUUUUGGCUUUGAUUUUUCUCUCUCUCACGCAAGACAACCGCAAGCUUAGCCUCUCUCUCCCUUCUUCGUUGCUACUCAUUCCCUUUUUGCCUUCGAAGCUUUCAUUUUCAUUCCCUUUGCAUUUUCAUCCACCGAACCUCCUUGCUGCCAUUUGUCUCAUGUCUAUCCUCGAUGGGUCAAAGUUAUUCAACAAGAGUUGUGGUGUUAAUUUCUUGAAGCCCACGAACGACCGAAGCCCUUCUUUUUCUUUCGGUUUUGUGCGUUGUCCAACACCACCGAUCAAAGCAGCUCAUGGUAAAAGCUGCUCCAUCUAGUGUUCUCCUCACUCAACUCACGUUAGCACACCUCAUGCUCGGUUAACCAAAGCUCACUUUGCGCCCAUGCCGUGGACUUUGGAAGCUCCAUCACUCCACUGAAGUUCAUCCUAUCUCCGCCUGUUUCAUCCUACCGAAGCAGCACCGACCCACGCGUCCACAGCUGCCCUUCCCGAUCAACAACAAGCCACGGAAGUCCCUUGGUUGACCUACAGCUCCUACGUGCGUCCAGUGAAGCUGCACGCGUCCAACGCCUCCUCCAGCGAAGCCUUCACGAGUAGCAGCUUCCAGCGAAGCCUCAAGCCAGCUGCCGUCCAAGCCACACGUUCCCUUCGCCCGCAGAUCCUCAGCCCAAAUAUCUCAGAAGCCUACAUCGACUUCUUUCCUUGUGCGGCCCAGUGUCUUCAGCCUAGCGGGCCCAUCAUCUUCUAGAAUUCCAACAACUUUAGUUGAGCAAUUGAUCAUUUUAGGCGACCCAAUAACAGCCCGCAGUUUGGCAUCUUCAAGCCCAAUUCCCCGCAAGCUAGCCCAAGUUGAAUAAGAGCAGCCCAUCUUCAGCAGGCCCAACCCAACUUGGGUCCAGCCUAAAAGCAAGAACAAAUCUUAGUUGGGCUGAGAUUUGUUGGGCCAAGUUUAAGGCCCGGCCUGAGUGUCCACCGACACCGCCGAAAGUUCGGAUUUCGGCCGCCAUCGCGGUGUCCUGGUCCCCACUUUUAAUCAAGUGAGUAAUCUCACUAAUCCUUACUUAGUAGACUAAUGAUACUUAAGGGUUGAUUAGAUUUAAUUAAGUGCAAUUAGUUGGUUAAAUUAGUUUAGAACAAUUAAAUUAGUGACUUAAUGAUGCAUAUUAGGUGGUUAGACAUAGUCAUUAGCAAGUAGAGACGUACUAUUAUUUAUUGAAUGCAUCUCGGGAUUUUUCCCGACCCGUUUCGGGCUCCAAUAAGGCAUUACACGCCUAAAUUGGAUUUAUUGCUAAUUAAUAAUUAAUUUUCGAAAUUCAUUAUUUAAUUAAUUAUUUUUCUGGAAAUUCAACCGGGAUGGUUGGUGACUAAAAUUUUGUGCUGAUUGUCGUGCUGCAGUCCAUUUAUUUAUUUGAGCUCUACGUUGUAUUGAAUUGAAUUGAUUGUGCAAUUUGAAAAAAAAUUUCUAAAUUGAUUAAGAUUGAGUAAUUGAGUUGUAUAUGGCCAAGUAUGAUUGUUUAGCGUCAAUAAUUGCUUUGAUGGGCUGUUAAGUGGAGAAGUUUGUGAGAGUGAUUUGAAUAUACUCUUGGCAAAGAUCCAUCAGGUAUGUUAAUAUCGUAUGAAAAUUGAAUGAGUUGAUGAGUAUGUGGGGAUUUAUCCCAAGAUUGAUCAAUGUCAGUAUUCAAUUAGAAUUUGACUGUGAGAGGUUGUGAGUUGAAACUCGGAAGCCGCUGAAGUAUGGCUAUGGCAGUUAUGUCGGUAUUCAAUUAGAAUUUGACUGUGAGAGGUUGUGAGUUGAACCUUGGAAGCCGCCGAAGUAUGGCUUUGUCAGUUGGGCUGUAAUUUACCACCUGAUAGAAGUCGCACCUGAUAAGGCCGUUAUUUGCCACCUAUUAAAGGUCGCGCCCAUUGGGCCAUAAUUUGCUACCUAAUGAUAGGUCGUGUUCUUCGGACGGUAAUUUGUUGCCAAGAAAAGUGGUAGACUAUGCUUGUGAAAUCGUGAGAACAAUUUGAGGCUGAAUAAGGGAAACUACUAGGGAAUGGUUGAAUUGACAUGAAAUCGACUAAGUCGAUCGAUCGAGAUAUUGAUUUGUGAUGUAAUUGCUUGGGUGCUUAUUGAACUGUGCUAAUAUGCAGGUGGAAUCUGAGGCCAAGGUAAGUCCUUUGAAUCGUGCGUGUAUAGGCAGCCUGGUUAGCGUAUUUGUUUUCUAAUCGAGUCUUAGUGGGAUAAAACUUACUGAGACGUAGUCUCAUCCCGGGUUGUGACAACAUUUCAGGACCCUGAUGAGGAGCCUAAGGAGCAAGAAACUGAAGAGGAGUACUUGGAGGAGAACCCCGAUGAUGAUCCGAGUACAACCCGGAUAAGGACUAUGAUCCCAUCCUCUUUUGUGAAUCAUGUCUAAAUGUGAAUAGUGUGACUAGAAUGUUAUGAGUAGUCUUGUGAAUAGAUUUUGAGUUAUGUCAUGUAUAAAGGGUUGGUUGUGGAUUUCAAUGUGAAAAAUAUGGUCUUACUUUUCUAUCACAUUGUUUUAUUCUCUGGGGAUUUAUAACUACUUCUGCAUGUGCUUAAUAAAAAAAAAAGGGCGAUACUUAGUCCUGGGAUAUCGCAUUAUAAGAUCAACCAAGUAGAAGGAUGUGUGCGUGCCUGAGGAUUGGAGCGUGACACCCAAUGACUUCCAGGGUCAGGAAAAUUGUGCACCUUCUCGACAAUGUGCACUGGAAUGCCAUUUUUCUCAAGAGGUCCUGCCAUCUACGGCCCUAAAAUAUUUUUCCCACAACGGGAUGAGACAUUGUUUCAGUAAUUUCAUCCCUCCUAAACCCCUAUUAGAAAGAAAAUACGUUCAAGAGUGGCCUAGCCACACAGCACAGAAGACUUAUCUCGUCUUAAUUCCUUUCUGCAUGUUGGUACAAUUCAUAUCACUUAAUCACAUGUAGUAGUAAGAACUUAAACCAUUGGAACACAAUCAAUUUCACAUAAUUCACAAAUCAUAGCAAGCGUUUCAAUUAUUAGUUACUACCACACAAGGGCAUAGCCUACUCGCAGUUCGGACAUCUACUGGCAUAUAGCUAGGCAUCGCCUCCCCACCUUGGAGCGCAGCUUCGUCAGUACGUCGACGGCGUUCCCGAAAGAGCAUGGGCUCAGAAUCAACUACAACCUGCAUCCGUUGUAUGGAACAUCCCAUAUAAGGGCAAAUCCAACUCAAUAGCUCAAGAUAAUUCUUCUUAAUUAUCACACAAUAAUUCAUAGUCAGCCCAAGGCACUUUGCAUUAAAAUAAUAAUCCAUAUUUUUCACAAUCAACAUCCAAUUUGCAAUAUCCAAUCAUUACAUUCAAAAUCUGAGCACAUAGCAGCGAUUGACACGAAAUUCUGAGAAUUUAGGGUCCUAACAAACUUUUUUGAAUUUAAUAAAUAAUUAAAUUUAUUCUGAAAAUUAAUUAAAUAAUAUUAUUUUAAUAAUUUCGAACAUAAUAUAUUAUUAAAUUAAUAAAAAAUUUCAAAAUAUUUAAUUAAAUCAAAAGUAAAACAUUUAUGUCUAAUCAUGAGUUAUUCUAAUCUAAACAAUCAUUUAACCCUAAUUAAACAUAUUUUACUUAAAUCACAUCUCUUAAUCUAAUCCACAUUUAAAUAAAUCUAUCUACCAACCUAAUCUCAAUCAACCUAAGCUAAACACACUUAAGGCAUCAUUAACCCUCUAAUAAAGAUUUAGUGAGCUAAACUCAUCGGAAUUGCUCUCCAGUGAGUCUCCAGCGAAGCUAACGGUGAGGCGGUCGACAAAUCUACACGGAGCAACACCAAAUGAGAACCAAAAGGCGUCCAAAGUAAGCCUUGAAGAACCGGAUCUUGUUGGAACUUCUAGCUACUGACCAAGCUCGGAGGAGGGCGGCACAGUGGUCGGUUGGACGCGAAACUGGCGGAAGAGAGAGUCGGCAGCUCGGGCAGUGGGUCAUGGCGGCUAGGCGGGCCUCUGGCAACCUUGGCGACAAUGAACGAGCGAUUAGACGGUCGGACGAUGAUGCUAGGUGGCGAACGAAGCAGUGACGGGAGGGCAAAACAACUUGCACGCGGGACGGCACGCGCGAACGAGCGGUGACGUGCAGCAGCAUCGAGUGAGCGGACGGAGGGGCGAACGAAGGGGGUGGUAGGCUUGCUGGUUCCAACCAGUUGCUUCUCUCUCUCUCCUCCAAAUUCAAAAGCAAAGACCAAGGUUAAAGAUGAUGGAGAUGGAUGAAGUGAUAUCCCACCUUUCCAAGAGCUAAUCACCACUAUCCACUUGUCAAGAUCUCCUUCAAUUUGGCCCAACCACCAUGACAUCACCUGAUAUCAUCUUCCACUAACUCAACCCUCCACAACACCUUCCAAUGGGUGCAAAUUUCAUUUUCCGCCGGGGCAUAAAAUCUUGUACAACAACUUCUUCAAUUCCAUUAAAUUCUCUUCCAAUUGAAUCAAAUUGAAGUCCAUAAAAUUAAUCCAAUGUUACCACACUUCAAUUCACAUCUUCACUUGUCCAUAAAACCGACUUAAGUCCCAAAAGCAUGACCAAGGGCGGGCCUACUAAUUUCUCGAGCCAAAUUAGCCAUUUCUUGAUUAAUUUGUUAAAAAACUCUAAUUGCAUGAAAAAUAUUCCGAAAAUGAGUCAAUGAUUUUAAAAUGAUUUGUGACACACCAUGACUUCCAAUUUUUGAAUUCAAUCUCAAUUUCACGAUUAAUUUUACUUCGGCACGAUACUAGCGCGUCCUAAUCUACUUGGCAGCUUUUAGAAAUUUUCAUGCAUUUGACAUGUGGUUGAUUAAUUCAAGCCACAAUGUACAUCUUUGACACAUUGACCAAUCUUGAUUGUCGGGGUAAUCUCAAGGUUUUAAAUACGGACACUGGGUACCCAAUCAACAGAAAAGUCGAUCUAGUGUCGAUAGAUAAGAAUUGUGCGAUCUGGUGGAAUCACCCACACCUGAUUACAAGCCUCUGUCGAGUCGACCUAUCUCCGGUCUCUAAUCGAUUUUUAAUUGUGCCGAAAUGACUCUUGUAGAUUAGUUUGGUCGAAAGACUUCCUAGUUAAAUUCUCGAAUCUAUUGCAUUAGAAUCUCUUAACGGCUUCAUCUGAUAGACUAGUUUUCAUAUAAGUGGCCGACUCAAGGAAAAUAACUAUAUGCGUGACAAUAAAAUGCUCGUAUCAAUUUAUUGAAAAUAGAAUUGAAAAAUCGGGAUGUUACAGGAUGGGUUACAAAUUUACUAAGUAGCCUCAUGUUGCAACAUUACAAUUUUGAUUCCAGAAUAUUUCAGAUGCCCGUGACCUUUACGUCUGCCUAUGUCUACGCUAAGGGAAAUUAUAAAGGUGAUGAAUGAAAUUUUUUUGGCUUAGCCAACCUUUAAGGGGUAUCCGACCAAAAACAAAACCUUAAAGAGGCGUCCUCAGACCCAAAAAUAAAAUAAAUUGAAAACCUCAAAGAGGUAUCCAAUGAUGUUGAAAUGCACGCAAGCAAUUCAAAAAUAUGCUCAACAGAGACGUUUGUUCCUUGGAAUCAACCGAUGUGUAACUCAAAUGUGAAGCCCAAGGUGCAGGCAAGUUAUUUCCUUCAUUUCACUUAAUCUUCCUCAUAUAUGUAUGUCAUUGUUCAUUUCUAAUCUGAUCUUUCUUUGCCUUCGCUAUUCUUACUCGUGGAUCUUGGAAAUGACUACCAUGAAUCCCAUGCAUAUGUUGCCGUGGCAGUGUUAAGGGGAAUCUAGCUGAGUAAAGAUAUCACCGAGUUAUAUCACCAUAAAUCUUAUUUUAUUCUAUUGAACAUGUAUUAUUAGGGUGAUGGCGAACCAAUUUAACUCUCUGCCAAUCCGAUGAACAAUCUGGUCUCACCAUCUGUACUCCGGCUGCUCCGGCUAUGUAUUGCUGUUGCUCUCGGAUGAGUUGUUGAUUGCCCGGGAUUUGCAAGACACUGAAAUUGGAAGAAAGAAAGAAAGGACCCAAAAUUAUUUUAAAUUUAAUAAAAUGAAAAAUGCAAUUGAAUGGUGAUGGAGAACCUGAAAACCUUCACUCAAUUAAAAUGGGAAAAAGCUUCAAUGCAAUUUGAGAUUUACAAGCAGAGAACAAGCCUUUCACGGGAUCUAAUUAGGUGACGAAGCAUCUGUCUAUGCACUCAGAUCUAUUAAUGGUCACUGGGAGAUCUCAACUUUCCAAACAUCCGACUCUAGAAGAGGUUCUCUCGUCCAUGGUUGGAAAAAAAAAAAAAACUCUAAUAGUGGCUAGCUAGGCCAGACAUGACUACAAGCUUUGGUUCCACCUAUAGUCAAUGUCUAAAGUACAGACUAUAUCAUGAAAGUAACAUAUUCUAUGUUGUAAUUUUUUUAACAAUGGUCAUAUUAAAAGGCUAUUAGUUUUUGUUAUCGAGUUAGAAUUUUCUAAACAAUCCACUAAUGGUUACAGAAUCAUAGAAAGACAUAGGAACUUUCAGUCCUUCAACAAUCCCACGUUAGAAGUAUAGAAUUGUACAUGAUGAUGGUAAGUUGAGUAGUACUUUUCUCAACAUUAAUUACUCAAAACAUUGUGCUACUAAUUUUUAUUGCCACAUUGGCAAUUACUAACUUCGUGAUAUUUUCACCGGGAAAGUUGAAUUUAUCCCAACAACUCUAGAAGUGAUUCUCUUCCGUUCUCAAAAAAGACAAGAAAAAAAAAAGCUCGAAAAGUGAUUAUGUAUGCCAAAUGUGCUCACUAAUAACUUUUGCUGCAUCUAUAGUCCACAGUUGGAAAACCCAAUAUAUUCAUCCGUGAAAUAAAUAUUCUCAAAAUUGUGAUAUUCACAACGUAGGUCACUAACUUAGUGCUAGUAAUUUUUUUUCUUUUCAAGUCAGUAACUUUCCAAGCACAUCAAGUAAUGGUCAUGGGAGCACAAAAAGACAGAUUUAGGUCCGUCUACAGUCCUAUAGUCCAAUACACAGUUGUGUCUCUUGAUCACAAUUCCCAUAUAAUUUGUUUUCCCAGCAUGAGUUCGUAACUCUGUACUAGUAACUUCCAUUAUGGAGUCAAUCACUUUCUUAACAGAUCAAGUGCGGGAUCAUAGAAGGACACAGAUUUGAGUUUGUCUACAAUUCCAUGUAAAAAAGAAAAAUAGAAUUCUAUCUUGUGACAGUAAAUUUAUCAGUGUGGUGAUAAUUUUCUCAAAUUGGAUUAGUAGCUUAGAAGUAGUAUUAAGUUUCAAACAGGUCAUACGGUCUCAAGAUCGUAGAAUUCUUCGGUGAUGUUCAACCUAUCUGCUCAUUCUAAAUUACCCUAUCGAAAACAAAACUCCUCACCGAUAGAGAAAGGUUCAACAUAAAUACCAGUACAUAACCCUGAAAUUAAGUAUCUCUCAUUAUGUAUUGUCCUUUUCAUAAAAACUGAUAACGUUGCAGCACUCUUUAAAUGUUUUAACACCGGGACUAAUAGAAAGCAGGACAAAUUGAUGACCAGCAAAUUUAACCAGCACAACAAACUGUACAGCACACAAUCUACUAAUAUUGGUUUGAUGGACAAAAGCAACAAGCUUCUUCACUACACAAGCCUAUUAGAACAUUAGGGCAAAAAACAUUAUUAAUCAUUAAAGACCUCUCUUUCUGGUCUUAGCAGAUCAUAAAACUGCAUUGUUAGAUCAUACAUGAAAAUUAUUGAGAGAUUCUAUUGCAGGUUUCCCAAGUUUUUGGAUAGUAGUUAAUAUAUGCACAGAAGAGUGAUGAUGCACGGCAAGUAAUAGGAAGGAAAUUAAAGCACCGAUGGGAAAGAGGGCGACACCUUUGCAAGAAGCUUUGCAUUCUCUUCUUUCAAAGACCUCUCCUGAGGUAAACCAAAUAAAGUUGCUAGAUUAAUAUAACCAGGAAAUUAACAACGCCUGAUGAGAUCGGAUAUGCAAUCAUCAUAUUUGUCCACUUACCUUUGCUUGCAACUGCUGUAUUUGAUCGUUCAAUAAUUGAGCCUGUAAAAGAGUUCCGUAGAAAUAUUUUAACUUUCGUGUGUGCAUGUUGUCCCCAUGCCUUUCUUAUUACAAAGUAAGAAAAAAAGAAAAGAGAGAAAAUAAGUUGAAAUGAUGAACGGUAGUAAUGAAAGGACAAUGCUUUGCAACUUAUCCAGAAACAUAGUUCAAGUGAGAAGUAGUACAUGGAAAUCGGCAAGGUUAACAUAAUAAAAAAACUCAUGGUAUUCUAUUAUUUCGUGUUAUAAGUAUCAAUUUGUGUGAAUAAGUGUCAAGAAAUCAUUUAUAAAAAAUGAUCGAUGACUUUUUUUUUUGUCAGAGAAGAAAAGCCAGUUAUCUAACCAAACCAAAUAAACUUGUUAACUAAUCAAAGAAGAGUUGGUAACACUGAAUUAGUUGGUUACUUAAUCAGAGAAAAGUUAGUAACUCCUAUAAUUAUGAUUGGUAAUUUGUAGUUGGGUUCAUAAGUAAGGCAAAUAUUUAUGUGUGCACGAGUCUCAUAAGUGAAGGGUGAAGACGAGUGAGAGUAUUUUUUUCAACAGAAUUUAUUUUAUAACUAAGAAAGUGAUAAAGAGAAGAAAGAUCUGCUGAAGUUGUUGGCAAAUAAAACAGAAGAGAGAGUAGACGUCACUCUCCACCAUAAGACAAUGUUUCCACUAUCUCAAGAGUAGUCAAAGGAAGGGUUAGAGCAGGAAAAAUUGCACUAAGAAAGACCAUAAGUUAGUCCCAAAAAAAUAAGUCUAUAAGUCUAUAAAGUUAGUCAAAUAGAGUUAGUAACCAAAAAGAGUUAGUGAUUUAAGCAAAACAGAGGUCUAUAAGUCAUACAAAGAAAUAUCUGAAAAUAUAUAUAAGAGCUAAUAAAUUUAAAGGAAUGGCAAGAAAAAAUAAAUAAAAUUUACUAAAAAAAUAAGAGAGAUUGAUAAUUGCACAUUGUUGAAAAGAGUUGGUGAUUUCAUAAAAGUGUUAGUAAGUUACCAAUAAGUCACCUAGAAAUCAGGUAAUUGAAAAUUUUUAUUUUUUAUCAUGGUUUUUUGUCACUUACAACUCUUUCAUAGGUUUAUCAAAAACUAUCCAAUUUAUUUUGGAAAGAUGAACAAUAGAGUCGUCCAAAUAACUCUAGGAAAAAUAAUGAUAGAAGAAUAAUCGUGAUAUUUUCCUUGUUUAUUGGCAAAAAAAAAGAACAGGUCGAUAACUAUGAAGAAAAAGGGUGAUUUGUAAAUGUGCUUUCAUUCUUUCUUAUAAGGUAGAAAACGCCAUGUAUGCUCGGAGAAAAUUGAUUCUCUCCUUUCAGAUGCCAAGUUUAACGUUUUUAGUCUAUUCAGUUCCAAUCUUACAAUGCGAUUAGAGUCUCUAUCGAAAUUGGUAUUUUGGCUCCUGUAUGCAUAUGGUCAGUCUUGUUAGUUAUUUGAGAGAAAUUGUUUCUCAUUGUUUUCUUUCCCUUCUCACCAUAUCCAUGCCUCCAAACACAACGGCUAUUCGAUGAAAGUUCUCAAGACAUCUACUUCGCUCAGAGAAAAGGACAAAUAUGCUAAAGACACAUGUACCUUUCUUUCCCUAAUGCUGCUCAAACUUCGCUCGAGCUGAUCCCCUAUCUCUUGGAUUUCGUCCAUCGAGCAAGAUCCAAGACAUUGUCCUGAUAGCUUCCUGUUGUAAAAAAGAAAAGGAGUACCAUAGUUUAGGGAAUUAGAUAUCAAGAAUCCAUUUCAAUCCACAAUAUAUAAGAGAGAAGUCUCAAAAUUUGUGGACCGUAGAGAAACUUCAAGAAGCUCAAUCUUCCUCUCCAUAUCAGUGGUUUCUUGCUUCAGACGCUGCACAUAUAUGGAGAUUGUGAUAUUUAUGAAUCUAGUGAACGGAACCAUACAAACUGAACAAAUUUGAAAUUAGUAAUGGAUAAAACCAAUCAUAGUGAACAAAUCUGUAACACCACAGGAUCCUGCAAAACUAAGAUUGGUACUAUAAGAACCCUAACGUUCUUGCAAAAUUUGUAGCUGCCAUAGUGAAUUCUAUGGCUUACCACCUCAGUAAUUCUUGAGAUCAAAAGUAGGGUUCUUAUCAAGAACGCGAUUCGGUAUUAUUACAACCUGUAAAUACAUACAUAUACGUUCACACCAACAAUCAAUUUUAAGACUUCCUUCAAGAAAACAAUAAGAUGUAAAUGCCCAAGUGGUGGAUGAUGAGUGGGAUUUCAGAAGCUGAAAGAAUUUUAGAGGACCAGUCAAUGUCUUCAGGACAUGUACAAAGACCAAAAUAGCACUUUUAAUGUUAUAUUUAACUUGAAACCUAUUUUUCUCUCUAUACAUAUCAGCAGUUUCUCCUCUCUGCUUUCCAGUCAUUGCCAAACCACACGAAUAACAGUGGUAAGGCUGCAAUAAUAUUACGGGUCAUUUAUCCAACCAUAACAGUGGAAGAGUUUUCCUGAUGUAGGCUAUAUUAAUUGAUAUUAUAAUUUACCAUUUUAUGGAGUUUGGUCUAAGGUGAAAGAGAAUGUUUUUUAAUUAAUCUAAUAUGGGGUUGGUUAGUGUGGGCCGAAUUGAGCCUGGCCGUAAUGAGAAGACCUAGUUGGAAACUCUAUAAAUAGUGCUCAAAUCUCUCUUCUAACCCUAAUUCUCAAAAGUAUCCUCACAUAAAAAGCAUUUACCUAGAAAGGGUGAGGGGGCUGUCUCAUUAAGCCAGUGAUACGGAGGGCAAUAGAAGAGAAAAACUUGAAUUGAUCUAAAAGAAAUUCAACAAUUGACUUGGCAUAAAGUAAGUUUAUCCACAACUUAUCGUGGAUACACCCUCUCAUUAAUAGAAAACUUACCACAUUAAAGAUGUAUUCAGAAGUUGAAUGUCACUUGACUCUAUCCCUCUUUGUAUAGUGAUACCAUCAUCAUUAGUAUGAUCCCUACUUUGUGGUUCUAGUGAUCCACUAGAUCAUGUAUGCAAGUAGAUUGUUGCGUAAUUCUUUGCAUACGAGGCGACUAUUUAUGUAUACACAAGUAUAUAUUACUAGAUUGUAGGGGAAAUAGGAUUUCUUGCCAUUUGUGUUCAUAUAUAGACUUCUUUCUAAGUCCCAUCCUGAAAUAAGUUAUGUAAUGUGAUGUUCUAUGUUAAUCCACACACACACGGGAGAAUAAAAAAGAAAAAAAAAAACAGAGGAAGUUGCGUUCUUACAUACAGCAAAAUGAAUAAAAAUUGAACUGCUCAGCUUGCUUAACCUCUACAUAAUGUGCUUACGAAUGCAACUAAUGUAUCAUCAUGGAAAGGUUAGAGAACUGACCAGAAUAUAUUGUUCCAUACUAGCCUGGUAUGUAGCCGCAUCAUUUGUAGAUCUACGAUAUCGAUCAAUUGUCUUUCGAAUUCUGAAAAAUUUGCAAAGAUAACAUAUGAGCUCAGCCACUGGGAAUACAUUCUCCAAAUUAAUCAGGUUUCGUCAAAACUAAAAUAAUCAAACACUAAACAAAUUAAUAAUCAUUUUUGUGAAUCAUGCAUGACUUCCAGUGAAUAUGUAUCACCAUCACUCACUAACAGAAUAUGCAAGGAGCAUAAGCCUCUGCAAGAAGCUUUUAGCCUCUCAGCAACUAAUUUGCAACGAUCUGAAGUACUUGGAAAAGUCUUGGUUGCCCACCUUAUACUUUGUAAAUAAUUGAUGCUAGAGAGAGUGUAGAAAAGUAGAAAGUAACACAAAUGAGAACUUAAAUGAAUAGGUCACUUGCCACUCAUAGGAAUUCAUCUAAGAGAUAAGAGCAAAACACAAAAUCCUUAUUAUUCUCAAGCCAAAGUCUAAAUAAGUUACGAAUCAAAACAAGUCUACCUCCUCAUUCAUCAUAGCAUGCUUAUAUAGAUGAGUUUGGAACAACUCUUCAAGCAUGAGUAAUUACCAAGACUCCUUGAAAAGACAAAAAGACUUAUAGGAAAGACAAAACAAGUCUUACUAGAAAAUAACUAUAAUUAAAUAAGGACGCCAUAAACUUAAAUGGCAUUUACUAAACCUUGAAAAUAUGAGAAUUAAAUGUAGUUGGUUGUAAGUAUCCUAAUUUUACUAGUUCUGAAUUAAUGGAAUGCUCCGGCAUCAAUAAUCAUGCCAGCAAUAUUUUUCUUCAAAUUUUAGCGUAAAUGUUCAAUUUCACAUCAUAAAAGUAUAUUAUAUGCGCACCCAAAGUAUAUUUAAAUGUGAGCGCAGAGUGAGCUAAUGCACUGUUUUUGCCCAAGCCCAAAUACUUCAAUAUAUUCUACAUGCCACUCCAUGUUAGUAAGAACUAAGAACACCACAUGAUGCUCGUAAAAUCAUUGUGAAGCAGUACAAGGACUCACUACUUCAGAGAGAGAUUGUAAGAGCAAGCAGUUGCACGUACAUUUAACUUGUGACUUCAAGUACUUUUUUUCCCGGUAAAUGAAGAAGAGGGAAUACUUACAUGGUGAGCAACUAAAAUGGCAAGCAUGUACAAUUGCAGUCACUUUUGGACAUAAAUACUCUAUUUAUAAGAAAUCCAAGAGAUCAGUGUGUCGUGUCAUAUUAGCCUCAAUCUAUUAUACUGGUGAAUGCACUCGAUCCCAUAAAAGCACCCCUACACAAAUCUAGUCAAGCCCAUAAUCUUAUUCACCUUUCAGAGCACCCUAUAAUUAAAAGAACCUGAAGUUGAAGAUGUCAGGACUGGUUUCACAGGCUUUUGCUUAGGGUUAAAGUACCACUAAAAAAUCAACUUGAAAAUCUUUUGCAGGUUUUGUUUGAUUCAGAAGAGAGAUUAGUUAUGCUUUAAGUUUCGAUUCAAUGAACCCUGAUUUGAAAUGCUUCUUGAUUAUGGCGGUAGAUAGGUAACACAUUAUUUGAUUUCCUGACUAAUAUAAUACAUUUCAUAUGAAAUUUCUAGUUUUUUUUUUUUUGGUCACCCAGGAUAUGCCGGGUUCGACUUUCCCUUACAAUAAGCCAACUCAUGGCCCGUACAGUUCGCAAUGCACCUCGGACCAGGCAUCAAUACCUGAGGGGAAGCUAGCACAGCACCCCACCACCAUGGCUCUCCACUUAAGAUGUGUUAGAAGCUGCAAAAUUUCGACCUUGGGACCUCUACGAUAAAGUGUCCAAAGCCGAACCAACAUUGCUGCCCACCAGUGGGUUGAAAUUUAUAGUUUUUGCCUUGUGUUAUGGUCAUAAACUUGAAGCAUGGAUCUUUAUGAUUUGUAAGAUAGCUAUUAUCACAUAGGAUACAUAAAAUAGUCUUAAUUCACGUCUAAGUGGUAUAAUUACAACGAACUGAAUCAAACAAGGUAUGGUUUGAAAGGCUUCACCCUUUUCAACUUAAGUUUGGUUUUCUUCAACACUUUUCCAAGCAUACAAAUUUGUUUGGGAAAGAUCUAGUUCGAGUAGAAUAAUACCUAACUGCAUAUACGCUUAAUCAUCAUGCCCCAAGAAUUAGUUAUGGAGAUCAAUCCCUAGAAGCAGCCUUAACACCUAUAACACUUCAAAAAAAAAAAAAACACUACACGGCGUGUUCAUUUCAUAUCAAUGUGGAAUUGGGGGGAAGGCUGAACUGUUACUUGUCAAAACCAGAAGGACCAAACAAUAUCAGUCCCUAGUUUCACUAACAUCAAAUUAUGUUUUCAUCCCCCAAGACAAAGUACUAACUUUCCUAACAUGUGAAGUAGCUGGGGGUGAUCAGUACUUGCAAGAUAUUCAACAAUUCGUUUCCUCAGAAGAACCAUUAAGACAGAGGGAGUCCAACUCCAAUGCCACAGCGUACACAAUGAAUGCCUUUGAUCAGCUAAUCCCCCACACCUAGCCAUUUGAUUAGGUACACCCCAGUGCAUUGACUAUUCAAACAAAUGCGAAAGAGAAGAUUUUAUAGUUUCAUACUUCCUUUCCUCAGCUAAUUUCAACUAGGAUAUUUGAAUAAAAGUCAAUGUUUUUAAAAAUUGUCCGAAAAUGAGAACUAGAUUGGUCAUCAUCGUGGGUUAGGCCAUGAUCGAAGGGGAAUAGCACUGAACACUUGACCAAAACCAAAAAUGGUAGGAAAAAGAAGCAGAAUAAGAAAAGAAAAAAAAAAACCCGUGCCAUGAUGCUGUCUCUUAUUUGCACUUCACAAACACACAGCGUAUAUAUGUGCAUGUGCCCUCAUUUUGGACAUAAGAAUGUCAACAUGGCUCAAUCACGUUGCCCAUCUAAAAUCAACUCGAGAAAUUAUAAAAUCGGUACUUGAACGUACUCGGAAGUGCUUGAGAACUCGUAAAGCCUUCCUUUCUGUGAAAAGAUGAUCACGGCCACUUCGGCAUCGCAGAGGACUGAGAGCUCAUAAGCUUUCUUCAGUAGCCCAGUCCGGCGCUUUGAAAAGGUGACUUGCCGGCUUGUCGCGUUCUCAAUUCGCCUCAUCUGAACUUUGCCUCUCGCCAUGAUUAAAUUCUUCCUACAUACAUGGUGGUUAUCAACCCUAGAAUGGCAAGUACUUAAACGUAGCGAUGAACAUGACAAAUAUACCUCAACGAUAAAAAAUAAUAACUCACCAGGGACUUUGGCAGCGUCAACCAGCUGAAGAUUUAUCUUUUUAUCCACCUCCUAUUGUCUAAACUUUAGACUGAAGUUCUUCAGAAGCUAAAAACACUGCAAGACAAAUCACACUUUUUUUUUUUCCAAACAGAGAUGAACUAUAUCAUCAUUCGAACACAAGCAAAAACCACAGGAUAAAGAUUUCACAAUCAAAGGUCGGAGGAUUAUAGAUUUGCCAGGGUAUUAAAGGGGGAAGCUUCUCCUACUCUACGUCAGAAAAAUGAACCACAAUAAAUUCAGAAACCCUAAAGAGGGAUGAGAGCGCAAAGGCAAAAACAAAAAACCUGGAAGGAAAGCAAAGGAUAUUUGGCAGCUGACGGAUCUCUCUUUAUUUUGUGGCCACAAACAUAAAAUGAACAAAAAAAAAAAAGACCUUACCAUUCGAAAUUCAACGAUCUUCUACUUAGGGCAAAUAUGGUGUGAGCUACCCAUGAAAAGGAAAUGCAAACAAAAAAGGAAAGAAAUAAGGAGGAAAGCAAAGCAUUCAGGUUCAACCGAAACGGCAUGGUCAAUUUGGUAAUGAAGAUUCAAAGAGGCAGAAGGAUUAUCUUUUUUUGAUAAAAUUAAGAAAAAGAAAGUAGAGAGAGAGAAGAUAUUUUGCUUUUUUUUUUUUGGGUGAUCUCGUAGUUCCUACGGGGUGGAGACGAUGGGGUCAAAACGUAUAUUAUGCCAAUGGGUUUCAGCUUCGGCUGUUGUGGCCUGCGUGACAUUCGAAAGAGAGAGCUGUAAGAAACAAAACAGGUGAAAACAAAGAGAAAAAGGUCGUGCGCUAACUAUAAAUUGUCGACAUCAUCAGACCAUGCCGUGUGCUGUUACCGAAUGGGCCGUUGACAAGUGGGAAAACAUUAUCUCUCACUUAAACUCAGUGGGCCUCCACUCGACCAAUGGAAAGAGACUGUCCUUUUCUUGGGCCUAAUAGGAGCAGCCUCUGGGCUCUUCUUCAAUCGGUUCCCCUCUUGAUGGGUUUACGAGCACUAAAUUCAUGGACAAGAUAAAUACAGAUCUAUCCUUUAGCUUAUCCUUUCUUUAUGUUCUUCUUAUAAUUCCUCAUUAUUUAGAAGUGUAAAAAAUACCUAAAACUUUUCGAUUUGGGUAAAAGUAAAGGAACUUGGAAAGUUUGACGCUAUAAUUUGGGUUUCGAUCUUCUUCUUUUUUUUUAAUUAUGUAUUAGGAGAUCAAAGGCCACUAGUGCACUAAUCCUAGAUCUUUUGAUUUUUUUUAUUAGCAGAAUUGUGAUCUUUGACCACCCAACCACCCAAAGGAAAUGUGAUCUUUGAGAAGAUUACUAUGUUUCGAUAGAAGACAAGUAAAAUAAAUAUAUCACGGUGUCAAUAGUGAAGUAGAGCUUGAAAAUUCAGGAAACCUUAAAGAUAAGAAAGGUUGAGGUUGUAGAUGAGAUUGUGAUUCCUGAAAUCAAUGAUAUUAAUCAGCUAGCAAAAUUGUAGCACUCUAUAGUCAUGAGUAGAUAAAGAAGGUAAAUUGGGCCACAGAUACAUUGUGAUUGUGCAUAUAUUACUCUCGCACAUUGAUUGUAACUUAUUUUGAGGUGAUAGUGCUAAAUCGUUAUAGUGGCUAAAGGUUAUUAGUGAAUAGAUGAAAUCACUCCAUUGAAACUAGAUGUGACAGCUUGUUAAAGUACCCAAGAGCCAAAACAUCAUUGUAAACAAGUGAAUCUAUAGACGGAAAGAGGCCAUUAAGGUAUAAGGUGAGAUUUGUUGUAGAGGGGUGUACACUACGAGAGAGCAUUAUUGGUUAAAAUGAGGUGUUUUAUUCUAUUGUAAGGAAUCCUUAUAUUUGAAUAUUACUUGCCUUAAUUGCUACACAAGAUCUCGAGCUGGAAUAGCUGGAUGUCAAGAUGACAAUUUUUUAGGAGAAGUUGAAGGAGUAGAUUUACAUGAGGCAGCCAAAAGGAUUUGUUAUUCUAAGUUAGGAAACCAUGUUUGUUUAUUAAAGAAAUCAUUUUAUGGGUGGAAACAAUCUCCUAAGUAGUGGUAUAAUCAUUUGAAUGCUUUUAUGAUUAGUCAAGAUUAUUUGAAAGUCGGUUGGACAGCUUACUUUAGGAUUAUGAAGGAUGAAUCUUUGAUUUAUCUAUUAUUAUUUUUUGAUGACGUAUUGAUAAUAGUUAAGAUUUUGUAUGAAAUUGGUGUGUUGAAAAGGUAGUUGAAUGUUGAGUUUUAGAUGAAAGAUUUGGGUAAUACAUAAAUGAGAAAAAUGUCAAAAAUGCUUAUUGGAUCAACUGUAUGAAGAGCUUUUGUUUCGAAUUGUGCUGUGAGUUUUACUUGCAAUUGAGUUGUUUAUUUGUAAAGACCAUAGGUUUUGGUGUACUUUAAGUAUGGGAAACAAUCGAGCAUGUAAGUAAUUAUUAACGCUAAAAUUCUCCAAUUGUUAGUAAAUAAUUUGCUACUAGCUCUUCUCGUUAAGGAGUUACCAACACAUAGACCAAACCAUGCAAAUUCCUAAUGUUUUUUCUUCUUGACUUAUUGCUGUGGUGAUUUUGCAUUGAUUUAAUUUGCAGGUUCCAAUAUUUUCCACAUUAAUUUUACAAAAAUUUAGAUGGACAAGUCACCAUAUCAAUUAUAAAAUACAAAAGAUGAGGACAACAUAGCUAAUGCGAUGUGGAUUCAUGAGGACACCAAAAUAACACAGGCCUUUGAUUAAAUCACAUAUCGAUAACGUAGGCUUUUAAUUAAAUCGCAUAUCUUUACUAAUAUAUUCAGCCAAAGUACGCACCUUACGCAUAUGACCAAAUGCCCCAUUUAUCAUGUUUCUAUGUCAUAACAAUCUUGACCCUUUUGACUAUUCCACAUUUUUUUCAAUGACUAAGUACAUUUUAUAGCGUUAACAUCAACAUAGUUGGAGAGCAUCUUCUCUCUACAAACUCAAUAUUAAGGCAAGUCUUCAAAACAAAGAUGCAAUACUAAUUGAGUUUCUUGGACAAAAGGCAGCCAUAACAUUCCCAAUGACCCUUUUACAAAACUAAAAGGCUUUUAAGCCAAAUUCAGAAAUCUAAAUACCUUACGAAUCACAAACAUUUAUCAGUUGAGAUGGUAGACAUUGUCUCCUUUAGCAAGCCAACAACCUUAAGUCAGGUUGACAAAUAAAGUGUGUUUACAAACUCUAUCAUAUAUUUGCAAUUGUCUCCCCGCCACUCACAAUAUCUACACAUAAUGGUCGAUACUGAGAGAAAUAUGUAUGCAUUUGUCUAAAUUUAGUAAUGGUUAAGUAUUUGAGAAGUAAUGCUAAAUCAUGUAUUGGGAUAAUAUACUCAUCGUUGAUUGAUUAAACGUUGAUUGAUUAAACAUUUUAACCCGUGGAUCAUUAUUUCAACAUGUAUAAAAGGGUAUUUUGGAUUUGAUUUAUUGGUAGUUUGGUUAAAAUGAUUGAAAUAGAACUACCCGUUACAAAUAACAUUUUUCAUAAACAAAUAAUCCAAUUUUACUUUAAAAAAAUCAAAAAGGAAUUCUUAUAAUUUUGGUCAAUGGGUAAAGAAAAUUUUACAUUUGAAAGUACUCUCACUUAAUAUUGAUUUGCUUCCCCACAUCACUUUCACAGGUUUAUUUGAUGCAUAAAAUCCGACACCCGAACUCCUAUAGUGUCAAAAGUUGGCAUAAAGGGACAUUUAAGUGUUAAAAGUUACAAAAGUGACACUUAAGUGUUAAAAUCGAAGAGAAAUUGAUCACUUAAGUGCUACUCCGACAAAAAUAUGGCCAAAACGCUGAUAUGUUAAUUUUCCGACAAAGCGAGUGCAAAACGGCGUCAUUUUUUAUACUGACGUGGUAAAAAAUUUAAUAUAAAAAUUAAUUAAAUUAAAUUUAAAACUAAAUUAUUUAAAAAUAUAUUUAAAAAUAUAUAAUUAAAAAAAAAGGGAGGCGGCUAAGGGCCUCCCUGCCACCGCCGGGAAGGGCUAAGAUGGAGAGGGGAGGGUCGGCCGAGGUCGUCGAACCCUAGCUAGGGGCCGGCGACCUUGGCCGACCGGCAACGAGGGUCGGUGACCCUCACCCAACCAGGCCAAGGGCCGCUGCCCGCCGAGGGGCUGCAACUCUCGCCCAAAUCUAGGGCAAAGGCUCGCGGGCCCUCACCACUAGUCGCCAACUGUGACAUCGUGAUUUUUCUAAUUCUGUCUUUAAUAAAAUGAGACGAGCAUUUCAUCUUCACACAUAUAGUUCUUUUCCAUAAGAGUCGGCCACUCAUCUGAAAAAUAGUCUAUCAAAUGAAGUCAUUAAAAGAUUAUAAUGCAUCAAACACGAGAAUUUUACCAAGAAGCAACCUUUCGACCGAGCCAAUCUGCAAAAGUCAUUACCGAAUAGUUAAAAAUCGAUUAGAAACCAAAGAUAGAUCGACUCGACCAAGGCAUGUGAUCAAGUAUGGGUGAUUCCACCAGAUUGCAUGAUUCUUGUAGAUCAACACUAGACUAGCUUUUUUGUCGUUUUGUUACCUUGUGUCCAUAUUGAAACAUUGAGAUUACCACGACAACCAAGAGUCGCCAAUGUAUCAAAGAUGUACGUUAUGGCUUGAAUUAAUCAACCACAGGUCAAAUGCAUGAAAAAUUCUUAAAGCCAUACGGUAGAUCAGGACACGCUAGUAUUGUACCGGAAUAAAAUUAACCGUGAAAUUGAGAUUGAAUUCAGAAAUUGGAAGUCCUAGUGUGUCACAAAUCAUUUUAAGAACAUUGACUCAUCUUCGAAGGAUUUUUCAUGCAAACCGAGUUUUUCAGAAAAUUAAUCAAAGUAUGGUUAAUUUGGCUCGAGAAUUUAGUAGACCCACUUUUGGUUGUGCUUUUGGGACUUAAUAUGGUUCUAUGGUCUAGUAAAUUUGUGAGUUGAAGUGUGGUGACAUUGGAUUGAUUUUAUGAACUUCAAUUUGAUUCAAUUAGAAGAGAAUUGAAUGAAAUUGAAAGAAUGUGUUGUACAAGAUUUUGAAUUUUAUGCCACGGCGGAAAAAAAAAUUGCACCCAUUAAAAGAUGUUAUGGAGGAUUUGAGUUAGUGGAGUGUGACAUCAUGUGAUGUCAUGGUGGGGCCAAAGUGGAGAAGAAAUUGACAAGUAGCAAGUGCUAAUUGGCUCUCAAAAAGUGGGGAUUUCACUCCAAUCUCCAUCUUCUUCCUUGGGAGUUGGAGAGGAGAGAGGGAGGCUGAGCAGAAGACCAGGGACGACAGUUCCUUUGACUGCUCAUCCAUUCACUCGUCUGGUCGCUCGCACGUCGCUGGAGUCCGUUGCCAUCGCUGUUACGGCUCGUUCACGCUUGCUACUCCGUUCGUCCGCACACAUGUUGCUGCGCUCGCCAAGCUGCCGGUUUCGUGUGGUCUCGACGUUCUCCGAAGCUCCCUUGACGCCGUUGAAGCCGUGCCACCACCGUUCGGUCCCCGAAGUAGCCGAGGCCGCCGUCGCUCGCCGAAGUGUGCUAUCUCACGCGAGCUGCUCUAGCUGUGAGUCCCUGUUGCUCCGCCUUCGUCCAUCGUCCAAUGUCAUCAUCCAUUCGUCCAGGCCGCGUCUCAGCCUCUCCGCCAUCACUUGAGCCAGCAUGGUGGUUGUCCAAUUUGCUAGAGAGUAACCACGAGCCAGCCAAGGUCAGCUCAUCACCGGUGUCGCUUCUCCUUUGCUCGCGUGCUCAGCCAGCUCGCACUUUGCUCGGCCAGCUCGCACUUUGCUCGGCCGUUGCUCGUGCGACCCUGACCUUCCAGCACCGCCAUCCGUCGCUACCCUUGAUUGCCCGCCACCGUUAAAGCCAGCAAAGACUGCCGUGAGCCACCGCCAGUCGCUGCCUGAGCUGCCGCCGUCCAUCCCUGCUGUGUCCGCGCCCAACCAACCGCCGAACAGCUCUCCUCCAGCCAAGAUCAUAAGCUAAGUUCCAACUAGGUCAUGGAACUUCAAGGCCUGUUUUGGGUGCCUUCCGAUCCUCUUUUGGUGUCGCCCCGUGGAGGUUUGUCGACUGCCUUGUCAUUGUCUUCGCCGAAGACUCAUCGGAAAGCGAUUCUAGUAAGUUUAGCUUCCUAAACCUUGAUUAGUGAGUUAAUUAUGCUUAGAGAUGUAUAGUUUAUAUUAAAUGUUGUUAUGUGGUUAGUUUAAUUUAUUUAAGUGUAAAUUAGAUUAAGAGUAUGAUUAAUUUAAAAUAGGUUUAAUUAAGGCUAAAUAAGUUUAUAUUAGAAUAAGCCUUGAUUUUAUUUUAAUGAAGUAUUUUUGGAUUAAAUAAAUAUUUCUAAAUUAUUUAAUAUUUUAAUAAUAUAUUAUUAUUCUAAAUUAUCAAAAUAUUAUUAUUUAAUUAAUUUUUGAAAUAAAUUUAAUUAUUUAAUAAAUUCCGAAAAUUAUUUUUGGACCUUCAAUUGUCAGAAUUUCAUGCUGAUUGCAAAUGUGCUUUUUGUUAUUUAUUUGAGUGCCAAUUUAUGAGAAUCGAGUAAAAGUGAUUAUGAGAGAAUUAUCCCAAAAUUUGAGAAUAUCGAUAUUUUAUGGGGAAAUGACCAUGGAAGGUUGUGAGUGGACUUAGAAAACUGUAGAAGUAUGGCCGUGCCAAUAGGGCUGAGAUUUACCACCGAAUUUGGAAUUGAUUGUGCCCAUCGGGCCGUAAUCUACCAUCUAUUAAAGGUCAUGUCGAGUGGGGCCGUGAUGCUACUAAAUCUAAACUUGCCGAGUCAGGCCGUGAUCUACCAGCUAUUAAAGGUCGUGUCAAGUGGGGUCGUGAUGCCACUAAAUCUAAACUUGCCAAAUGGGGCUAUGAUAACCACUAAAUUUAGAUUCGUCUGUAGGGCCGUGCUUGAGGGUCAAGAAUGAAUAGUUAGAAUGACCGUGUAAUGACCUUGAUGACAUGUAAUCGACCGAGUUGAUUGAUCGCUGAGUCGAUCCGAGUAAUUGAAUUGUUUGAAUUCUAUUAUUAUAUAUGCUUGAGUAAUAUAAACUGUGCUAAUCUGUAGGAAGAAAAUGAGGCAAAGGUAAGUCUCAUUGUUUGUGAUGGUGUGGCUAGGCCAUCCUUGAGUGUAUUUUCUUUCUAAUAGGGGUUUAAGGGGUGAACUUGCCCAGACAAUGUCUCACCCUGUCGUGGACUCAACAUUUUCAAGUCCUUAGAUGGCGGUCAUGGAAGUCAUGGACAUUUGUGGAGAUGGAAAUUGAAGAAUCGGCGAAUGUGUCUGACUAGAUCGUAGGACAAUUCCCUUUUUGUUAAGCCGGUCUAUUUUGUAGACAACCCUGUGUUGUAUAUAAACAUGUGUUUAUAAGAAAGCUUGUUUGGUUGUGAUUAAUUGCCUGCUUUUCUAUCCCAAGUUAAAUGUUGUUAGGAGAUUUGUUUCGCUUCCGGAAGCGUAAAAUACAUGAAUGGGUCAGUGACACGUCCUGGAAAGUCGCAUUUUUUUUUUAUUGAGUUGAGUAGGAUAUUCGCGUGCUCGAGGUUCAGGGUGUGACACCGAGCCUUGGCCAGGGCCCAGCGACCCCGGUCGACCCUCCCCUCUUCGUUGCCGGCCCUUUCUGGUGGCAGUGGGGAGGUAGCCGUCCCCCCUUUUUAAAAAUAUUUUUAAUAUUUUUAUUUUCUUUUUAAAAAUUUUAAAUAAAUUUAGUUUUAAAUUUAAUUUAAUUAAUUUUUAUAUUAAAUUUUUUUACCACGUUAGCACCAAAACGAUGUUGUUUUUGCAUUGUUUUGCCACAUCAGUGUGUAAAACGAUGCCGUUUUGCACUCGUUUCGCCGGAAAAUUGACACGUUAGUGUUUUUGCCGGAUUUUGGCCGGAAUGGCAUGUAAGUAAUUCAUUUAUCUCCGAUUUUAGCAUUUAAGUGUCAUUUUCGUAACUUUUGGCACUUGAAACGAUCUUUUAUCCUUAAAAUCCCUUUUUCUUAUUUACGAGGACAUUUAGGUACUUUUCUUGGCUUGGGAUUGACUCAUCCAAGAUGAUGUUCUUGUUUUAAGAAAAUGAAUUAUUGUAGAAUGAUUUUUUUAUAAAAAAAAUCACAUUAGUUUUGGUUUAUAGAUGAGAAGCUGGCCAUGGAUCUUGAUGUAGACCAACCUAAAUUCAUUCCUAACAAGUGACCAAGGAGGGGCCGUCAUCUUUUGAAUCCAACCUUGUCCAUAGAUUUUUCUAUCACGAAAAAGGAAAACAAAGGGAAAAAUAGAAAGCUCAUACAUAAAUGUUACUUCGCUUUUCUUAUUUAUUUGUAUAUCUUCUUACGAUGCACUGUACAUCUUAGUCAUCUCAUGUGUCACGGGAAGAUAAUAAAAAAAGUUCUAAACUCAUUACAAUUGUGUCAUCUUGAUGUAGACCAACCUAAAUUCAUUGCUAACAAGUGACCAAGGAGGGGCCGUCAUCUUUUGAAUCCAACCUUGUCCAUAGAUUUUUCUAUCACGAAAAAGGAAAACAAAGGGAAAAAUAGAAAGCUCAUACAUAAAUGUUACUUCGCUUUUCUUAUUUAUUUGUAUAUCUUCUUACGAUGCACUGUACAUCUUAGUCAUCUCAUGUGUCACGGGAAGAUAAUAAAAAAAGUUCUAAACUCAUUACAAUUGUGUCAAUCUUAUCAACAACUUCUUUUUAUCAAUUUAAUUUUAAACAUUUUGCAAUUAUGUUCAUUCAGUUCAUUCAGCCACACUAACAUGAAUGCUGGCUGGCGUCGGCCAUCUAGUGUCAACCAUCCUACAAAUGCUGACGUGAUAAUUUUUAAUAAUUUUUUUUUCUUUUUUUCCCCAUCUUCCACCUUCCUCUAGCCGAUUAGAGGCAUGGGCCAGCCAGGUCAACCUCGCUAGCCAAUGAUGAGGCUCACCUUCACUAGCCACUAGCAUGGGUGAGCCUUGCCCAACCAUGGUGAGGCCUUGCUAGAUUUGGCAAGACUUGACCUCACCCAGCCAUGGUGAGGGCGAGCUCCACUGGCCACUAGAAAGGUCGACUCUCACCAAAUCUAACCAUGGCUAGGUUGAGCCUCGCCAAAUUUGGCGAGGCCUUGACAUCAGCCUUGCUAGUGGCCAAUGAAGGCGAGCCUUGCCAUUGGCCAAAGAGGCUAACCUAUGGCCGCUAGCAAUCAACCAAAGGAAGUACGAAGAAGAAGAAAAAAAAAUAUUUAAAAAUUGUUAUGUCAAUAUUCACAAGAUAGCUAGCGCCAACUAGAUGCUAGUAUCCACAUCAACAUCGACUAACUAUAUUUGGUCAGAUGGAUAAAAUUAACACAAUUGCAAAAGUUUUAUAACUGAAUUAAUUAAAAAUAAAUAAAAGAUUUAAAAUUGAAUUGAAUUGACACAAUUACAAUUAGUUUAAAACUUUUUAUGAUAAUUUUCCCCACGCAUCACUAAUUAUCCUUAAGGCUACGUUUGGUCGUCGAGAUAAUAAUUAGGAUAGGAUAGGAUAAAGUAGGAUAUUAAAUCCUCUGGAUAAUAAAGGCGUACAUAUCUAAUCCUAUCAAGUGUUUGGCGCACUUCAGGAUAAGAUUAAAAAAUAUAUAUAAUAUUCAAUUAAAUUAUAAACUUAAAAAAUAGAAAAUUCAAUUAAUUAAAGGCCAUGGAAAAGCCCUAGAUCUAGGAAUUGUGGCCACCUUUGCAAUGGCCACCAUUGAAAAUGGCGAGAUGCGAAGAUGGGAGAAGAAGUGGAAGAAGAGGGCUAACAAUGAAUCGGAGAGGCGGAGGCAUCCAUUUGACAUAGAUGCUUAUGAUAUCUUCUCUUUUUGUUAAGUUCUUUCUUUCCUUAAAAAAAAAUUCUUAUCCAAUCCGGGCUUAUCCCACCCCCUCCCCCGGAUUUUUUAUCCGGCGUUUUAUCCGGAUGUAUCCAGGUUUGUCCAAUCCAAUGGACAUUCCCAAACAUUGGAUAGGAUAACAAAUUAUCCUAUCCAGACUCAAAUCCGGACUACCAAACGCAGAUAACACAAAAUGGAAGCUAACUUCUUAGAUGAAAAAUGUUGGACCUCGUCUUUUGGGAUGAGUUACAAAUCUAUUGAGUAGCCUCAUGUUGCAACAUGUCAAUUUUGAUUCCAAAAUAUUUCAGAUGCCCAUGACCCUUACGUCCGCAUAUGUCAACACUGAGGAAAAUUAUAGAGGUGAUGGAUGAAAUUUUUUUGGCUUAGCCAACCUUUAAGGGGUGUCCGACCAAACACAAAACCUUAAAGAGGUGAUGUUGUAAAAAUGCACGCAAGCAACUCGAAAAUAUGCUCAACAGAGACGUUUCUUUCUUGGAAUUAAUCGAUGUGUGAUUCAAAUGUGAAAACCAAGGUGCAGGCAAGUUAUUUCCUUUGUAUCGCUGAAUCUUCCUUGUAUAUGUCUGUCAUUGUUCAUUUCUAAUAUGUUCAUUGCCUUUGCUACUCUUACUCGUGGAUUUUCCAAAUAACUACCAUGAAUCCCAUGCACAUGUUGUCGUGGCAAUGCUAAGGGGAAUCUAGCUGAGUAAAGAUAUCACUGAGUGAUAUUGUCGUAAUUCUUAUUUUAUUCUAUUGAACAUGUAUUAUUAGGGUGAUGAUGAACCAGUUUAACUUUUUGGCAAUCCGACGAACAACUCGGCCUCACCAUUUGUACUCCGACUGCUCUGACUGUGACAUUCCGAUUUUCCAAUUCUAUUUCAUUAAAUUGAGACGGGUAUUUCGUUGGCAUGCAUAUAAUUCAUUUCCUUGAGUCGGCUACUCAUGUGAAAACUAGUCUAUCAGGUGAAAGUGUUAAGAAAUUCUAAUGCAUCAGACUCGAGAAUUUGAUCGAGAAGCGACCUUUCGACCGAGAUAAUCUACAAGGGUUAUUGCGGCACAAAUAAAAAUCGAUUAGAGAUCGGAGAUAGGUCGGCUCGACAAAGACAUGUGAUAAGGUGUGGGUGAUUCCACCGGAUCGCACAAUUCUUGUCGAUUGAUACUGAACCGACUUUUCUAUCGAUCGGGUACCCUAUGCCCGUGUUUGAAACCUUGAGAUUACUCCCGACAACCAAAAGUUGCCAAUGUGUCAAAGAUGUACAUUGUGGCUCGAGUUGAUCAACCACAGGUCAAACGCACAAAAAUUUCUAAAGGCUACCCGAUAGGUUGGGCCGCGCUUGUGUCGUGCCAAAGCGAGAUUAACCGUGAAAUUAAGAUCGAAUUCCGAAAUUGGAAGUCCUGGUGUGUCACAAACUUUAUUAGGAACAUUGGAUUAAAUUAUGAACUUUAAUUUGGACUCAAUUGGAAGAGAAUUGAUGGGAAUUGAAGAAAUUAGGUGAACAAAAAUUGGACCUCGGCGGAAAAUGAAAUUGAACCUAUUUGACUAAAGUUGUGGAAGGUUGGAGUUAGUGGAUGAUGACAUCACAAGUGAUGUUAUGGGGUAGGCAAGAUUGGCUAGGGUGGUGAUAAAUGGAAGGUGGGGAUGAGCUCUUGGAAAGGUGGGAUGUCACUUCCCCCUUGUCCCCAUCAUCUUCUUCAUUUGAACUUGGAAGAGAGAUAGAGAGAAAGAAAAAGCUGAAGUAAAAACCAGCAACCACCCCCUUCGUCCGACCCCUCUUCGCCCAACGGUUGCUCGCUCGGCCGGCCACCUUUCGCCCGCAUUCCUCGUCGCUCGCCGUUCGCCGGAGCUCACACCGUCGCCGUCUCGCUCGCAUUUUGCUGCUCCACCCCCACCGCGCCUUCAUCGUCGUCGUCCUUCCUCACCAGUAGCUGCUCGUCGUUCGCCAGCCACCGUCGGAGCUAGCAAGACUGCCAGAGCCACCGCCAGUCAUUGCUCGAGCUAGCAUCAGUCCUCCUCCGCCGUUCCUCCGCCUGUUCAGCCGCCAUGCCGCCUCCCUCCAAGCUCGGUCGGUGGAUGGAAAUUCCAGCAAGCUCCGGCCCUUCUAAGCUCGAUUUGGCCGCCUUUUAGUUCUCAUUUGGUGUUGAUCCGUGUAGGUUUGUCGUUGGUGUCGUCAUGCUCUUCGCUGAAGACUCGUCGGAAAACGAUUCCGGUGAGUUUAGCUCACUAAACCUUGAUUAGUGGGUUAAUGAUGCCUUAAGUGUGUUUAGCUUAGGUUGAUUGAGAUGAGGUUGUUACAUUAAUUUAGUUAGAUGUAGAUUAGAUUAAAGUGAUUAAUUAAGGUAAAGUAUGUUUAGUUUAAAGAUUAUGUAGGUUUAUUUUAAUAUAAGCAUUGAUGUGACUUAAAGGAAUUUGUUUAUGAUUUAAAUAAAUGUUUCGAAAUUAUUGGAUUAUUUAAUAAUAUAUUAUAUUCCGAAAUUAUUAAAAUAUUAUUAUUUAAAAAAAAUUCAAAAAAUUAUUUUUGAUCCUAAUUGCUCAGAAUUUCGUGCCGAUCGCUACUGUAUAUUUAGAAUUUGAAAUUGAUGAGUUGUUAAUGCAAAUUGAGUAUUGAUUGUGGAAAAUAUGGAUUUUAUUUAGAAAAUCUCAAAUGUCGAGUUUGGCACCGGAAUUGAAUUUUUAAAGAUUAAUAUUGUAAUUGAAAUAUGUGAAUGAUGUGCAAAGUGCCUUUAAUUGAUUAUGAGAUUGUCGUGUGAUAAUUAAGUGGAGUUUUCUUGAGCUAUUGAGUUGGAAUUGCCCUUAUAUGGGAUGCCCCAUACAAUGGAUGUGAGUCGCAAUUGAUUUUAGGCCCAUGCUCCUUCGGGAACGCCGUCGAUGUACUAACAAAGCCGCACUCCAAGGUGGGGAGGCGAUGCCUGGCUUUAUGUCAGUAGAUAGCCGAAUUGUGAGUAGGCUAUGCCCUUGUGUGAUGGUGAAUAAUAAAUUGGAACGCUUGCUGUGAUUGAGAAAUUGAGUGAAAUUGAUUGUGUUCCGACGGUUUACGUUCUUAUUAUUAUUUGUGUUGAAGUGAUAUGAAUUGUACUAACCUGCAGGAAGGUAAGAAGGCGAGGUAAGUCUUCUGUGUUGUGUGGCUAGACCACUCUGAGGCGUAUUUUCUUUCUAAUAAGGGUUUAGGAGGGGUGAACUUGCUGAGACAAAGUCUCAUCCCAGUUUGGGGAAAAUAUUACAGGGCCGUAGAUGGUGGUACCCCCGAAGAAGAGUGGUCUAUCGACGGAGAUUGACCAGAUGACGCAGAGUGCUCCUGACCCUAGAAGUCCUUGGGUCUAUCAGUUGGUUAAGUCCAUUGUCUGGGUCCAGGUGAUCGUGGAUGUCAGAGUACCUCAUAUGUUUAGGGCUUGGUUUCGUUUUGGAGUUGAUGGCGUUAGAGUUGGCCCACUGGAUAGCAUGGACAUUCCGUUGACUGUGAUGAAUGCCAUUUUGGGUAAAGGCGUGGCGGAUCUUCCCAACGGUAGAGUGAUCAACGCAUCGCCCCCAGCCUCUUGGGUGACGAAUCCUGAGGAUAUAGGAUCGUCGAACGGGGCUGACUAGUAGUCUUAGGACUGUCCCUCUUUUUGGCGGACCGAUCCAUGUUAUGUAGACUGAUCCCUUUUUGAUGCACAUAAGCUCUGACCCAUUUUUUGUGCAUAUAGUAUCUGGAUCCUAUUGGUGUAUGUAAACCCUGGAAUGAUGAUGAUAAUGAUAUAUGAAAGUAUGUUUGUUUGAUUUUGAAUUGAUCUUCCUGUUGUACUGUUGACACCUAAUUUAAAUUUAGUUUUUUUUUUAGAAAUUAAAAAUAGAGCAUUUGGUUUUAGAGGGAAAUUUUGAAUUUUCUUUUGAAUAAUAAAACAUUUGAUUGUGGAACAAAUCUCCUCAUUUUGAAUUAAAAAAACUCAACCGUGUGAUUUUGAAGCCACUAUUUUGUUGAACGGUUGAGCGAAUAUGUGCAAAUCUUCACCUGCAAAAACAAAUUCGAGUGUUUCCUCUAUAAAGAGAGGAUACAAAGCUUCAGUAAAAAGGGGGGGCUUCUAUUUGUCAAAAAAUUGAAAAGUGAAAAGAGAGGAAAGGGAAUAAAGGUUUCGUUUUUUUUAAAAGGAAAAGUUAGCCGAAGCUUUUUUGGGUUUUUCUGCUGAAGUACGACAGCAACAGGGGGGUAGAGAAGAAACAUCAGAAAAGCGAUGUGAGGGAGACGUGAGAGAGAGAGAGAGAGAGAGAGAGAGGAAAAAGAAAAAAGAAAAAGCAAAACACAGCAACUAUUCAUCUUCUCCUCUGCGACUGCCGUUCGUCGAACACCUCGCUCUCUACUUGCCCGUCGCUGCACUCGGUGCCUCAGCCUCGACGACCACGCCUCCACAACUCGCAGCCCAGCUGAUUCCGAGCCGGCCCGCCGUGCCCCCGCUGUUGUCGCGUCUCUGACCACCCGAGCCGGAUCUGCAGCCCUCCACCUGAUGACCCGAAGCCCUACAUCAACGAAUCACAGCAAACCACCUCCCUACCGGACACCGCACCGCGCCACCCUCUGCUCAGUCCCCGCACCUGCUCGAAGCUCGAUCUGCCGCACCAGAACGCUGACUCGCCCCCAACUUGUCUGCGACCCGCGACCCAGCAGAUCCCGAGCCGGUUCACCGCACCUCCGCUGCUGCUGCGCCCUUGAUCACCCGAGUACCAGCAGCCCCCUGUCGCUCGAGUCGAGCCGCUCCACCCACAGCUCGAAGCCCACCGUACCCGACGCCUGCGCCUUGCCUCCGGCAACCCGCGAGCCCAAACGCCUGCAGUGCUCAUGUCCAGCUCCACUCGUCGAACUCCCCUCCGACGAAGUCACUGCCUUGCUGCACCGCGACACCAUUGCUCUGCGCCUCUACUCAAGCCCGAACCAGUCACUGAUUUUUUUUUUCCUAUAGCUCCGAAUUGCCGGACCUCGCCGGAGCUCCGCACCUCCACAACCUCCAAUCGACGGUGACGCCACCGUUACAGUUGCCGCCCUUCACUAGAGCCGGUGACCAGCCACACGAGCACAAGCCGUGCUUGGGAAGAAAAAGAACAAAGGAAAAAACAAAAGAAAAAGGAAAGGAAAUUAGGUAGUAUAUUUUUAUUUUUUUAUUUUUUACUUAUUUCAUGUUAUGUUAGCUUACUUUUAAUUUUAAUUAUUUGAAUUGUAGUAUUGUAUGUCAAUAUUUGUAGACCUUGUAGACAUUAGGAGUUUUAUCCCAAAUUAAGGUAACUAUUAAUUUGACCCGUAAGAAGUCGGGUUAUUUCUUUUUAAUUACUUUAAUUUCCAGGAAUUUUGAUAACAUUUCAAUCAUUAAAUCAUUAUAGAGUUAAAAUAAUUGUUAAUUUAAUCCGUGAGACAACGGAUUAUUUUUUCGGUUAUUUUAAUUCUUAUCUUCAUUAUUUUUAAAAUAAUUACUUGCUUGGAAAGAUCAAAAAAUCUAAAAUAAAAAAAAAUCUAAAAGUACAUAAAAAUCUAAAUAUUGCAUUAGAGCAUUUAGGUUUACUAAAUUAGAAUUGCAUUUAUAGGAUUAUAAUUUUUAGAUUAUACUUUUAGAUGGGUGAUUUUUGUUAGGGCUAAUUUUAAAUAAUGUUGGCAUGUCUUGAUUUUUUUUUUAUAUAGCUUUUAAGAUAAGAUAUAGUUUAAGUUAAAUUGAUUUCUAAAAUAAAUUAGAAUAUUAUUCACUUUAAUUAGUUUAAUUAUUCUUUAUUAAUUCUGAAUUUCAAUAAAAAAAAAUCCAAAAACUAUUAGGUACAUAUUAAUUAAUUUGCAUAAUAGGUUUAAUUAGAAUUUGAUUAGUAAAAUGGUCAUAUCUAGAACUUAGGUACUUAGUGUAACAUCCCGAUUUUCCGAUUCUAUUUUCAAUAAAAUGAGACGGGCAUUUCGUUGGCACGCAUAUAGUUCUUUUCCUUGAGUUGGCUACUCAUGUGGAAACUAGUUUAUCGGGUGAAGCUGUUAAGAGUUUAUAAUGCAUCAGACUCGAGAAUUUGACCAGAAAGCGACCUUUCGACCGAGCUAGUCUGCAAGGGUCAUUACGGCACGAUUAAAAUCGAUUAAAGAUCGGAGAUAGGUCGACUCGACAGAGGCAUGUGAUCAGGUGUAGGUGAUUCCACUAGAUCGCACAAUUCGUGUCGAUCGACACUAGAUUGACUUUUUUAUCGAUUGGGUACCCUGUGUUCGUAUUUGAAACCUUGAGAUUACAACCGAAAGUUGUCAAUGUUUCAAAGAUGUACAUUGUGGCUUGAGAUUAUCAAUCAUAAGUCAAAUGCAUGAAAAUUUCUAAAGGCUACCCGGUAGGUUGGGCCGCGCUAGUAUUGUGCCAAAGUGAAAUUAAUCGUGGAAUUGAGAUCGAAUUUAGAAAUUGAAAGUCUGGGUGUGUCACAAAUCAUUUUCGGACCAUUGGCUUAUCUUUAGAAGAUUUUUCAUGUAAUCAGAGUUUUUCAGCAAUUAAAUCAGAAAAUGGUUAAUUUGGCUCGAGAAAUUAGUAGGCCCGCAUUUGGUCGCGCUUUUGGGACUUAAGUUGAUUAUAUAGACAAGUGAAAAUGUGAUGUGUGGUGACAUUGGAUUAAUUUUAUGUAUUUCAAUUUGAUUCAAUUGGAAGAGAAUUAAGUGGAAUUAAAGAAUUUGAUGUACAAGAAUUGGACCCCGGCGGAAAAUGAAAGUGCAACCAUUGGAGAAGUUGUGGAGGAUUUGAGUGAGUGGAAGAUGACAUGGGAUAAUGUCAUGGUGGUUGAGGCCAAGGGUUUGACAUGUGGACUUGACACGUGGAUGGUGGGGGACUGGCUCUUGGAAAGAAGACCCAUCAACAUCAUCUUCUUCCUUUGGACUUGAGAGGAGAGAGGGGGGGGAGCUCCGAUCGGAAGCCAGCCGAGCUCGUCCGCCCGUUUGGCCACUCGUCGCCGUCACCGCCGCAUGCCGUCGCUGCUCCUCGGCCGCGCGCGCUCGCCCUCAACCUUUCCUCACCCUCCUCAGCUACCGUCGGAGCCUUCUCUCCAGCUUCGUUUACUGCCCGAGAUCCUAGAUCUGGGAUGGACGCCGAAGCAGCCCGUGCCAUGCGUGACGCCACUGCCCUCCGCCGUGCUUCACGCCAUCGCUCCACCGCUGCUCCACUCAUCUCGGUCUCCUUCUCGCCUAGCUCACUAUUCCAGAGCUGCUGUCCAGCUCUGUUCGAUCAGAGUAGGCCACAGCUUAGCCGCCUCCAGCCACCGUGAGUCCCGCCGGAGCCGCCGCCUCGCCCGCCAAGCUGCAGCUGCCGCUUCUCCACUGUUCCUCGCGCCCGAACCGCCACUGAGCAGCCUCCGUCGGCCUCAACCAGCAGCUGCAGAAAAUGGGUAUUGCAGCUCGCUCGUGGCCUAUUUUGACCGCCUUCCCGAGCCCGGAUGCUCGGCCCGGCUUGAGGAAAGUCGCUCCUCGCGUCGUCCUCGUCAUUUUGGUCCGCUCGGCUCACUAAUCCGGUGAGUUUAGCUCACUAAAUCUUGAUUAGACGGUUAAUGAUGCCCUAAGUGUGCUUAGCCUAAGUUAACUAAACUUAGGUGAUUAAAUUAGUUUAUUUUGUUGAUGAUUAGAUUAUGAUGUUUAAUUAAAUUAAAGUGUGUUUAGUUUAAAGUUAAGUAUGUUUAUUUUUAAUAUAAAGCCUUGAUGUGACAUAAUAGGUUUUAAUUUUGAAUCAUUUAAUUGCUUCGAAAUUCUGGAAAUCUAUAAUAUUAUAUUAAUUCCGAAAUUAUUAAAAUAUUAUUAUUUUAAAAAAAACGGAAAAAAUAUUUUUGACCCCGGUUGCUCAGAAUUUCGUGUUGAUCGCUGCUGUAUAGUCGGAUUUUGAAAUUGAUGAUUGGAUAUUAUAAAUUGAGAGUGGAUCGUGAAAAAUAUAAAUAUUAUUAUUUAAUUAUUUUCGGAAUAAAUUUAAUUAUUUAAUAAAUUCCGAAAAUUUUGUCAAGACCCUAAACUCUCAGAAUUUCGUGCCGAUUAUUGCUGUGCAUUUAGAAUUUGAAUUUGAUGAUUGAUUGUGGCAAAUGAAGUGUGAUUGUGAUAAAUAGGGAUUUUUUAUAAAAUCCUAAGUGUGGAAAUUGAUGAGAGAUUGGCCGUGAUGAACCACCUAUUAGAGGUCGUGCCUAAUAGGGCCGUGAUCGACCACCUAUUAGAGGUUGUGCCUAGUGGGGCUAUGAUGGACCACCUAUGAGAGGUCGUGCCCAGUGAGGCCGUGAUGGACCACCUAUGAGAGGUCGUGUCCAGUGAGGCCGUGAUUGACCAUCUAUUAGAGGUCGUGUCCAGUGAGACCGUGAUGAACCACCUAAUUAAAGGUCAUGCCGAGUGGGGCCGUGAUUGCCACUGAUUGUUAAACCUUCCUAUAAGGCUGUGAUUGAGAGCAAUGAUUGAUUUGCUAGAAUGACAUGUAAUCGGCCGAGUCUAUUGAUCGCUGAGACGAUCCAAGUGGUUGAAUUGUUUUGAUAAUGUGGUUGUGCCACAGUUGUUUUGUUAUCAUAAUUGUACGUGGUUGAAUUAUAUAAAUUGUGCUAACCUGCAGAUGAAGACUGAGGCGAGGUAAGUCUUCUGUGUGAUGUGGCUAGGCCACCCGGAGCGUAUUUUCUUUCUAAUAGGGGUUUAGGGGGUUGAACUUGCUGAGACAUCGUCUCAUCCCGGUUGUGGGAUUAGAAUUUCAGGUCCCUGGUGGACGGAGCGGCCAGAUAGCUUUGGCUGGCCUUGAGGAGUUGCAGAAGUGAAGUCAUAAGGAUUGGAGAAUGUCCGAUUUGUAGGUCGUAGGACAGUUCAUUUUUAAGAGCAGGUCUUUUGUAGACUUUUGGCUAUAGGCCUUCGUCUGUAACUCCGUUAGUUUAUGUAAGUGAUUGGUUGUGAAAUUAUUUCCUGCUUUUCUAUCUCAUAUUUUAUUGUCAGGUGUUUUAUAAUACGUUUCGCUUGCGCAAUAAUAAAUGAAUGGGGUUGGCGACAUUAACCUGGAAACGUCACAUUUGAAUGACCGCAGUGGGAUGUGCGCACGCUCAGGGUUCCGGGCGUAACACUUAGGUCCAUACACAUUUCAUAUUAAAGCAACACACCUAGAUAUUUUUAGAUUAAGUCAAUUUUCAUUUAGUAAAACAAAAGAGGAACAAAAAAUGUUAUGCAUGCCAUACGAGUUAUAGUUUAAUUAUUAUUUUUAAUAAAAAGGAAAAUGCUAAAAGAUGAUCAUUGCACCAUUAAGUUACUUUCUUUUCAAUAAAAAACAUUAUGUCAUUAAAAAAGAAAAAAAAAAAAGAGAAGAUCAUUUCCUUGAUUAGUUAAUAGGUUAAUUCAUAAUUAAUCUCAUUUCAUAUUAUCAUUAUUUAGCAUAGGUUGUAUAUAUGCAUUAAAAAAAGUCAUUAAAAAAAUCAUAAAAAGAGCAUGUAUAUAGAUUUAUCAUGUCAUUCAUCCCAUAUCAUGUAGCACAUGCAUAUUUAGGAUUAUAUAAAUUAGAUUGCAUACAUAUAGUGAUAAGUUUAAAUCAUACCAUAUGAAUUGCAUCUCGCAUGUCUUUAAAAUAAAUCCACGUAUAUUAAAUUUAGAUUAAGAUUGUAUAUAAUUGACAUUUAAAAAAAAAAUUAGGUGUCUUGUCAUUUAGAAAUCAUGUUUAAGGCAUGCAUUUUUAUUAGCAUUUUUCAUUGAAUGUUAUUUUAUUGAUUGUACACCCGCAUGACCACCAUUUGCAUGUUAGUAGUUUAGGUUAAAAUUAAUUAAUAUUGUCUGCUAAAUAUUUUUGAAAUUAAAAUAAAUGGUACUGAAAGGGCGUUAGAUUAAUUUAGCGUAAUCAUGUCCCCGGACUUAUUGAAUCUAUGGUUCGUAAAAAUAAAGUAUUCUCCCAUAUUUUAUUUGGGUUUCUAAUCGACCUUAAUUGAUUAGUGGCGGCUCCAAAUUGAAUAGAAUUGCAUGUUUAAAUAGAUUAAUUCCAAGUCGUGAUUGGUAGGACUUGGGAGGGUUCACGCCAAGUCUUCAGACUUAGUAAUCCAUUAACCUAAACUUUAGGAUUGCCCUGAAAAUUUAGGUCGCGACAUGUCCUAUCUCGUAUGUUUAUGUCAAGGGUUUAUUAGUACGUUCCGCAUGCGCAUAAUAAUUGAAAUGGAUUUGGUGACACUACCUAGGAAUGUCGCAUUUAUAUGACCAUGACUGGUUGUUCACGUGUCUCGGGCUUCGGGGUGUGACACCGACUAUGUAUUGUUGUUGCUCUCGGAUGAGCUGUUGAUUGCCCGGGAUUUGCGAGACAAUGAAAUUGGAAGAAAGAAAAAAAGGACCCAAAAUGCUUUUAUAUUUAAUUAAAUAACAAAGGCAAUUGAAUGGUGGAUGGAGAACCUGGAAACCUUCACUCAAUUAAAAUGAAAAAAAAAUGCUUCAACACAAUUUGAGAUUUACACGCAAUGAACAAGCCUUUCAAUUAGGUGACGAAGCAUCUGUCUAUGCACUUAGAUCUAUUAAUAGUCAUUGGGAAAUUUCAAACUUUUCCCAACAUCUGACUCUAGAAGAGGCUCUCUCCUACAUGGUCGGGGAAAAAAAAACUCUAAAAGUGGCUAGCUACGCUAAACAUGACUACAAGCUUUGGUUCCACCUAUAGUCAAUGUCUAAAGUAUAGACUAGCAUCUCAUGAAAGUAAUAUACUCUAUGUUGUUGUAAUUUUUUCAACAGUGGUCAUAUUAAAAAGUUAUCAGUUUUUGUUAUCGAGUUAGUAAUUUCUAAACAGAUCGACUAAUGGUUACAAAAUCAUAGAAAUACACAGAAACUUUCAGUCCUUCAACAAUCCCAUGUUAGAAGCAUAGAAUUGUACAUGAUGAUGGUAAGUUGGGUAGUAGUUUUCUCCAAAUUAAUUACUCAGAAACAUUGUACUACUAAUUUUUAUUGCCAUAUUGGCAAUUACUAACUUUGUGAUAUUUUCACCAGGAAAGUUGAAUUUAUCCCAACAACUCUAAAAGUGAUUCUCUUCCAUUCUCAAAAAAGACGAAUAAAAAACAUAAAAGCUCGAAAAGUGAUUAGGUAUGCCAAAUGUGAUCACUAAGAACUUUGGCUGCAUCUAUAUCCCCAGUUGGAAUUCCCAACAUAUUCUUCCGUGAAAUAUUCUCAAAAUUGUGAUAUUCACAACACGGGUCGCUAACUUAGUGCUAGUAACAUUUUUCUUUUCCAGUCAGUAACUUUCCAAGCAUAUCAAGUAAUGGUCAUGAGAGCAAAAAUAGACAGAGUUGGGUCCGUCUACAGUCCUACAGUCCUAUAGUCCAAUACACAGUUGUAUCUAAAAUUUGUUUUCCCAACAUGAGUUCGUAACUCUGUACUAGUAACUUCCAUUACGGAGUCAAUCACUUUCUUAACAGAUCAAGUGCGGGACCAUAGAAGGACACGAAGAUUUGAGUUUGUAUACAAUUCCAUGUAAAAAGAAAAGUAGAAUUGAAUAUUAUGACUGUAAAUUUAUCGGUGAGGUGAUAAUUUUCCCAACUUGGAUUAGUAGCUUUGAGCUAGUAACAAGUUUCAAGCAGAUCAUACAGUCUCAAGAUCAUAGAAUUCUUCGGUGAUGUUCAACCUAUCUGCUCAUUGUAAAUUACCCUAUCAAAAACGAAACUUCUCACGGAUAGAGAAAGGUUCAUGUAAAUACCGGUACAUAACCCUGAAAUUAAGUAUCUCUCGCUAUGUAUUGUCCUUUUCCUCAAAACUGAUAAUGUUGCAGUACUCUUUAAAUGUUUUAACACCAGGACUAAUAGAGAGCAGGACAAAUUGAUGACCAGCACAAUAAACUGUACAGCACACAAUCUCCUAAUAUUGGUUUGAUGGACAAAAGCAAAAGCUUCUUCACUACACAAGCCUAUUAGAAAAUUAGAGCAAAAAACAUUAUUAAUCAUUAAAGACCCCUCUCUCUCUCUCUGGUCUUAGCAGAUCAUAAAACUGCAUUGUUAGAUCAUACAUGAAAAUUAUUGAGAGAUUCUAUUGCAGGUUUCACAAAUUUGUGGUUAGUAGUUAAUAUAUGCACAGAAGAGUGAUGAUGCUUGGCAAGUGAUAGGAAGGAAAUAAAAGCACCGAUGGGAAAGAGGGCGACACCUUUGCAAGAAGCUUUGCAUUCUCUUCUUUCAGAGACCUCUCCUGAGGUAAACCAAAUAAAGUUGCUAGAUUAAUAUAACCAGGAAAUUAACAAUGCCUGAUGAGAUGGGAUAUGCAUUCAUCAUAUUUGUCCACUUACCUUUGCUUGUAGCUGCCGCCGUAUCUGAUCGUUGAAUAAUUAAGCCUGUAAAAGAGCUCCGUAGAAAUAUUUUAACUUUCGUGUGUGUGCAUGUUGUCCCGAAACCUUUCUUAGUACAAGGUAAAAAAUAAUAAAAGAGAGAAAAUAAGUUGAAAUGACGGACGAUAGAAAUGAAAGGACGAUGCUUUGCAACUUGUCCAGAAACAUAGUUCAAGUGAAAAGUUGUUCAUGGAAAUCGGCAAGGUUAACAUAAUAAAAAACUCAUAGUAUUCUAUCAUUUCAUGCCAAAGAGUGCGCACUAUUUUUUUGUUUCAUGUAAAUAAGUAUCCACUCAUGUCAAUAAGUGUAGAAACCAUUGGUAAAAAUUGACCGAUGAUCCUUUUUUUUUUGGUCAGAGAAGAAAAGCCAGUUAUUUAACCAAACCGAAUAAAUUUAUUAACUAAUCAAAUAAGAGUUGGCAACGCAGAAUUAGUUGGUUACUUAAACAGAGAAAAGUUAGUAACUCCUAUUAUCAAGAUUGGUAAUUUCUAGUUGGGUUCGUGAAGGGUGAAGAGGAGUGAAGUAUUUUUAUCAACAGAAAUCAUUUUAUAACGAGGAAAGUGAUAAAGAGAAGAAAGAUCUGCUGAAGUUGUUGGCACGUAAGACAGAAGAGAAAGAGUAGACCUCAUUCUCCACCAUAACACAAUGUUUCCAUUAGAGUAGUCAAAGGAAGGGUUAGAGUAGGAAAAAUUGCACUAAGAAAGACCAAAUAAGCGUUGGUAAGUUAGUCCCGAAAAAAUAAGUCUAUAAGUCUAUAAAGUUAGUCAAAUAGAGUUAGUUACCCAAAAAGAGUUAGUAAUUUUAGCGAAAAAUAGGUCUAUAAGCUAUUCACAUAAAUAUUUGCAAAUACAUAUAAGAGCUAUUAAAUUUAAAGGAAUGGCAAGAAAAAAUAAAUAAAAUUUAAUAAAAAAUAAGAGAUGUUGAUAAUUGCACAUUGUUGAAAAGAGUCGGUGAGUUCAUACAAGUGUAAGUUACCAAUAAGUCACUUAGAAAUCAGGUAAUUGAAUACUUUUUUUAAUCACGGUUUUUUGUCACUUACAACUCUUUCAUAGGUUUAUCAAAAACUAUCCAAUUUAUUUUGGAAAGACAAACAAUAGAGUCGUCCAGAUAACUUCGGGAAAAAUACUGAUAGAAGAAUAAUCAUGAUCUUUUACUUGUUUAUCGUGGGAAAAAAAAAAAAAAAGAAUAGGUCAAUAACUAUCAAGAGAAGGGGUGAUUUCUGAAUGUGCUCUCGUUCUUUCAUAUAAGGUAGAAAACGCCAUGUAUGCUUGGAGAAAUAUUCAUUCUCUCCUUUCAUAUGCCAAGUUGAACAUUUUUAGUCUAUUCAGUUCCAAUCUUACCAUGUGAUUGCAGUCUCUCUUGAAAUUGGUGUUUCGGCUCCUGUAUGGAUAUGAUAAAUCCUGUUAUUCAUUUAACGGAAAUUGUUUCUCAUUGUUUUCUUCCCCUUCUCACCAUAUCCAUGCCUCCAAAUACAGCGGCUACUCUAUGAAAGUUCUCAAGACAUCUACUUCGCUCAGAGAAAAGGACAAAUAUGCUAAAGACGCAUGUACCUUUCUUUCCCUAAUGCUGCUCAAACUUCGCUCGAGCUGAUCCCCUCUCUGUUGGAUUUCAUCGAUUGAGCAAGAUCCAAGAUAUUCUCCUGAUAGCUUCCUGAUGUAAAAAAGAAAAGGAGCACGAUAGUUUGGGAAUUAGAUAUCAAGAAUCCAUUUCAAUCCACAAUAUAUAAGAGAGAAGUUUCAAAAUUUGUGGACCGUAGAGAAACUUCAAGAAGCUCAAUCUUCCUCUCCAUGUCAGUGGUUUCUUGCUUCAGACGCUGCACAUAUAUGGAGAUUGUGACAUUUAUGAAUCCAGUGAACGGAACAAUACAAACUGAACAAAUUUGAAAUUAGUAAUAAAUAAAACCAAUCAUAGGGACCAAAUUUGUAACACUACAGCUAAGACUGCUACUAUAAGAACCCUAAUGUUCUUGCAAAAUUUGUAGCUGCCAUAGUCAAUUCUAUGGCAUACCACCUCACUAGUUCUUGAGAUCAAAGGUAGGGUUCUAAUCAAGAACGCAGUUCGAUAUUAUUACAAUCUGCAAAUACAUACAUAAAGGUUCAACACCAACAAUCAAUUUUAAGACUUCUUCAAGAAAACAAUAAUAUGUAAAUGCCCAAGAAGGGCAUGUUUCUGAGGCAUAAAGUGGUGGAUGAUGAGUGGGAUUUCAGAAGCUGAAACCGUUUUCGNNNNNNNNNNNNNNNNNNNNNNNNNNNNNNNNNNNNNNNNNNNNNNNNNNNNNNNNNNNNNNNNNNNNNNNNNNNNNNNNNNNNNNNNNNNNNNNNNNNNNNNNNNNNNNNNNNNNNNNNNNNNNNNGCCAAAAGUCCUUUAUCUAACCAUAACAGCACUUUGAUUUCGACCAAAAUAAAUAAAUAAAUAACAGCACUUUGAUAGCACAGCUUUGGUGGCUCUCUCAAAUUAUUCCCACCUGUACUAGACUAACAUUUUGAGAUACCUGACUUUUGCUGUAAAGUAUGAAAUUUGGAUGAGUUUUCUAGAAUUUGGUUCACGAGAGGUAAUGCAUACUUAAAAAGAAUAAUUCUAGACAUAUUAAGGCUUGUCUCCUAAAUUUUUUUACUUUAUGACCCCCCAAAAAAAAUUCAUUUACUAAUUGAUGAUGUAGAUUCCUGAUAGGUACUUAAACGAGUUUACUAACUUAAAUAACAUUUAUGCAACGGCACAUCGCUUAGCAAACCAAUGUAGAAGGUAUUCCCCCCAUUCCUCAUGCUUAAGAACCAUGAAGCAUCUCUCAUGUACAAAAUCACAUGCAUCACAUAUAUGUAUUUAACCUAGUAAACGUUCAAUUUUUCAUUUUCUAUUUUUAUUAUUCUUUCAAAGUGAAACAUUUACUGCUAUUUUUCACCCAAAAAAAAAAAAAACAUUUACUGCUAUCACUCAGACAAGAGAUGUACUUAUGAAUGAACGCUCCAAGUUGCUAUCCCCAUUAAUGGUCAUAUUCUGUUGAUGCAGACAAAAAGACUUACAAAGUUAAAAUUUGAAAUAUUGACGUUUUCACUCAGCUUUGGUGACAAUGGAUGUAAUGAAAAUCAACAACUCAAAUAAGAGUUGAAAAUGAUUAGGAUUCUUCUUCUAGUUGAAAUAGCGAUCUUAUCAAUUAAGAUUUGAGCACUGUUAGGAUUUAAUUAAGUUCAAUAUUCUAGUGGUGGGACAUUGUAUUUCUUGUAUAGAUGUUUCCUAUUUCAAUCAGGUUUCUUAUUGAGAAGUUUCCCAUACUAAGUAAGAGUAGGAUUUCUAGAAUAAUUUAGCAAUUUUUUUUUUUUAAUUCGUGAUGCGAUAAUACUCUUACAUGUGAUGCCUAAGAAACCCCAUUUGUGAUGCUCAGGCUGUUUUAUGUCUGAUGCCUAAAAAAUUACCUAAUUUGAGUUGUCGUCCAUUGAAAAUUCUCUUCAAGUUCUUAUUAAGUUGAACUCACUGCUUAGGGAGAUAUCAUCCACUAUAUCAAUUUUGUAUAAUGGUAGAGAUGAUAUGUCCUGAAUAGUGAGCUUCAAAGAAAACUUGAAGAGAACAAACGAUUCAAAAUGAAUAAGUUUUUUCGGCAUCACAUCUAUACUUUCUAAGCAUCUCACCUAGGGUUUCAAAAGUGCCACACUUCAGAGAACGAUUCCAUCACACAAGAAAGAAAUACAAUCCUUAAAAACCUUUCUAGGAUUAAUGAUACUCCCACUAGGAAGACUCCAAACAAGAAAUAGAACUGAAAUAGAAUUCAUCUACAAAAGAAUUUAAUGUUCCAUUUGUGACGUAAGUAGAAAAUUUAAGAAAAUCCUGAUGGUACUCAAAUCCUAAUUGAGAAGACUAACACAAAAAUCAACUAAAAGAAUAAUCCAAAUCCUAGGUGUCACAGGCCAGCAACGACCAUCAUCAUCAAAUCUUUCUAAAAACAUCGGCCUGUUUGAUAUUGUUGCCUUCAUUACUGGCUAUAGUUCAUGAUUUAUCCUCAAUAUAAUAGACAUCAUCACAACAAACUCAAGCAGAAACUGAUUUCGAAGGUUAAAAUAAUACGUUGAGAAUUGAGGUCAUUUCUUUUCAUCUCUUGCAAUGAAAUAACACUUAUAGAGUGCCAUGUCACUUGUUAAACCAGCUCAGAAAGUGUUCCUAGCAUUCGUCAUGCUUAAGGACCAUGAAGCAGCUCUCAUGUGCCAAAGCACAGGUAUCAUGUCUAUGCAUUUUAACAUCAUGAAAGUUCAAUUUUCCAAAGCGGAACGUGUUUUGCUAUAACUCCGCCAAAAGAUGUAUCCAUGAAUGUGCCUUCCACGUUAGUGUUCCCAUCAAUAGAGAUAUACUGUUGAUGCAGACAAAAGGAUUUACUAAGUUGAUAUUUGAAUAUCGAUGUUUUUACCAAGCUUCAGUGAGUAUGGAUGCUGUGAAAUUCUACAACUCAAUGACCUAAAAGAUCAUAUUGAGAUCAAAUUGGAAUUGAUUCAGAAGUAUGAAGUAACAAGUUGAGAAUUGAGAUCAUAUCUUUUCAUCUCUUGCAAUGCAAAUAAACCACACAAAGAAGCAUCUUCAUCAAACAAGGGAAUUAUAAAAGUGAACUUCUAAAGAGAUUCAAAGAGAAAAGGUCAUUGAUCUGCAGGAAAUAGGAAGCUUCAUGAUCCAUAUUGUUCUGCAUCUAUUUAGACAUUUCGUAGAACAAAGGUUGUAAAGUAGUCCCUUGCGAGCUGCGAAUUGUGAAUUAGAGAUAUAAUUUUUUUUUUUUUUAACAUGAAGAAUUAGCAAAAAAGAUGCAUAACCAUUCAUCAUCUUAGUUCUAUCCAGCCUGGUAUUUUUAGAUUUAGCAUUUGACUAAUAAUAUAAUAUGUGGAGCCAGGAGCUGUCCCUCUCAUGAAUUACUCAUUUCUUCAUUCUAUGGUUUCACUUGAAUUGAUAAAAAAAAGAAAUAACAAUAAUUGACUUGGCAUAAAGUAAGUUUAUCCGCAACUUAUCUUGGAUAUAUACACCUUCUCAUUAAGAGAAAAAUUACCACAUUAAAGAUGUAUUCAGAAGUUGAAUGUCACUUGACUCUAUCCCUUUUUGUACAAGUAUAUCAUCAUCAUUAGUAUGAUAUCUACUUUCUGGUUCUAGUGAUCCAUUUAAAUCAUGUAUGCAGGUAGAUUGUCGCGUGAUUCUUUGCAUACCAGGCGACUAUUUAUGCAUACACAAGUAUAUAUUAUAAGGCUGUUGGGGAAAUAGAAUUUCUCGUCAUUUGUGUUCGUAUAUAGACUUCUUUGUAAGUCCCAUCCUGAAAAAGUUAGGUAAUGUGAUUUUAUAUGUUAAUUCACACACACACAAAAAGAGGAAGUUGGUUUCUUACAUACAGCAAAAUGAAUAAAAAUUGAACUGCUCAACUUGUUUAAUUAAACUGAGAAUCUCACUGAACUCCUUACGAAUGCACCUAAUGUAUUAUCAUGGAAAGGUUAGAGAACCGACCAGAAUAUAUUGUUCCACAUUAGCCUGGUACGUAGCCGCACCACUUGCAGAUCUGCGAUAUCAAUCAAUUGUCAUUCGGAUUCUGAAAAAAUUGCAAAGAUAACAUAUGAGCUCAGCCACUGGGAAUACAUUCUCCAAAUUAAUCAGUAUCACCAAAACUAAAGUAAUCAAACAUUAAAAAAAAUUAAUGAUCAUUUUUGUGAAUCAUGCAUGACUUCCAGUGAAUAUGUAUAACCAUCACUCACAAACAGAAUACGCAAGUAGCAUAAGCCUCUGCAAGAAGCUUUUAGCCUCUCAGCAACUUAUUUGAAACGAUAUGAAGUACUUGCAAAAGUCUUGGUUGCCCACCUUAUACUUUGUAAAUAAUUGAUGCCACAGAGAGUGUAGAGAAGUAAAAAGUAACACUAAUGAGAACUUAAAUGAAUAGGUCGCUCGUCACUCAUAGGAAUUCAUCUAACAGAUAAGAGCAAAACAAGAAAUCCUUCUUGUUCUCAAGCCAAAGGCUAAAUAAGCUAUGAAUCAAAACAAGUCUACCUCCUCAUUUAUCAUAGCAUGCUUAUAUAGAUGAAUUUGGAACAACCCUUCAAGCAUGAGUAAUUACCAAGACUCCUUGAACAGACAAAAGACUCAUAGAAAAGACAAAACUAGUCUUACUAGAAAACAACUAUACUUAAAUGAGGACUUCAGAAACUUAAAUGACAUUUACUAAACCUUGAAAAUAUAAGAAUCAAAUGUAGUUGGUUGUAAGUCUCCUAGUUUUACUAGUUCUGAAUUAAUGGAAUGCUCCGGCAUCAAUAAUCGUGCCAGGAAUAUUUUUCUUCAAAUUUUAGCGUAAAUGUUCAAUUUCACAUUACAAAAGUAUAUUAUGUGCACACGCGAAGUAUAUUUAAAUGCGAGCAUAGAUGCAAUGUUUUUGGCCUAGCCCAAAGUCUUCAAUAUAUUCCACAUGCCACUCCAUGUAAGUAAGAAGUAAGAACAGCACAUGAUGCUCUAAAAAUCAUUGUGAAGCAGCACAAGGACUCACUACUUCAGGGAGAAAUUGUAAGAGCAAGCAGUUGCACCUACAUUUAACUUGUGACUUCAAGUACUUUUUUUCCCGGUAAAUGAAGAAUAGGGAGUACUUUCAUGGUGGAGCAACUAAAAUGGAAAACAUGUACAAUUGCAGUCACUUUUGGACGUAAAUACUCUAUUUAUAAGAAAUCCAAGAGAUAAGUGUGUCGUGUCGCAUUAGCAUUAAUCUAUUAUACUAGCGAAUGCACUCAAUCCCAUUAAAUCACCACUACACAAAUGUAGCCAAGCCCCUAAACUUAUUCACCUUUCAGAGCACCCUAUAAUUUAAAGAACCUGAAGUUGAAGAUGUCAGGACUUGUUUCACAAGCUUUUGCUUAGGGUUAAGUACCAUUAAAAGAUCAACUUGAAAAUCUUUUGCAGGUUUUGUUUGAUUCGGAAGAGAGAUUAAUUAUGCUUUAAGUUUCGAUUCAAUGAACCAUGAUUUGAAAUGCUUCUUUAUUAUGGCAGUAGAUAGCUAACAUAUUAAUUGAUUUCCCGACUGAUAUAAUGCGUUUCAUAUGAAAUUUCUAGUUUUUGCCUUGUGUUAUGGUCAUAAACUUGAAACAUGGAUCUGCAUGAUUUGUAAGAUAGCUAUUAUCACAUAGGAUACAUAAAAUAGCCUUAAUUCACGUCUAAGUGGUAUAAUUACAACGAACUGAAUCAAACAAGGUAUGGUUUGAAACGCUUCACCCUUUUCAACUUAAGUUUGGUUUUCUUCAACAAUUUUCCAAGCAAUCAAAUUUGUUUGGAAAAGAUCUACUUCGAAUAGAAUAAUACCUAACUGCAAAUACGCUUAAUCAUCAUGCCUCAAGAACCUACAAUGUGGAAUUGGGGGGAAGGCUGAACUGUUACUUGUCAAAACCGGAAGGACCAAACAAUAUCAGUCCCUAGUUUCACUAACAUCAAAUUAUGUUUUCAUUCCCCAAGACAAAGUACUAACUAUCCUAACAUGUGAAGUAGCUGGGGGAGAUCAGUACUUGCAAGAUAUUCAACAAUUCGUUUCCUCAGAAGAACCAUUAAGAAAGAGGGAGUCCAACUCCAAUGCCACAGCCUACACAAUGAAUGCCUUUGAUCAGCUAAUCCCCCACACCUAGCCAUUUGAUUAGGUACACCCCAGUGCAUUGACUAUUCAAAAAAAUGCGAAAGAGAAGAUUCUAUAGUUUCAUACUUCCUUUCCUCAGCUAAUUUCAACUAGGAUAUUUGAAUAAAAGUCAUUGUUUUUAAAAAUUGUCCGAAAAUGAGAACUAGAUUGGUCAUCAUCGUGGGUUAGUCCAUGAUCGAAGGGGAAUAGCACUGAACACUUGACCAAAACCAAAAAUGGUAGGAAAAAAAGCAGAAUAAGAAAAAAAAAAAAAAAACCCAUGCCCUGAUGCUGUCUCUUAUUUGCACUUCACAAACACACAGCGUACAUAUGUGCAUGUGCCCUCAUUUUGGACAUAAGAAUGUCAACAUGGCUCAAUCACGUUGCCCAUCUAAAAUCAACUCGAGAAAUUAUAAAAUCGGUACGCGAACGUACUCGGAAGUGCUUGAGAACUCAUAAAGCCUUCCUUUCUGUGAAAAGAUGAUCAUGGUGACUUCGGCAUCGCAGAGGACUGAGAGCUCAUAAGCUUUCUUCAGUAGCCCAGCCUGGCGCUUUGAGAAGGUGACUUGCUGGCUCGUCGCGUUCUCAAUUCGCCUCAUCUGAACUUUGCCUCUCGCCAUGAUUAAAUUCUUCCUACAUACAUGGUGGUUAUCAACCCUAGAAUGGCAAGUACUCAAACGUAGCGAUGAACAUAACAAAUAUACCUCAACGAUCAAAAAUAAUAACUCACCAGGGACUUUGGCAGCGUCAACCAGCUGAAGAUUUAUCUUUUUAUCCACCUCCUAUUGUCUAAACUUUAGACUGAAGUUCUUCAGAAGCUAAAAACACUGCAAGACAAAUCACACUUCUUUUUUUUCCAAAUAGACAUGAACUAUAUCAUCAUUCGAACACAAGCAAAAACCACAUGAUAAAGAUUUCACAAUCAAAGGUUGGAGAAUUAUAUAUUUGCCCAGGGUAUUAAAUGGGGAAGCUUCUCUACUCUACGCACAAAAAUGAACCACAAUAAAUUCAGAGACCCUACAGAGGGAUGAGAGCGCGAAGGCAAAAACCAAAAAACUGGAACGAAAGCAAAGGAUAUUUGGCAGCUCACGGAUCUCUCUUUAUUUUGUGGCCACGAACAUAAAAAGCAAAAAAAAAAAAAAUCAUUACUAUUCCAAAUUCAACGAUCUUCUACUCAGGGCAAAUAUGGUGUGAGAUACCCAUCAAAAGGAAAUACAGACAAAAAAGGAAAGAAAUAAGGAGGCAAGCAAAGCAUUCAAGUUCGACCGAAACGGCAUGGUCAAUUUCGUAAUGAAGAGUCGGAGAAGCAGAAGGAUUGUCUCGUUUUGAUUAAGUUAUGAAAAAGAGAGUAGAGAGAGAGAGAGAGAGAGGAGAUAUUAAGUUUUUAUUUAUUUAUUAAAUAUUCUUUGCCAGCGGGCUUCAGCUUCGGCUGCUGUGGCCUGUGGGACAUUCGAAUGAGAGAGCACUAAGAAACGAAACGGGUGAAAAGAAAGAGAAAAAGGUCGUACGAUGGCCCUAAAUUGUGGACAUCACCGUACCAUGGCGCGCGCUGUUAACGAAUGGGACGUUCACAACUGGGAAAACAUUAUCCCUCACUUAAACUCAGUGAGCCUCCACUCGACCGAUGGAAAGAGGCUCUGUCCUUUUCUUGGGCCUAAUAGGAACAGCCUCGGGGCUCUUCUUCGAUCGGUUCCUCUCCUAAUGGGUUUACAAGCACUAGGAGUACUCGAAAUUAUUACCAUGAUAUAUUCAUGGAUAAAAUAAAUACAGAUCUAUCCUUUAGCUUAUCUUUUCUUCAUGUUCUUCUCAUAAUUCCUCAUUAUUUAGGGGCGUAAAAAAUACCCGAAACCUUUCAAUUUGGAUAAAAGUAAAGAAAUUCAGGAAGUUUGACGCUUCAGUUCAGAUUUCGGAUUUUUUUUCUUAGGUUAUGCACAUAGGAGAUCAAAAGUUACUGAUUAUGGUGCACUAAUCCAAAAUCACUUAAUUUUCUAAUUAGGAGAUGUGAUUUUGGACAAAACUAUUAUGUUUUGAUAGAAUACAAGUAGAGCAAACAUAUCACGAUAUCAAUAAAAUGGCCAGCUCGCCCCCAUCACUAAGCCCCUCGCUGGCAAGAAGCUCGGCAAGCGCACCCUCAAGCUCGUCUACAGAGGUAAUGCCCCAUGAAACCCUUACUUGUUGUCUCGUGUUAACAUGCAUUCUUGCUCCCUUUCUCCUUUCCGUUGGUUGGCAAGUUGAAAAUGAGUUUUGGGUACGUGAUUCGUUGGAUAUACAGUGACUGAUGGUCUUGACUCUUUAUGAAACCUAUUCAAUGGAACUUUAGCUGGAACUGGGUGCAUCGAAAUGCUGGUUCUCUUUGUCGAUGAGCUAAAUAUUCAUUGCAAAUGGCAAGCGCAAGGGGGCGGGGUGGGCUUAAAUGGGUGUGCUACGUGUUUGUGGUUCAAUUGAAAUUUCUUUAGGCUGACUAUUGGCAUGUCCUUGUGGUUCUUCCUGAUUUGCAGCUGCUGAAGACAAAUGCUUGAAAAGAGGCGUGAAGGAGGUUGUUAAAAGCAUUUGGCGUGGUCACAAAGGGUACAAAUUUAUCCUCUUUUUUUUUUUUCUAGUUUGAGCAUAAAUGCCAGUCGAUGCAAGGUCGAAUGAAAUCUCUGUAGUUGCUUGGAGCCACGUCUUUUGUUCUGCAUAGUGUUGGCUGGGGAAUGUUUGGGUUGUUGUUGAGCCCAGAUAUUCGGAAAGAGAUUUGAUUUACUAUAAAAACUAAUUUGUUUUUGUAGAAUUCUAAUGUUAUAUAAUUUGUUUUCAUUUUUCAAUCAAUGGAUCAAGACAAAGACAUAUCAAUGAAAUAUGGAAGUUAUUUGUGUAAAUCGUCGGUGGAUUUUCAAUUGGGAUUCACUUUUUAUUUCGAUUUUGAGAUUAGAAAAGUUCUAUUUUCUUUGAGAUUGAUUAUUCUGCUGGUUUGAAAGCGUGCAUGGUGAUACGUAGGAACUUUUGGAUAGGAAUGAGAGUCAUUAGCAUUUCAAUUGACAGUAUUUUUAAUCGCUAGUCCUCGCGAUUUUUAUGCAAAAAGGUUGCUGUUCAGAAAUUUUUAUGCAAAACAGAUUCUAAUAUAAACAGGGUUGACCCUAAAACCGAACUGGAAAAUUAGGGUGGGUUGGGUACAGAGUUCAAUACAAACAAGGUCGGGUACAUGGUCCAAAAAAUGGGAACCAAUUAUAACAAGGCCGGGUACAGGAUCUAGGUCUAGAUCCUACCCACCCUGGACUCGAUCAUCCCUAUUGUACACAACGAGAAAGCAUCAUUGGUUACAACAAGGUGUUUUCUCCUAUUGUAAGGCAUUUUGAUAUUUGAAUAUUACUUGUUUUAAUUGCUACACAAGAUCUCGAGCUAAAACAGCCGGAUGUCAAUAUGGCAAUUUUUAAUGAUGAGUUAGAGGAGCGCAUUUAUAUGAGGCAACCAAAAUGAUUUGUUAUUCUGAGUAAGGAAGAGCAUAUUUUUUUAUUAAAGAAAUCUUUUUAUGGGUGAAAACAGUCUCCUAAGUAAUGGUAUAAUCAUUUUAAUGUUUUUAUGACUAGUCAAGACUAUUCAAAAAUCAGUUAAACGGCUUUAGAAAAUAGGAGGAUAGAUAUUUGAUUUAUCUAUUAGUAUUUGUUGAUGACAUAUUGAUAACGGUUAAGAUUUUGUAUGAAAUUGAUGUGUUGAAGAGGUAGUUGACUACUAGAUUUCAAAUGAAAGAUUUGGGUACUACAUAAAAGAAAAAAUGUCAAAAACGCUUAUUGGAUCAAUUAUAUGAAAAGCUUUUGUUUUGAAUUGUGCUAUGAGUUUUACUUGCAAUUGAGUCGUUUAUAUAUAAAUACCGUAGGUUUAGGUAUACUCUAGGUGUGGGAAACAAUCGAGCAUGUGAGCAAUUAUUAACUCUAUGAUUCUCCAAUAAUUAGUAGAUUUCUUGCUAGCUCUUCUCGUUAAGAAGUUACCAACACAUAGACCAAACCACGUAAAUUUUUAAUGUUUUUUCUUCCUGACUUAUUUCUAUGGUGAUUUUGCAUUUAUUUAAUUCAUAAGUUCCAAUAUUUUCCACAUUAGUUUUACAAAAUUUUAGAUAGACAAGCCACCAUAUCGAUUAUAAAAUACAAAAGAUGAAGAGAACAUAGCUAAUGCAAUGUGGAAUGAAAAGGACACUAAAAUAGCACAAGGCCUUUGAAUAAAUCACAUGGGCCUUUAAUUAAAUUGCAUAUCUUUAUUAAUAUAUUAAGCCAAAGCACGCACCUUACUCAUAUGACCAACAUGCCCCAUUUAUCAUGUUUCUACAUCACAACAAUCUUGACCCUCUCAACUAUUUCAUAUUCUUUUUUUUUUCAAUAACUAAGUAAAUUUUAUAACGCAAAUAUUAACACAGUUGGAGAGCAUCUUCUCUCUACCAACUCAAUACAAAGGCAAGUCUUUAAAACAAAGAUGCAAUCCAAUUUCCACUGCUGCUAAUACUAAUUGAGUUUCUUGGACAAAAGGCAACCAUAACAUUCUCAAUGACCUUUAUACAAAGCUAAAAGGCCUUUAAGCUAGAUUUGAAAAUCUAAAUAUCCUAGAAAUCACACAAAUAUCUAUCAAUUGAGAUGGCGUAUAUUUUCUCUUUUAGCAAACCAACAACCUUAAGUCAAGUUGACAAAUAGAGUGAGUUUAUCUCCCUGCUACUCAUAGUAUUUACAUGUAAUGGCUGAUAUUAAGAGAAGUACGUAUGCGUUUGUCUAAUUUGAGUAAUGGUUAAGUAUUGGAGAAGUAAUGCUAAAUCAUGCAUUGACAUAAUAUACACAUCGUCAAUUGAUUAAACAUUUUAACCUAUAAGUCAUUAUUUCAACAUGUACAAAAGGGUAUUUUAAAAAGUCAUUAUUUGGUUUAUUGGUAGUUUGGUUAAAAUGAUCGAAAUAGAAUUACUGAUUACAAAUAGCAUUUUGCAUAAAAAGAUAAUCCAAUUUUACUUUUAAAAAAAUUCAAAAGGGAUUCUUGUCAUUUUAGUCAAUGGGAUUCAUCCUAACAAAUUUCACAUUUAAAAGUCCUCACUUAAUAUUGAUUUGCUUCCCCACAUCACUUUCACGGGUUUAUUUGAUGCACAAAAUCCAUUUUUCUUAUUUAUGAGGACAUUUAGGUACUUUUGUUGGUUUGGGAUUGAGACAUCCAAGACAAUGUUCUUGUUUUAAGAAAAGGAAUUAUUGUAGUAUGAUGUUAAAAAAUCACACUAAUAUUGGAUUAUAGCUAACAAGCCAACCAUGGAUCCUGAUGUAGACUAGCCCAAAUUAAUUCCUGACAAGUGACCAGGUAGAGGGACCCAUUGUCUUUCGAAUCCAAGCUUGUCCAUAGAUUUUUCCAUCACAAAGAAUGAAAACAAAGGGAAAAAUAGAAAGCUCAUACAUAAAUUUUGUCUCCUUUUUAUUAUUUAUUUGUAUUUCUUAUUAAUUGUUAAGUUGGAUGCACCGUACAUUUUAGUCAUCUUAUGUGUCCCGAGAGAAUUAUCAAAAAAAUCCUAAACUUAUUGCAUUUUGGUCAAUUUAGCCCUAAACCCAUGAAUACUGGCUAGACAGUUGAUCGGCUAUGUGACAAUUUUUUAAUUUUUAAUUUUAUUUUUUCAAAUUUUAAUUUUUUUUCCUUUGUUUUUUUUUUCCCAUCUCCCUCCUUCCUCAGGCUGAUCAGAGGCAUGGGCCGACAAGCAUGGGCCAGCAGGGGCGAGCCUUGCCUAACUAUAGUGAGGCCUUGCUAAAUCUGGAGACUCAGCCUCACCCAAUCAUGGUGAGGGCGAGCCUCACUGACUACUAGCAAGGUCAACCCUCGCUAGACCUAGCCAUGGCAAGCCCAGCGAUGGUGAGGCCGAGCCUCACCAAAUUUGAUGGGGCCCAACAUCGACCUCGCCAAUGGUCGGUGGGGGCGAGCCUCACCAUUGGUCAGAGAGGCUAAGCUAUGGUCAGUGGCGAUCGGCCAAAGAAAGGAGGAAGAAGGGAAAAAAAAUAAAAAUAACAAAAAGGAAUAUAUAUAUAUAUAUAUAUAUAUAUAUAUAUAUAAGAAUUAUUUAAAAAUACGAAAAUUUUAUUUAAAAAUUAUCAUGUCAAAAUCCACAAGGUAGCCAACACUAGCUGACGUCAAUGUCGAUCAACUCAAUUUGGCCAAAUGAAUUAAAUUGGCAUAAUUGGAAAAGAUUUAAAACUCGGUUGAAAAAUAAAUUUAAAACUGAAUUGACACAAUUGCAAUAAAUUUAAGAUAUUUCUGGUAAUUUUUCCCACGUGCCAUUGAUUAUCCUUAAAUGUCUGUCUCUCCAAUACCCUUCCAAUUUAAGGCAUCGCCUUGGAAACAUGUCAUCACUCACAAGCCCAGAUGGAAGCUAGCUUCUCGGAUGAAAAAAGUUGGAUCUCGUUGUUUGGGAUGAGUUACAAAUCUAUUGAGUAGCCUCAUGUUGCAACAUGACAAUUUUGAUUUCAGAAUAUUUCAGAUGUCCAUGACCUUUACAUCUGCCUAUGUCCACGCUAAGGGAAAUUAUAGAAGUGAUGAAUGAAAUUUUUUUGGCUUACCCAACCUUUAAGAGGUGUCCGACCAAAAACAAAACCUUAAAGAGGCAUCCUCAGACUGAAAAAUAAAAUAAAUUGAGAACCUCAAAGAGGUAUCCAAUGAUGUUGAAAUGCAUGCAAGCAAUUAAAAAAUAUGCUCAACAAAGACAUUUGUUUCUUGGAAUCAACCGAUGUGUAACUCAAAUGUGAAGCCCAAGGUGCAAGCAAGUUAUUUCCUUCAUUUCGCUGAAUCUUCCUCGUAUAUGUCUGUCAUUGUUCAUUUCUAAUUUGAUCUUUCUUUGCCUUCGCUAUUCUUACUCGUGGAUCUUGGAAAUGACUACCAUGAAUCCCAUGCAUAUGUUGCUUUGGCUGUGCUAAGGGGAAUCUAGCUGAGUAAAGAUAUCACCGAGUUAUAUCACCAUAAUUCUUAUUUUAUUCUAUUGAAUAGGUAUUAUUAGGGUGAUGGCGAACCAGUUUAACUCUGUGCCAAUCCGAUGAACAACCCGGUCUCACCAUCUGUACUCCGGCUGCUCCGGCUAUGUAUUGUUGUUGCUCUCAGAUGAGCUGUUGAUUGCCCGGGAUUUGCAAGACACUGAAAUUGGAAGAAAGAAAGAAAGGACCCAAAAUGCUUUUAAAUUUAAUAAAAUAAAAAAUGCAAUUGAAUGGUAAUGGACAACCUGGAAACCUUCACUCAAUUAAAAUGGGAAAAAGCUUCAACACAAUUUGAGAUUUACAAGCAAAGAACAAGCCUUUCAUGGGAUCUAAUUAGGUGACGAAGCAUCUGUCUAUGCACUCAGAUCUAUUAAUGGUCAUUGGGAGAUCUCAACUUUCCCAACAUCUGACUCUAGAAGAGGUUCUUUGCUCCAUAAUCGGAAGAAAAAAAGAAAAAAAGAAAAACUCUAACAGUGGCUAGCUACGCCAUACAUGACUACAAGCUUUGUUUCCACCGAUAGUCAAUGUCUAAAGUACAGACUAUAUCAUGAAAGUAACAUACUCUAUGUUGUAAAUUUUUCAACAGUGGUCAUAUUAAAAGGCUAUUAGUUUUUGUUAUCGAGUUAGAAUUUUCUAAACAAUCGACUAAUGGUUAAAAAAUCAUAGAAAGACACAGGAACUUUCAGUCCUUCAACAAUCCCAUGUUAGAAAUAAAGAAUUGUACAUGAUGAUGGUAAGUUGGGUAGUACUUUUCUCAACAUUAAUUACUCAAAACAUUGUGCUACUAAUUUUUAUUGCCACAUUGGCAAUUACUAACUUCGUGAUAUUUUCACUGGGAAAGUUGAAUUUAUCCCAACAACUCUAGAAGUGAUUCUCUUCCGUUCUCAAAAAAGACAAGAAAAAAAAAAGCUCGAAAAGUGAUUAUGUAUGCCAAAUGUGCUCACUAAGAACUUUUGCUGCAUCUAUAGUCCACAGUUGGAAAACCCAAUAUAUUCAUCCGUGAAAUAAAUAUUCUCAAAAUUAUGAUAUUCACAACGUAGGUCACUAACUUAGUGCUAGUAACCUUUUUCUUUUCAAGUCAGUAACUUUCCAAGCACAUCAAGUAAUGGUCAUGGGAGCACAAAAAGACAGAGAUUUAGGUCCGUCUACAGUCCUAUAGUCCAAUACACAGUUGUGUCUCUUGAUCACAAUUCCCAUAUAAUUUGUUUUCCCAGCAUGAGGUCGUAACUCUGUACUAGUAACUUCCAUUAUGGAGUCAAUCACUUUCUUAACAGAUCAAGUGCGGGAUCAUAGAAGCACACAGAUUUGAGUUUGUCUACAAUUCCAUGUAAAAAAGAAAAAUAGAAUUCUAUCUUGUGACAGUAAAUUUAUCAGUGUGGUGAUAAUUUUCUCAACUUGGAUUAGUAGCUUAGAAGUAGUAUUAAGUUUCAAGCAGGUCAUACGGUCUCAAGAUCGUAGAAUUCUUCGGUGAUGUUCAACCUAUCUGCUCAUUCUAAAUUACCCUAUCCAAAACAAAACUCCUCACCGAUAGAGAAAGGUUCAAUAUAAAUACCAGUACAUAACCCUGAAAUUAAGUAUCUCUCAUUAUGUAUUGUCCUUUUCAUAAAAACUGAUAACGUUGCAGCACUCUUUAAAUGUUUUAACACCGGGACUAAUAGAAAGCAGGACAAAUUGAUGACCAGCAAAUUUAACCAGCACAACAAACUGUACAGCACACAAUCUACUAAUAUUGGUUUGAUGGACAAAAGCAACAAGCUUCUUCACUACACAAGCCUAUUAGAACAUUAGGGCAAAAAACAUUAUUAAUCAUUAAAGACCUCUCUUUCUGGUCUUAGCAGAUCAUAAAACUGCAUUGUUAGAUCAUACAUGAAAAUUAUUGAGAGAUUCUAUUGCAGGUUUCACAAGUUUUUGGAUAGUGGUUAAUAUAUGCACAGAAGAGUGAUGAUGCACGGCAAGUAAUAGGAAGGAAAUUAAAGCACCGAUGGGAAAGAGGGAGACACCUUUGCAAGAAGCUUUGCAUUCUCUUCUUUCAGAGACCUCUCCUGAGGUAAACCAAAUAAAGUUGCUAGAUUAAUAUAACCAGGAAAUUAACAACGCCUGAUGAGAUCGGAUAUGCAAUCAUCAUAUUUGUCCACUUACCUUUGCUUGCAACUGCUGUAUCUGAUCGUUCAAUAAUUGAGCCUGUAAAAGAGUUCCGUAGAAAUAUUUUAACUUUCGUGUGUGCAUGUUGUCCCCAUACCUUUCUUAUUACAAAGUAAGAAAAAAAGAAAAGAGAGAAAAUAAGUUGAAAUGAUGGACGAUAGUAAUGAAAGGACGAUGCUUUGCAACUUGUCAAGAAACAUAGUUCAAGUUAGAAGUAGUACAUGGAAAUCGGCAAGGUUAACAUAAUAAAAAACUCAUGGUAUUCUAUUAUUUCGUGUUAUAAGUAUCAAUUUGUGUGAAUAAGUGUCAAGAAAUCAAUUAUAAAAAAUGAUCGAUGACUUUUUUUUUUUGUCAGAGAAGAAAAGCCAGUUAUCUAACCAAACCAAAUAAACUUGUUAACUAAUCAAAGAAGAGUUGGUAACACAGAAUUAGUUGGUUACUUAAUCAGAGAAAAGUUAGUAACUCCUAUAAUUAAGAUUGGUAAUUUCUAGUUGGGUUCAUAAGUAAGGCAAAUAUUUAUGUGUGCACGAGUCUCAUAAGUGAAGGGUGAAGACGAGUGAGAGUAUUUUUUUCAACAGAAUCUAUUUUAUAACUAAGAAAGUGAUAAAGAGAAGAAAGAUCUGCUGAAGUUGUUGGCAAGUAAAACACAAGAGAGAGAGUAGACGUCACUCUCCACCAUAAGACAAUGUUUCCACUCUAUCUCAAGAGUAGUCAAAGGAAGGGUUAGAGCAGGAAAAAUUGCACUAAGAAAGACCAUAUGAGCGUUGGCAAGUUAGUCCCAGAAAAAUAAGUCUAUAAGUCUAUAAAGUUAGUCAAAUAGAGUUAGUAACCAAAAAGAGUUAGUGAUUUAAGCAAAACAUAGGUCUAUAAGUCAUACAAAUAAAUAUCUGAAAAUAUAUAUAAGAGCUAAUAAAUUUAAAGGAAUGGCAAGAAAAAAAAAAUUUACUAAAAAAAUAAGAGAGAUUGAUAAUUGCACAUUGUUGAAAAGAGUUGGUGAUUUCAUAAAAGUGUAAGUAAGUUACCAAUAAGUCACCUAGAAAUCAGGUAAUUGAAAGCUUUUAUUUUUUAUCAUGGUUUUUUGUCACUUACAACUCUUUCAUAGGUUUAUAAAAAACUAUCCAAUUUAUUUUGGAAAGACGAACAAUAGAGUCGUCCAAAUAACUCUAGGAAAAAUAAUGAUAGAAGAAUAAUCGUGAUCUUUUCCUUGUUUAUUGGCAAAAAAAGAACAGGUCAAUAACUAUGAAGAAAAACGGUGAUUUGUAAAUGUGCUUUCAUUCUUUCAUAUAAGGUAGAAAACGCCAUGUAUGCUCGGAGAAAAUUGAUUCUCUCCUUUCAGAUGCCAAGUUUAACGUUUUCAGUCUAUUCAGUUCCAAUCUUACAAUGCGAUUAGAGUCUCUAUCGAAAUUGGUGUUUUGGCUCCUGUAUGCAUAUAUGGUCAGUCUUGUUAGUUAUUUGAGAGAAAUUGUUUCUCAUUGUUUUCUUUCCCUUCUCACCAUAUCCAUGCCUCCAAACACAACGGCUACUCGAUGAAAGUUCUCAAGACAUCUACUUCGCUCAGAGAAAAGGACAAAUAUGCCAAAGACACAUGUACCUUUCUUUCCUUAAUGCUGCUCAAACUUCGCUCGAGUUGAUCCCCUAUCUCUUGGAUUUGGUCCAUCGAGCAAGAUCCAAGACAUUGUCCCGAUAGCUUCCUGAUGUAAAAAAGAAAAGGAGUACCAUAGUUUAGGGAAUUAGAUAUCAAGAAUCCAUUUCAAUCCACAAUAUAUAAGAGAGAAGUCUCAAAAUUUGUGGACCGUAGAGAAACUUCAAGAAGCUCAAUCUUCCUCUCCAUAUCAGUGGUUUCUUGCUUCAGACACUGCACAUAUAUGGAGAUUGUGAUAUUUAUGAAUCUAGUGAACGGAACCAUACAAACUGAACAAAUUUGAAAUUAGUAAUGGAUAAAACCGAUCAUAAUGAACAAAUCUAAAACACCACAGGAUCCUGCAAAACUAAGAUUGCUACUAUAAGAACCCUAAUGUUCUUGCAAAAUUUGUAGCUGCCAUAGUAAAUUCUAUGGCUUACCACCUCAGUAAUUCUUGAGAUCAAAAGUAGGGUUCUUAUCAAGAACGCGAUUCGGUACUAUUACAAUCUAUAAACACAUACAUAUACGUUCACACCAACAAUCAAUUUUAAGACUUCCUUCAAGAAAACAAUAAGAUGUAAAUACCCAAGGAGGGCAUGUUUCUGAGGCAUAAAGUGGUGGAUGAUGAGUGGGAUUUCAGAAGCUGAAAGAAUUUUAGAGGACCAGUCAAUGUCCUCAGGACAUGUACAAAGACCAAAAUAGCACUUUUAAUGUUAUAUUUAACUUGAAACCUAUUUUUCUCUUUAUACAUAUCAGCAGUUUCUCCUGUCUGCUUCCCAGUCAUUGCCAAACCACAUGAAUAACAGUGGUAAGGCUGCAAUAAUAUUACAGGUCCUUUAUCUAACCGUAACAGUGUAAGAGUUUUCCUGAUGUGGGCUACAUUAAUUGAUAUUGUAAUUUACCGUUUUAUGAGGUUUAGUCUAAGGUGAGAUAGAAGGUUUCUUAAUUAGUCUAAUAUAGGGUUGGCCAGUUUGGGCCGAGUUGAGCCAGGCCCGUAAUGAGAAGACCCAGUUUAAAACUCUAUAAAAGUGCUCAAAUCUCUCCUCUAACCCUAAUUCUCACAAGUAUCCUCAUAUAAGGAGCAUUUACCUAGCGCUAAAGGGUGAGGAGGCCAUCUCAUUGAGCCAGUGAUAUGGAGGGCAAUAGAGGAGAAUAACUUGAAUUGAUCUAAAAGAAAUUCAACAAUUGAUUUGGCAUAAAGGAAGGAUAAUUUACUUGGCAUAAAGUAAGUUUAUCCGCAACUUAUCGUGGAUAUAUACACCCUCUCAUUAAUAGAAAACUUACCACAUUAAAGAUGUAUUCGGAAGUUGAAUGUCACUUGACUCUAUCCCUCUUUGUACAAGGAUAUCAUCAUCAUUAGUAUGAUCCCUACUUUGUGGUUCUAGUGAUCCAUUUAAAUCAUGUAUGCAGGUACAUUGUUGCAUGAUUCUUUUCAUACGAGGCGACUAUUUAUGUAUACACAAGUAUAUAUUAUUAGAUUGUCGGGGAAAUAGGAUUUCUCACCAUUUGUGUUCGUAUAUGGACUUUUUGUGAGUCACAUCCUGAAAUAAGUUAUGUAAUGUGAUGUUAUAUGUUAAUCCACACACACACGGGAGAAAAAAAGAAGAAAAAAAGAAGAAGAGGAAGUUGCUUUCUUACAUACAGCAAAAUGAAUAAAAAUUGAACUGCUCAGCUUGCUUAACCUCUACAUAAUGUGCUUACGACUGCACCUAAUGUAUCAUCAUGGAAAGGUUAGAGAACUGACCAGAAUAUAUUGUUCCAUAUUAGCCUGGUAUGUAGCCGCAUCAUUUGUAGAUCUACGAUAUCGAUCAAUUGUCUUUUGGAUUCUGAAAAAAUUUGCAAAGAUAACAUAUGAGCUCAGCCACUGGGAAUACAUUCUCCAAAUUAAUCAGGUAUCGUCAAAACUAAAGUAAUCAAACACUAAACAAAUUAAUAAUCAUUUUUGUGAAUCAUGCAUGACUUCCAGUGAAUAAGUAUCACCAUCACUCACUAACAGAAUAUGCAAGGAGCAUAAGCCUCUGCAAGAAGCUUUUAGCCUCUCAGCAACUAAUUUGCAACGAUCUGAAGUACUUGGAAAAGUCUUGGUUGCCCACCUUAUACUUUGUAAAUAAUUGAUGCCAGAGAGAGUGUAGAAAAGUAGAAAGUAACACAAAUGAGAACUUAAAUGAAUAGGUCGCUUGCCACUCGUAGGAAUUCAUCUAAGAGACAAGAGCAAAACAACAAAUCUUUCUUGUUCUCAAGCCAAAGUCAAAAUAAGUUACGAAUCAAAACAAGUCUACCUCCUCAUUCAUCAUAGCAUGCUUAUAUAGAUGAGUUUGGAACAACCCUUCAAGCAUGAGUAAUUACCAAGACUCCUUGAAAAGACAAAAAGACUUAUAGGAAAGACAAAACAAGUCUUACUAGAAAAUAACUAUAAUUAAAUAAGGACGCUAGAAACUUAAAUGACAUUUACUAAACCUUGAAAAUAUAAGAAUCAAAUGUAGUUGGUUGUAAGUCUCCUAAUUUUACUAGUUCUGAAUUAAUGGAAUGCUCCGUCAUCAAUAAUCAUGCCAGCAAUAUUUUUCUUCAAAUUUUAGCGUAAAUGUUCAAUUUCACAUCAUAAAAGUAUAUUAUGUGCGCACGCAAAGUAUAUUUAAAUGUGAGCGCAGAGUGAGCUAAGGCAUUGUUUUUGCCCAAGCCCAAAGUCUUCAAUAUAUUCUACAUGCCACUCCAUGUCAGUAAGAAGUAAGAACAGCACAUGAUGCUCGUAAAAUCAUUGUGAAGCAGUACAAGGACUCACUACUUCAGAGAGAAAUUGUAAGAGCAAGCAGUUGCCCCUCCAUUUAACUUGUGACUUCAAGUACUUAUUUUCCCUGUAAAUGAAGAAGAGGGAAUACUUACACGGUGGAGCAACUAUUGCAAACAUGUACAAUUUCAGUCAGUUUUGGACAGAAGUACUCUAUUUAUAAGAAAUCCAAGAGAUCAGAGUGUUGCGUCAUGUUCGCCUAAAUCUAUUAUACUAGUGAAUGCACUCGAUCCCAUAAAAUCACCCCUACACAAAUCUAGUCAAGCCCAUAAUCUUAUUGACCUUUCAAAGCCCCCUAUAAUUUGAAGAACCUGAAGUUGAAGAUGUCAGGACCUGUUUCACAGGCUUUUGCUUAGGGUUAAAGUACCAUUAAAAAAUCAACUUGAAAGUCUUUUGCAGGUUUUGUUUGAUUCAGAAAAGAGAUUAAUUAUGCUUUCAGUUUCGAUUCAAUGAACUGUGAUUGGUAAUGCUUCUUGAUUAUGGCGGUACAUAGGUAAUUCGUUAUUCAAUUGCCUGACUAAUAUAAUGCAUUUCAUAUGAAAUUUCUAGUUUUUGCCUUGAAACAGUGAUCUGUAUGGUUUGUAAGAUAACUAUUAUCACAUAGUAUACAUAAAAAAGUCUUAAUUCACAUCUAAAAGGUAUAAUUACAACGAACUAAAUCAAACAAGGUAUGGUUUGAAGGCUUCACCCUUUUCAACUUAAGCUUGGUUUUCUUCAACAAUUUUCCAAGCAAUCAAAUUUGUUUGGAAAAAUCUACUUCGAACAGAACAAUACCUAAUUGCAAAUACGCUUAAUCAUCAUGCCUCGAGAAUUAGUUACGGAGAUCAAUCCCUAGAAGCAGCCUUAAAACCUAUAACGGUUCAAAAAGGAACACUACACGGCGUUAUCAUUUCAUAUCAAUGUGGAAUUGGGGGGAAGGCUGAACUGUUACUUGUCAAAACCAGAAAGACCAAACAAUAUCAGUCCCUAGUUUCACUAACAUCAAAUUAUGUUUUCAUUCCCCAAGACAAAGUACUAACUAUCCUAACAUGUGAAGUAGCUGGAGGAGAUCAGUACUUGCAAGAUAUUCAACAAUUCGUUUCCUCAGAAGAACCAUUAAGAAAGAGGCAGUCCCAACUCCAACGCCACGGCGUACACAAUGAAUGCCUUUGAUCAGCUAAUCCCCCACAUCUAGCCAUUUGAUUAAGUACACCCCAGUGCAUUGACUAUUCAAAAAAAUGCGAAAGAGAAGAUUUUAUAGUUUCAAAACUUCCUUUCCUCAGCUAAUUUCAAGUAGGAUAAUUGAAUAAAAUUCAUUGUUUUUGAAAAUUGUCCCAAAAUGAGAACUAGAUUGGUCAUCAUGGCGGGUCAGUCCAUGAUCGAAGGGGAAUAGCACUGAACGCUUGACCAAAACCAAAAAUGGCAGGAAAAAAAAGGAGAAUGAGAAAGGAAAAAAAAAAGAAAAACAUGCCAUGAUGCUGUCUCAUAUGUGCACUACACAAACACACAGCGUAUAUAUGUGCAUAUGCCCUCAUUUUGGACAUAAUAAUGUUAACAUGGCUCGAUCACGUUCCCCAUCUAAAAUCAACUCGAGAAAUUAUAAAUCAGUAUGUGAACGUACUCGGAAUUGCUUGAGAACUUGUAAAGCCUUCCUUUCUGUGAAAAGAUUAUCACGGCAACUUCAGCAUCACAGAGGACUGAGAGCUCAUAAGCUUUCUUCAGUAGCCCAUUCCGGCGCUUUGAGAAGGUGACUUGCCGGCUCAUCGCGUUCUCAAAAUUCGCCUCAUCUGAACUUUGCCUCUCACCAUGAUUAAAUUCUUCCUACAUACAUGAUGGUUAUCAACCCUAGAAUGAGAAGUACUCAAACAUAGCGAUGAACAUAACAAAUAUACCUCAACGAUCAAAAAUAACAACUCACCAGGGACUUUGGCAGCUUCAACCAGCUGAAGAUUUAUCUUUAUAUCCUCCUCCUAUAGUCUAGACUUUAGACGGAAGUUCUUGAGAAGCUAAAAACACUGCAAGACAAAUCACACUUUCUUUUUUUUUCAAACAGACAUGAAGUAUACCAUCAUUCGAACACGAGCAAAAACCACAGGAUAAAGAUUUCACAAUCAAAGGUCGGAGAAUUAUAGAUUUGCCCAGCGUAUUCAAGGGGGAAGCUUCUCUGCUCUACGUCAGAAAACGGAACCACAAUAAACUCAGAAACCCUAAAGAGGGAUGAGAGGGCGAAGACAAAAGCAAAAGAACUGGAUGAACGCAGAGGAUAUUUGGCAGUUGAUGGAUCUCUCUCUUUAUUUUUUGGCCACAAACAUAAAAAGAAAAAACAAAUCUGAUUAUUCAAAAUUCAACGAUCUUCUAAUCAGGGAAAAUAUGGUGUGAGCUACUCAUAAAAAGGAAACACAAACAAAAAAGGAAAGAAAUAAGGAGGAAAGCAAAGCAUUCAAGUUCAACCGAAACGGCAUGGUCGAUAUGGCAAUGAAGAUUCAAAGAAGCAGAAGGAUAAUCUUGUUUCGACAAAAUUAAGAAAAAGAGAGUAAAGAUAGAUACGGAGAGAGAGAGAGAGAGAGAGAAAAGAUAUUUUGUAUUUUUUCGGAAAAAAAACGUAUAUUUUGCCGGUGGGUUUGAGCUUCGGCUGCUGUGGCCUGUGGGACAUUCGAAAGAGAGAGCAGUAAGAAACGAAACGGGUGAAAAGAAAGAGAAAAAGGUCGUACGCUAAACUAUAAAUUGUGGACAUCAUCGUACCAUGGCGUGCGCAGCUAACCUAUGGGAACAACUGGGAAUACAUUAUCUAACUUAAACUCAGUGGGCCCCUACAUGACCAAUUGAAAGAGACUCUGUCCUUUUCCUGUCCUUUUCCUGAGCCAAAAGUCUUUAGGAAAAUGCAAAUACCUUUGACUUAAAAGGUGUUUUCCAAAAUGCAACCGUGUUUGGUAAAUUGUACUUUGAAAGCUCUUUGUAAAGUAUUUUGAGCAAAAUAGCGUUUGGGGAAUUACACUUACAAAAGAUCUUUGUGGUAAAAAAAAAAAUUAUCAAAAGAAAAAUUAAAAAAAAUUGACCAAAGGGCAGUGGCCGCCGGCGACCUCCGGCGACCUCCGGCGACCUCCGGCGACGCCGGAUCUGGGGCAGCGAGGUCGCGCGACGCCGUCGCGACCUCCGGCGACCUCCGGCGACGCCGGAUCUAGGGCAGCAAGGUCGCGGGAGGACCUCGCCGCCCCGGAUCUGGGGUCGCAGGAGGUCGCCGGAGGUUGCCGGAGGUCGCCGGGGGCAACUGCCCUUUGGUCAAUUUUUUUUGAUUUUUCUUUGGGAAAUUUUCGAGGGCCGCNNNNNNNNNNNNNNNNNNNNNNNNNNNNNNNNNNNNNNNNNNNNNNNNNNNNNNNNNNNNNNNNNNNNNNNNNNNNNNNNNNNNNNNNNNNNNNNNNNNNUGGGUCGCGGUGACCAGACCUUGCCGUGGGUCGCGGCGGUCGUGCCACCGCCUGGCGUCGCUCGUCUGGGCGACGGUCGCGGGCGACCGCUCGCGGAAGAAGAAGACCGUUGCCGCUCCAGAUCUGGGUUGCGGUGACCCAACCCUCGGUCGCGCCACCUCCGGUGUCGGUUGCGCCACCUCCGGCGUCGGUUGCGCCACCUCCGGCGUCGGUCGCGCCACCCCCCGACGAUCGCCGGCGUCCCUCUAGCAGUCGCCGGCCGCUCACAGUCAGCCGGAACCGAACCCCCCGGAGAAGAUGAACAGUAGCGACACAAGGGCAAGAACCGGAAAAACAAAACAUUCGUGAGGACAAUUUUGGAAAAAAAAAUUAUGAACAGUGCCCGCGUGGGCAUGCCGAAAAAGCCGAAAGCCCAAGGCAGGUCCCCCCCCGCCUUGGGCUUUCGGCUUCACACAUGCUGGCAUUUCCGAAAUGCGGGCUCAAAAAAUUUUCCCAAACGGGCUGGCAUUUGGCCAAGUACCUUUAGGCUUCAAAGGGGCUUUGGGAAGUGGUUCCCAAACGCACCCUCUGUCCUUUUCCUGUCAUUUUCCUGAGCCAAAUAGGAACAGCCUCGGGGCUCUUCUUCAAUCGAUUCUUCUCUUGGGUACAACGCCAAAGUCACUGAAUGAAAAGGUGAUCGGUUCCAGUUCGGUCCGGUUCCAAGGUGCGACCCAUAGCAGUGGGCNNNNNNNNNNNNNNNNNNNNNNNNNNNNNNNNNNNNNNNNNNNNNNNNNNNNNNNNNNNNNNNNNNNNNNNNNNNNNNNNNNNNNNNNNNNNNNNNNNNNNNNNNNNNNNNNNNNNNNNNNNNNNNUGUUCCGAACCAAUCAAUGAAAAUUCGCUUCCUCGGGGAUCUAAUAAAACUACUCACACAUGUUUUCACGUGCAAAAUAUUCAAACUUCACUUGCGUGAAUAUUAAUUAUAAUUUAUGUGUUUCACUCUUAAUUUUAAGCAUAAAAGCCAUGAACAAUUUGAGUAAAAUCUGUUAUUGGCUUAGGUUUUAUAGACAAUCUCUCUUCUAUGCUUUGAAUGUUUAGUCGAUGUUAGACUCUUUGAGGCCUGAAGUGCCUUGUUGUUUGCAAGUGAGGGGAGCAAGAGAGAGAGUGAGCAUGAGGAACUCCUAGAGCCUUAUCCCACAUCGAGGAGAAAAUAAAACUAACAAAUAAGUUUUCUAAGAGUUUUGGUGGUCUCUUGGCCACAUAAGAGAUUGUUACAUCAAUUGCAAUUACGAUUGCAACAAGUUUCAUAUAUAAUAUUCAUAUAUUAUAUGUGUUUAUAUAUUAUAUGUAUAUAAAUUAUAUAUAAAAAAAUUUGGUCCAGUCCAGUUGGUCCGGUUGGUUUGGUUCCCACCUUGAAACUGGGAACCGGACCGCCGACCGUGGGAACCGCCCAAAACCGGCCGGUUCAGUCCGGUCCGGUCCGGUCCCGGUUUGGGCGAUUUCUGUUGCACACCCCUAACUGAAUGGUAAGUCGUCCAUCUGAUUGACACGGACUAUCGGAAUAUACUUUAUUUGCUGAAUUACGUUAUAAGUGGGCAUUUUGCCAAAAGUUUAUAUUUGAUCAAUUUAUCCUUAUGUGAUUCCUAUUGAAUUAUAUAUUGAGAGAUUUGGUUCAGUAUUUCAAAAACUUAUUAAGAAAAUAUAAAGUAAUUUAAUUUAAAAUAUUUUGAGUAAAUGCAAAAGUUAUUUGGUAAACUAUACUUUAAAAAACAACUUUGAAAAAAAUAUUGUUUGGUAGAAAACUUAUUUAAAAAGUUUUUUGAGCAAGUAAUAUUAGUUUUUUAAUUUUUAUUUGUUUAAAAUUGAAAAAAAAUAAUCUAUGCAAAUUUUUAAAUAUAAAUUUUGAUAAUAUGCUAAAAGAAUCAAAUAUAUUCAACGGGUUUAUUCCUUUUUUUUAAAUUAUAUAUAUGUAUGAUUUUUAGCAUUAAAAAAAAAUAAUGAUGGCAAAAUCAAAAAUUUGAAGAAUGAGUUAUAGUAGUUUUAGAAGAAAAAAUGAGUUUCAGAAAGUUCAAUGGCAUUCAACCUUCUCAAUGUUGCUUUCCACUUGAAAGUUAAUUUAAAAUAAUUGUCAAAUGGUCCAGCAUUUCUCCAAAGGGUUUUGAAGGCCGAAAGCUCAUUGAAAAUGCUAACCUAAACGCACCAUAUGGGUUUACAAGCACAAGGAAUACUCAAAAUUAUUACAAUGAUAAAUUCAUGGAUAAAAUAAAUAUAGAUCCAUCGUUUAACUUAUCUUUUCUUUAUGUUCUUCUUAUAAUUCCUCAUUAUUUAGGGGUGUCAAAAAUAUCCGAAACUUUUCGGUUUGGGUAAAAGUAAAGGAAUUUGGGAAAUUUGACACUUCAGUUCAGGUUUCGUUUUUUUUUUUUUUUUUUAGGUUAUGCACACAAGAGAUCAAAGGCUAUUGACUAUGGUGCACUAAUCCCAAAUUACUUGAUUUUCUCAUUAGCAGAAAUGUGAUCUUCAAUCAACCCACCACCAAAAAGAAAUGUGACUUUCGAUAAGACUACUAUGUUUUGACAAAAAAUUAGUAGAGCAAACAUAUCAUAGUGUUAAAAGUAAGAUAACAAAUGUUAAGAUUGCAUAUGAGUCCGUAACUCCUAAAGUCAGUGAUAUUAAACAGCUAGCAAAAUCGUAGCACUCUCUAGUCAUAAGUAGAUAGAGAAGGCAAAUUAGGCCACCGAUACAUUAUGAUUAUACAUAUAUUACUUUUACAUUUAUUGUAGAGGGAUAAGGUAGAAACAAAUGAGCAUUUGUCUUACCAUGAGGCAAUAGUUAGUGCCGAUAAUUAUAGUGGAUAGAGGCUAUAGGUGAAUAGAUGGAAUCACUUCAUAGGAACUAGACAUGGGAGCUUGUUAGAUCGUCCAAGAGCCAAAACAUCAUUGAAAACAAGUGGAUUCACAAACGGAAGGAGGGCAUCGAGGUAUAUGGGGAGACUUGUUGUGAAAGGAUGUACACAAAGAGAGAGCAGCAUUGGUUACAACGAGGUGUUUUCUCCUAUCGCAAGACAUUAUUAUAUUUGAAUAUUACUCACCUUAAUUGCUAUACAAGAUCUUGAGCUAGAAGAGCUGGAAGUGAAAAUGGCAAUUUUUAAUGAUGAGUUGAAGGAGCGGAUUUACAUGAAGCAACCAAAAAGAUAUGUUAUUUCAGGUAAGGAAGAUCAUGUUUAUUUACUAAAAAAAUCAUUUUAUGGAUUAAAAAAGUCUCCUAAACAAUAGUAUAAUUGUUUUGAUGUUUUCAUAGCUAGUCAAAACUAUUCAAAAGUCAGUUGGAUAACUUACUUUAGGAGAUUGGAGAAUAGAUUUAUGUAUUAUUAUUUGUUGAUGACAUAUUAAUAACAAUUAAGAUUUUGUAUAAAAAUUAAUGUGUUGAAGAGGUAGUGGAAUAUGAGGUUUCAUAUGAAAGAGUUGGGUACUAAAUAGAAGAAAAAAUGUCAAAAACGCUUAUUGGAUCAAUUGUAUGAAGAGCUUUUGUUUUAUAUUAUGUUGGCUUAUUGGAUCAAUUGUAUGAAGAGCUUUUGUUUUAUAUUAUGUUGUAAGUUUUACGUACAAUUGAAUUGUUUAUUCAUAAUACUGUGGGUUUACGUGAAACAAUCAAGCAUGUAAGUAAUAAUUAACUCUAUGAUUCUCCAAUUAUUAGUAGAUAAUUUGCUGCUAACUCUUUUCUUUGAGGAGUUACCAACAUAUAGAACAAAUUGCAUAAAUUCCUAAUGCUUUUUUGUCCUGACUUAUUACUAUGGUGAUUUUGUAUUGAAUUAAUUUGCAAGAUUCGAUAUUUAACAUUUUAAUUUUACAAAAUUUAGAUGGACAAGUCACCAUAUCAAUUAUAAAAUACAAAUGAUGAGGACAACAUAACUAAUGCAACGUGUAUUCAUGAGGACACCAAAAUAGCACAGGCCUUUGAUUAAAGCACAUAUUGAUAACACAUGCCUUUGAAAUGCAUACCUUUACUAUUAUAUUAAGCCAAAGUGCGCACCUUGCGCAUACGACCAACAUGAACCAUUUAUCAUGCUUCUACAUCACAACAAUCUUGACCCUCUUGACUAUUCCACAUUUAAUUUUCAAUAAUUAAGUACAUUUUAUAGCGCAAACAUCAACAUACUUGGAGAGCAUCUUGUCUUUACCUACUCAAUAUGGAGGCGUGUCUUCAAAAUAAAAAUGCAAUCCAACUUCCACAGUUGCUAAUACUAAUUGAGUUCCUCGGACAAAAGGCAACCAUAACAUUCUCAAAGACUCUUAUACAAAGCUAAAAGGCUCCUAAACCAAAUUCGGAAAUCUAAAUACCCUAGGAAUCACACAAAUAAUUAUUAGUUGAGAUGACAGAUAUUUUUUCUCCUUCAACAAACCAACAACCUUGAGUUGGGUUCACAAGUAGAGUGUGUUUAGAAACUUGAUUAUACAUUUGUAGUUAUCUCUCCACUAUUUACAGUAUCUACAUGUAAUGGUUGAUACAAAGAGAAGUAUGUAUGUGUUUGUCUAAAUUAAGUAAUGGAUAAGUAUUGGAGAAGUAAUACUAAAUCAUGCAUUGGCAUAAUAUACACAUCUUUGAUUGAUCAAAGAUUUUAGCCCGUGGAUCAUUAUUUGGACAUGUAUAAAAGAGUAUUGUGGAAAGUCAUCAUUUAGUUUAUUGGUAAUUUGGUUAAAAUGAUUGAAAAAGAACCACUCAUUACAAAUAACAUUUUGUGUAAACAAAUGAUCCAAUUUUACUUUUAAGAAAAUUCAAAAGGGAUUCUUGUCAUUUUGAUCAAUAGGAUUCAUCCUAACAAAUUUUACAAUUAAUAGUAUUCUCACUUGAUAUUAAUUUGCUACCCCACAUCACUUUCACAAGAAAAGCGUUAAAAAAUUCUAAACAUUUUAUAUGUGUGCCAAUUUAGUCCUAAAUUUUUUUACUUGGUGCUAAUUCAAUCAUUCCCGGCUAAUUUUGGCCAAAUUUUGCCGAUUGGGUAUCGGCCAGUCGACAUUGACAAUUUUUAAUAAUAUUUUAAUAUUUAUGAAUUUUUUGUCUUUUAUUUUCUUUUUUCCUUCUCCUCUUCCUUCCUCCAGCCAAUCCUCGUACCUCGACGACUGGCCAGAGGUGAUGGCUGGUAAAGCUCAAGCCCUCGCCAUUUGCUACGAGGGCAAGCCUCACAGCCCAAGCCAUGAUGGCGGCCUUGCGCCAAGUUGGCAAGGCUUGCCCUCGUUGAAUCUGGCGAGGUUCAAGCCUCGCAGCCAUGGUUGGCGAGGCUUGAACCUCGUCGCCCAGCGCAAGGCCGCCCUCGUGGCCACUAGCGAGGGCUUGAGCCUCGUCGGCCAUCGCCUCUGGCUGGUUGUCGAGGACUGGCGACUGACUGGAGGAAGGAGGAAGAUAAGGAAAAAGGAAAAAAUAAAAAGAAAAUAAAAAAUAAAAAUAUAUAUUAAAAUAUUAUUAGAAAUUGUCCAUGUUAGCGUUAUGACUAAGUUAACAUAAAUGAAAAAAGUUUAGGACUUUUUAAACACUUUUCUUUCACUUUCACAUGUUUGUUUGAUGCACAAAAUCCUUUUUUUCUUAAUUAUGAGGACACUAAGGUACUUUUCGUGACAUAAGAUUGACUCAUCCAAGACAAUGUUCUUAUUUUAAGAAAAGGAAUUAUUGUAGUAUGAUGUUUUAUAAAAAUAACACUAGUAUUGGAUUAUAGCUGACAAGCUAGCCAUAGAUCUUUAUGUAGUGUGACAUCCCGAUUUUCCAAUUAUAUUUUCAAUAAAUUGAGACGGUCAUUUCGUUGGCACACAUAUAGUUCUUUUCCCUGAACUGAUCACUCAUGGGAUAACUAGUGUCACGCCCCGAACCUCGAGCGCGCCAACAUCCCACCAUGGUCAUGUAAAUGUGACAUUCUCAAGUAGUGUCGCCGACCCCAUUCAUUUAUUAUUGCGCAAGCGGAACGUAUUAUAAAAUCCCUGACAAUGAAAUACCGGAUAGAAAAGCAGGAAGCAAAUUCACAACCAAUCACUUACAUAAACCAACGGAGUUACAAACGAAGGCCUACAGCCAAAAGUCUACAAAAAACCGGCUCUUAAAAAUGAAUUGUCUUACGACCUAUAAGUCAGACACGUUCUCCAAUCCUCAUGACUUCACCUCUGCAACUCCUUAAGGUCAACCAAAGCUAUCUAGCCGCUCCGUCCACUAGGGACCUGAAAUUGCAAUCCCCCAACCGGGAUGAGAUAAUGUCUCAGCAAGUUCAACCCCCUAAACCCCUAUUAGAAAGAAAAUACGCCUAAGGGUGGCAUAGCCACACAACAUAGAGGACUUACCUCGCAUCGGUUCCUUCCUGCAGGUUAGCACAGUUCAUAUCACUCAAUCAUAUGCAGUAAUAAGAACUUAAACAACCGGAACGCAUUCACUUUCAUAUAACCAACAAUCGCGGGGGUCCUGAUUAUAAGACUAAAUCGUUAUAACACGUCACAUUCCAUGCCACACAAUUCCGUCCCAUAAUCCGGCACAUCAACAACACUCAACAUGCAUUCUAACUGUUAUUCACUGCCACACAAGGGCAUAGCCUACUCGUAGUUCGGCUAUCUACUGGCAUAUAGCCAGGCAUCGCCUCCCCACCUUGGAGCGCGGCUUCGUCAGUACGUCGAUGGCGUUCCCGAAGGAGCAUGGGCCCCAGAAUCAACUGCGACCCGCAACCAAUACGUGGGCAUCCCAUAUAGGGGCAAAUCUGGUUCAACAGCCUAGGACGAUCUCCUCUUAAUUGUCACACAACAAUUCAUAUUCAACCUGGGACACUUUGCAUUUCACUCAAUGCUUCCACUUAAAAUAGUGAUCCCGACCAUUUUUCUUCAUAUUAAAAAUAAUCCAAAAAUUAACCACGUGUGUGGGGGCACGUUAAUUUCGAUCCAGAAAACCAAUAUCUCACUUUUUCAAACCCCACUAUUUAAUAUAAUAUUGAAAAUCCAAUUUUUGCAUCAAAACCCGACACUUGAGUUUUUAUGAAUAAAAUCUCUAUUUAUCACAAUCAACACUCAAUUUGCCACAUCCAUUCAUCAAAUUCAAAUUCUAAAUGCACAGCAGCGAUCAAUACGAAAUUCUGAGAAAAUAAGGUCCCAAAAUAAUUUUCGAAAUUUAUUAAAUAAUUAAAUUUAUUCCGAAAAUUAAUUAAAUAAUAUCCAUAUUUUUCACGAUCCACACUCAAUUUAUAAUAUCCAAUCAUCAAUUUCAAAAUAUGACUACACAGCAGCGACCAGCGCGAAAUUAUGAGAAUUUAGGGUCCUAACAAAAUUUUCGGAAUUUAAUAAAUAAUUAAAUUUAUUCCGAAAAUAAUUAAAUAAUAAUAUUUUAAUAAUUUCGAAUAAUAAUAUAUUAUUAAAUUAUUUAAUAAUUUCGAAAUAUUGAAAUAAAUCAAAAGUAAAUUCCUUUAUGUCAAAUCACAAUUAUACUAAUAUAAACAUCAUUUUAACAUGAACUAAACAUACUUUAAAUUAAACCAACCUCUUAAUCUAAUUCACAAUUAAAUAAACUAAACUAGCCACCUAAGCUUACUUAACUUAGACUAAGCAUACUUAUGGCAUUAUUAACCCUCUAAUCAAGAUUUAGUGAGUUAAACUCACUCAAAUAAUGAGCCGAGCAGACCAAAACGACAGGGACGCCGAGGGGAACAACUUUCUUCAAAGCGGGCCAAGCGUCCGGGGUUGGGAAGCCGGCCAAAACAGCCCAAAACCAGGCUGAGAUAUCCACUAAAACCAUCUGUUGUUUGAGGCAAACGGAGGGCUGCAUGGCGGCGGUUUGGGCGCGAAACCGGCGAGGAUGGGCAACAGCAACUCCAGCAGUGGUUGGCGACAACGAACAGUGGCGAUGGAGGCUCCGGCAGAUGGCGACAAGCAGCAGACGAAGAUUGGAAACUCGGGCUACGGACGACCGAACGGCGGGCUAGCCGGCGAGGCGAGCGCGGGUGAUGCGUGCGGUCGAACGGCGGCGAUGGCGACAAGCGAGCAGGCGGAGGGUGGCCGGUUAGGAGUGCAUCGCGCAAGGGGGUUUGGACGGCUGGUUUCUUCAGCUUUUUCCUCCCCUCUCUCUCUCUCUUCCCAAGCUUGAAGAUGAUGGAGACAAGGGGGAAGUGACAUCCCACCUUUUUGGGAUUAAAUCUCCACCCUCCAUGUGUCACCACCCUAGCCAAUCUUGCCCCACCUCAUGACAUCACUUGUGAUGUCACAAUCCACUAACUCCAAUCUCCCACAACCUUAUUCCAAUAGGUUCAAUUUCAUUUUCCGCCGGGCAUGAAAUCUUGUACAACAAUUCCAAUCAAUUCUCUUCUAAUUAAAGCCCAUAAAUUAAUCCAAUAUUCCUAAUAAGAUUUGUGACACACCAGGACUUCCAAUUUCAGAAUUCAAUCUCAAUUUCACGGUUAAUUUCACUUUGGCACGAUACUAACCCGUCCUGAUCUACCGGGCAGCUUUUAGAAAUUUUCAUGCAUUUGACCUGUGAUUGAUCAAUUCAAGCCACAAUGUACAUGGCAGCUUUUAGAAAUUUUCAUGCAUUUGACCUGUGAUUGAUCAAUUCAAGCCACAAUGUACAUCUUUGAUACAAUGGCGACUUAAACGUCGGUCCAAUGCCGAUUGAUCAGAAUUGUGCGAUCUGGUGGAAUCACCCACACUUGAUCACAUGCCUCCGUCGAGUCAACCUAUCUCCGGUCUCUAAUCGAUUUUUAAUUGUAUCAUAAUGACCCUUGCAGAUUAGCUCGAUCGAAAGGUUGCUUCCUGGUCAAAUUCUCGAGUCUGAUGCAUUAGAAUCUCUUAACGGCUUCACCUGAUAGACUAUUUUUCACAUGAGUGGCCAAUUCAAGGAAAAGAACUAUAUGCGUGCCAACGAAAUGCCCGUCUCAAUUUAUUGAAAAUAGAAUUGGAAAAUCGGGAUGUCACAACUAGUCUAUCAGGUGAAGCCGUUAAGAAAUUCUAAUGCAUCGGACUCGAGAAUUUGACUAGGAAACGACCUUUCGACCGAGUUAAUCUGCAAGGGUCAUUACGGCACAAUUAAAAACCGAUUAAAGACCGGAGAUAGGUCGACUCGACAGAGGCAUGUGAUCGAGUGUGGGUGAUUCCACCAGAUCACACGAUUCUUGUCGAUCGACACUAGACCGACUUUUCUGUCGAUUAGGUACCUUAUGUCCGUAUUUGAAACCUUGAGAUUACCCCGACAACCGAAAGUCAUCAAUGUGUCAAAGACGUACAUUGUGGCUUGAAUUGAUCAACCACAAGUCAAAUGCAUGAAAAUUUCUAAAAACUGCCCGGUAGAUCAGGACGCACUAGUAUCGUGCCAAAGUGAAAUUAACCGUGAAAUUGAGAUCGAAUUCAGAAAUUGAAAGUCAUUGUGUGUCACAAAUCAUUUUAGGAACAUUGACUCAUCUUCGGAAGAUUUUUCAUGUAAGCCGAACUUUUCAGCAAUUAAAUCAGAGAAUGGCUAAUUUGGCUCGAGAAAUUAGUAGGCCCGCUUUUGGUCGUGCUUUUGGGACUCAAGUUGGUUAUAUGGUCAAGUGAUUACGUAAAUUGAAAUGUGGUGAUAUUAGAUUAAUUUUAUGGACUUCAAUUUAAUUCAAUUGGAAGGAAAUUGAAUGAAUUGUGUUGUACAAGAUUUUGGAGAAUUCAUGUCACGGCGGAAAUUGAAAUUGGACCUAUUGAGAAGAUUGUGGUGGAAGAUUUGGGUGAGUGGGAAGUGAUGUCACAGGAGGUCAUGGUGGGCCAUUUUUGUUGGAUUAAAGAAAAAGAAAAGGAAAAAGAAAUGGUUUCAUCUCUCUCUCUCUCCUUCCUCUCUCCCUUCCGUCGAUUUCCCUUUCUCCAUCUCUCUUCUUGCUGCUCGACGGAACCGAGCAGACCAGCGAAGCCGGAGAAGUCGCACACCUCCGCCGGAGCCAGACUCGCCGCCGCACACCGUCGCUUCUCCGCCUUGCUCGCACGCCCUCCACCUUUCUCUUUCCUCCUACAACCGUCGACUUCUUCUUCUUCUUUGUGCUAUUUGAAACCCAACAGCAAGCCAGUAGCUCAGCUCAUCGCCGUCGCACGCCGCUGGACCGCCACUGCCGCCGUUCGUCCCCGCGCAGGCCGUCGCUACUCGCCGCUGCUCCGCACGACUCUGCCCGCCUCUCGUCUACCCCUGCAUCGCAGCUUCUGCCUCAUCUCGUGCUAGAGCUAUUCAGCCACUUCCGGCCACUGUGAGACCCCACCGUUGGCCGCACGGCACCGCCACAGCUCCUCCACCCGUUUCUGACUCAAGCCGGCACCGAAUCGACCCUUUCCCAGCCCCAACCAACAACGCAUAGAGUGGAGAAAAAGUGGGUAUUGCUGUCCGGUUUUGGCCUGUUUUGGCUGGCUUCCUGACCCUCGAAUGCUCGGCCCACCUUGGGGAAAUCCGAUCCUCAUGUCGAUCCCGUCAUUUUGGUCCGCUCGGCUCGCUAAUCCGGUGAAUUUAGUUCACUAAACCUCGAUUAGAGGGUUAAUUAUGUUUAUGGAGGUUUAGUUUAUGUUAAGUGUUAUUAGGUGGUUAGUUUAAUUUAUUUAAGUAUAGAUUAGACUAAUGUGUUUAAUUAACUUAAAGUGUGUUUAAUUUAGUACUAAGUGGAUGUUUAUAUUAAUAUAAGCCUUAAUGUGACUUAAAUGAAUUUAAUUUUGAUUUAAAUAAAUGUUUCGAAAUUAUUGGAUUAUUUAAUAAUAUAUUAUAUUACGAAAAUUAUUAUAAUAUUAUUAUAUAAUUAAUUUUCGGAAUAAAUUUAAUUAUUUAUUAAAUUCCGAAAAUUUUGUCGGGACCCUAUAUUCUCAUAAUUUCGCGCUAAUCACUGUUGUGUAUUCAGAUUUUGAAAUUGAUGGUUGUAUAUUAUGAAUUGAGUGUGGAUUAUGAAAAAUAUGGAUAUUAUUUUAUUUAAUUUUCGGAAUAAAUUUAAUUAAUUAAUUAUUUUCCGGAAAUUAGGCGAUGAUGGCCAAUGACCAGAAUUUUAUGCUGAUCAUCGUGGUGCAAUCCAUUUAUUUAUUUGAGCUUUAUUUUGUACUAACUUGAUUUAUGAGUGAUUUUAAGAUUUAUUCCUAAAUUGAAUAAUCUUUGGUUAUUAAUUGAAAAAUAAUCGGGCAUCGGUUGAUAAUGCCAAAAAUGUUUUGGUAGAUUACAAAAAAUGAUGGGAUAUAUGGAAAGGGUCGAGUGGGACCGUAAAGCCAUUGAAUCUUGAAAUGGUCGAUUGGGACCAUAAAGCCAUUGAAUCUUGAAAGGGUCGAGUGGGACCGUAAAGCCACUAAAUAUAGAAAGUGUCGAGUGUGAUCGUAAAGCCACUAAAUAUUGAAAGUUGCUGAGUGUAGCCGUGAUUACCACUAAAUUUAGAUUUGCCUGGAGGGCCGUGUUUGAGGGUCGAGAAUGAAUAGUCAGAAUGACCGUGCGAUGACCUCGAUGACAUGUAAUCGACUGAGUUGAUUGAUCGCUGAGUCGAUCCGAGCAAGUGAAUUGUUUGAAUUCUAUCACCGUAUAUGCCUGAGUGAUAUGAACAUGAUUGAGUGAUUUGAAUUGUGCUAACCUGCAGAAAGGAACGGAGGCGAGGUAAGUCCUUUAUGUGGUGUGGCUAGGCCACUCUUGGAUGUAUUUUCUUUCUAAUAAGGGUUUAGGGGGUUGAAUUUGCUAAGACAAUGUCUCAUCCCGGUUGUGGGAUUACAAUUUCAGGUCCCUAGAUGGCGGGCGGUCGUGGAGAACCCGAAGCCCUAAGUCUGGAAAGGUGGAAACUGAAUAAUCGGUGAACGUGUCCUGCUAAUUGGUCUUAGGAUAGUUCCCCUUUUGUCGAACUGGUCUAUUUUGUAGACAGUCCAGUGUUGUAUUUAAACCUAUGUUUUUAUAAAUGAGUGUUUGGUAUUGUGAUUAAUUGCAUACUUUUCUAUCCCAAGUUAAAUGUUGUCAGGGGAUUUUUUUCGCUUCCGCAUGCGUAAUAAAAUGAAUGGGUAGACGACGUAUCCAGGGAUGUCGCAUAUUUGAUCGACCGCAGUGGGAUGUGCGCGCACUCGGGGUUCGGGGCGUGACAUGUAGACUAACCCAAACUCAUUCCUAACAAAUGACUAAGGAGAGGGGCCCAUUCUCUUUCUAAUCCAAGCUUGUACACAAACUUUUCUGUCACGAAAAAGGAAAACAAAGGGAAAAAUAGAAAGCUUAUACAUAAAUUUUAUUUCCUUUUUCUUAUUUAUUUGUGUAUCUUCUUAUUAAUUGCUAAGUUGGAUGCACUGUCCAUCUUAGUCAUCUCAUGUGUCAUAGGAGAAUUACCUGAAAGAUCUUAAAUUUAUUGCAAUUGUGACAAUUUAAUUCUAAACUUUUUUUACCAAUUUAGCCCCAAAUCUUUUUAAUUCAAUCCAUCUAAUCAAAUUUGAUUGAUUGGCGCUGAUAUAAAUGUAGGCUGGUGUCAGUCGUUCGGUGAAUGUUAACGUGAAAUAUUUUUUCGAAUUUUCAAAUUUUUUUCCCAUCUUCCCCCUUCCUUUGGCCAAUCAAAGGCGAGGGCCAACAAGGUCACCUCGCAGACCAAUGAUGAGGCUCACCCCCGCUAACCACUAACAAGAGUGAGCCUCACCCAACCAUGGUGAGGCCCUGCUACAUCUAGCGAGGCUCGACCUCACCCAACCAUGACGAGGGCGAGCUUCAACAACCACAAGGUUGACCCUCGCCAAACCUAACCAUGGUGAGCCUAGUGAUAGCGAGGCUGACCUCACCAUGGCUAGGCGAGGCCUCACUAGUGGCCGAGGUGACCAACGUUGAGCCUCGCCCUCGCUACUAACCAACGAGAGUGAGUCUCGCCAUUGGCCAACAAGACUAAUCUAUGGCUGAUGACGAUCAUCUAGAGAAAGGAGGAAGGGAAAAAAAUAAAAAAAGAAAGAAAAAAAGGAAUAAAUAAAAAUUAUUUAAAAAUUCUAAAAAAAAUAAAAAAUUAUCUCGUCACUAAACGGUCUAGCUGAUCAAAUUUGAUCAAAUAGAUUGAAUUGACACAAUUAAAAUGAGUUUAAGGCUUUUUCGAUAAUUUUUCCCAUGUGUCACUCAUUAUCCUUAAAUGUCUGUCCCUCCAAUCCCCUGCCAAUUAAGGCAUCACUCACGAGCUCAAAUGGAAGCUAGCUUCUGUCAGAUGGAAAAAAGUUGGACCUCUUUGUUUGGAAUGAGUUACAAGUCUACUGAGUAGCCUCAUAUUGCGACAUGACAAUUAUGAUUCCAUAAAAUUUCAAAUGCCCAUGACCCUCACGUCUACAUAUGUCUACGCUGAUGAAAAUUAUAGAGGUGAUGGAUGAACAUUUUUCGGCUUAGCCAACCUUUAGGGGUGUCCGACAAAAAACAAAAACCUUAAAGAGGUGUCCUUAGACCGAAAAACAAAAUAAAUUAAAAACCUCAAUGAGGUGUCCAAUGAUGUUGUUGAAAUGCAUGCAAGCAGUUCGAAAAUAUGUUCAAUAGAGACAUUUCUUUCUUGGAAUCAACCGAUGUUGUAAUUCAAAUUUGAAGUCCAAGGUGUAGGCAAGUUAUUUCCUUUGUUUCGCUGAGUCUUCCUUGUAUAUGUCCUUGUCGUUGUUCAUUUCUAAUAUGAUCUUUCUUUGCCUUCGCUAUUCUUACUCGUGGAUUUUUGAAAUGACUACCGUGAAUCCCAUGCACAUGUUGUCUUGGCAAUGCUAAGGGAAUCCGGCUGAGUAAAGAUAUCACCAAGUGAUAUUGCUAUAGUUUUUAUUUUAUUCUAUUGAACAUGUAUUAUUAGGGUGAUGGCGAACCAGUUUAACUCUCUGGUAAUCCGAUGAACAACCCAGUCUCAACAUCUGUACUCCAGCUGCUCCGGCUAUGUAUUGCUGCUGCUCUUGGAUGAGCUGUUGAUUGCCCAGGAUUUGCAAGACACUGAAAUUGGAAGAAAGAAAAAAAAGGACCCAAAAUGCUUUUAAAUUUAAUGAAAUAACAAAUGCAAUUGAAUGGUGAUGAAGACUCUGGAAACCUUCACUGAAUUAAAAUGGGAAAAAGCUUCAACGCAAUUUGAGAUUUACAAGCAGUGAACAAGCCUUUCACUGGAUCAAAUUAGGUGGCGAAGCAUCUGUCUAUGUGCUCAGAUCUAUUAAUUGUCACUGGGAAAUUUCAAUUUUUCCCAACAUCUGACUCUAGAAGAGGUUCUCUCCUCCAUGGUCGGAAAAAAAAAAAAAAACCCUAAAAGUGGUUAGCAACACCAACCAUGCCUACGAACUUCGGUUCCACCUAUAGUCAAUGUCUAAAGUACAGACUAGUAUCUCAUGAAAGUAAUAUCCUCUAUGUUAUUGUAAUUUUAUAAGAAGUGGUCAUAUUAAAAGGCUAUUAGUUUUUGUUAUCGAGUUAGUGUUUUCUACACAGAUCGUCUAAUGUUUACAACAUCAUAGAAAGACACAAACUUUCAUACCUUCUACAAUCCCAUGUUAGAAGCAUAGAAUUGUACCUGAUGAUAGCAAGUUGGGUAGUAGUUUUCUUAACAUUAAUUACUCAGAAACAUCGUGCUACUAAUUUUUAUUACCGUAUUGGUAAUUACUAACUUUUUGAUAUUUUCACUAGGAAAGUUGAAUUUAUCCCAACAACUAACUCUAGAAGUGAUUCUCUCUUCCAUUCUAAUAAAAGACAAGGAUAAAAAAUAAAAAAGCUUGAAAAGUGAUUAGGUACGCCAAAUGUGAUCACUAAAAGUUUUGGCUGCAUCUAUAGUCCCUAGUUGGAAAACCCAAUACGUUCUUCUUGAAAUAAAUAUUCUCAAAAUUGUGAUAUCCACAAUGCGGGUCACUACUCAGUGUUAGUAACCUUUUUCUUUUCAAGUCAGUAACUUCUAAGCAGAUCAAGUAAUGGUCAGCACAGAAAGACACAGAUUUGGGUCCAUCUACAAUCCUACAGUCUUACAGUCUAAUAUACAUAGUUGUAUCUCUUGAUCGUAAUUCCCCUAAAAUUUGUUUUCCCAACAUGAGUUCGUAACUCUGUAUUAGUAACUUCUAUCAUGGAGUCAAUCACUUUCUUAAUAGAUCAAGUGUGGGACCAUAGAAGCACACAGAGAUCUGAGUUUGUCUACAGUUCCAUGCAAAAGAGAUAAGUAGUAUUGUAUCUCGUGACAGUAAAUUUAUCAAUGUGACAGUAAUUUUCUCAACUUGGAUUAGAGGCUUAGUGCUUGAAAUAAGUUUCAAGCAGAUCAUACGGUCUCAAGAUCAUAGAAUUCUUCGGUGAUGUUCAACCUAUCUGCUCUUUUGAACUUAUGCUAUCAAAAACAAAACUUCUCACAGAUGGAGAAAGGUCCAACAUAAAUACAGGUACAUAACCCUGAAAUUAAGUACCUCUCAUUAUGCAUUGUCCUUUUCAUAAAAACUGGUCAUGUAGCAGUACUCUUUAAAGGUUUUAGCACCAGGACCAAUAGAGAGCAAGACAAACUGAUGACCAGCAAAUUUAACCAGGACAACAAACUGUACAGCACACAAUCUACUAAUAUUAAUUUGAUGGACAAAAGCAACAAGCUUCUUCACUACACAAGCGUGUUAGAACAUUAGGGCAAAAACCAUUAUUAAUCAUUAAAGACCUCUCUCGGGUCUUAGCAGAUCAUAGAACUACACUGUUAGAUCAUACAUGAAAAUGAUUGAGAGGUUCUAUUUCAGGUUUCACAAGUUUGUGGAUAGUGGUUAAUAUAUGCACAGAAACGUGAUGAUGCAUGACAAGUGACAGGAAGGAAACAAAAGCACAGAUGGGAAAGAGGGUGACACCUUUGCAAGAAGCUUUUCAUUCUCUUCUUUCAGAGACCUCUCCUGAAGUACACCAAAUAAAGUUGCUAGAUUAAUAUAACCAGGAAUUUAACAAUGCCUGAUGAGAUCGGAUAUGCAUUCAUCAUAUUUGUCCACUUACCUUUGCUUGUAACUGCUGUAUCUGAUCAUUGAAUAAUUGAGCCUGUAAAAGAGUUCCAUAGAAAUAUUUUAACUUUCGUGUGUGUGCAUAUCUUCCCCAUACGUUUCUUAGCACAAGGUGGUAAAAAAAGAGAGAAAAUAAGUUGAAAUGAUGGACGAUAGAAAUGAAAGGACAAUGCUUCGCAAAUUGUCCAGAAACAUAGUUCAAGUGAUAAGUAGUACAUGGAAAUCGGUGAGGUUAAUAUAAUAAAAAAACUCACGAUAUUCUAUUAUUUCGUGCCAAAGAAUGCAGGGUAUUUUUUUUUUUUUUUUGUUUCAUGUUGAUAAGUAUUAAUUUGUGUCAAUAAGUGCCAAGAAACCAUUGAUAAGAAAUGAUCGAUGAAUUUUUUUUUCUUUUUUGGGUCAGAGAAGAAAAGCCAGUCAUUUAACCAAACCAAAUAAACUCGUUAAAUAAUCAAAUAAGAGUUGGUGACACGGAAUUAGUUGGUUACUUAAUCAGAGAAAAGUUAGUAACUCCUAUAAUUAAGAUUGGUAAUUUCUAGUUGGGUUCCUAAGUAAGGCAAACAUUUAUGUGUGUACGAGUCUUAUAAGUGAAGAUGAAGAGGAGUGAAACUAUUUUUAUCAACAGAAUUUAUUUUAUAACUAAGAAAGUGAUAAAGAGAAGAACUAUCUGCUGAAGUUGUUGGCACGUAAGGCAGAUGAGAAACAGUAGACCUCACUCUCCACCAAAGAAAGGGCUAGAGUAGGAAAAAUUGCACUAAGAAACACCAAAUAGGAGAUGGUAAGUUAGUCACACGAAAGUUGGUAACCCAAAUAGAGUUAGUAAUUUAAGUGAAAUAUAAGUUUGUCUUGGUAAAUAUAUAUAAUAGCUAUCACAAUUAAAGAAAUGGUAAAAAAAGAAAAAAAAUUAAAAGUUGAUAAAAAGAAAGAGAUGUUGAUAAUUGCACAUUGUUAAAAGGAGUUGGUGAUUUCAUAAAAGUGUUGGUAAAUUAUUAAUAAAUUAGUUAGAAAUCAGGUAACUGCAAAUUUUUUUAUUACAAUUUUUUGUCACAUACAACUCUUUCAAAAGUUUACCAGCCUUUAAAAAUAUUCAAUCUUUUUUCUGUCGAAAAAGGAACAAUAGAGUCGUCCAAAUAACUCUAGGAAAAAUAAUGAUAGAAGAAUAACCAUGACAUUUUCCUCCUUUAUUGGAAAAAGAGAACGGGUCAGUAACGAUGAAGAAAAAGGGUGAUUUGUGAAUGUGCUUUCAUUCUUUUAUAUUAGGUAGAAAAUGCCACGUAUGCUUGGAGAAAAAUUGAUUCUCUCCUUUCAGACGCCAAGUUUAAUGUGUUUAGUCUACAUGCAACUGCAGUCUUUAUUGAAACUGGUGUUUCCGCUCCUGAAUGCAAUUGCAGUCUCUAUUGAAAUUGGUCAGUCUUGUUAGUCGUUCAAGGGAAAUUGUUUCUCAUUGUUUUCUUUCCCUUCUCACCAUAUCCAUGCCUCCAAAAACAGCAGCUACUCGAUGAAAGUUCUCAAAACACUUUAGGCUCAGAGAAAAGGACAAAUAUGCCAAAGACGCGUGUACCUUUCUUUCCCUAAUGCUGCUCAAACUUCGCUCGAGCUGAUCCCCUAUCUCUUGGAUUUCGUCAAUCGAGCAAGAUCCGAGACAUUGUCCUGAUAGCUUGCUGAUGUAAAAAAGAAAAAGGAGUACCAUAGUUUAGGGAAUUAGAUAUCAAGAAUCCAUUUCGAUCCACAAUUUAUAAGAGAGAAGUCUCAAAAUUUGUGGACCGUAGAGAAACUUCAAGAAGCUCAAUCUUCCUCUCCAUAUCCGUGGUUUCUUGCUUCAGAUGCUGCACAUAUAUGGAGAUUGUGAUAUUUAUGAAUCCAGUGAACGGAAUAAUACAAACUGAACAAAUGUGAAAUUAGUAAAGGAUAAAACCAAUCAUAGUAAACAAAUCUGUCACACCACAGGAUCCUGCAAAACUACGACUGCUACUACAAGAAUCCUAAUGUUCUUGCAAAAUUUGUAGCUGGACACAAACCAUGGUCGCUUCUAUGGCUUAGCGCCUCAGUAAUUCUUGACAUCAAAAGUAGGGUUCUUAUCAAGAACGUGGUUCGAUAUUAUUACGAUCUGCAAAUACUUACGUAUGGGCUCACACCAACUGCCAAUUUCAAAACUUCCUUCCAGAAAACAAUAAGAUGUAGAUGCCCAAGGAGGUGAUGUUUUCGAGGUAUCACGUGGAGGGUGAUGAGUGGGAUUUCAGAAGCUGAAAGCAUUUUAGACGACCAGUUAAUGUCCUGAGGACAUGUACAAAGACCAAAAUAGCACUUUUAAUGUUUCGAUUAACUUGAAACCUAUUUGUCUCUAUACAUAUCAGCAGUUUCUCCUCUCUGCUUCCCAGUCAUUGCCAAACCAGAAAGUAAGUUCAUCCGCAACUUAUCUCGGAUAUAUACACCUUCUCAUUAAGAAAAAACUUACCACAUUAAAGAUACAUUCGGAAAUUGAAUGUCACUUGACUCUAUCCCUCUUUUUACAAGUAUAUCAUCAUCAUUAGUAUGAUCCCUACCUUGUGGUUCUAGUGAUUCAUUUAAAUCAUGUAUGCGGGUAGAUUUCUCAUGUGAUCUUUGCAUAUGAGGCGACUAUUUAUGUAUACACAAGCACAUAUUAUAAGGUUGCUGGGGAAAUAGGAUUUCUCGCCAUCUGUGUUCGUGUAUAGACUUCUUUGUAAGCCCUAUCCUGAAAAAAGUUAUGUUUGAUGUUAUAUGUUAAUCCACCAGGAAAAAAAAAAAAACAGCAGGAAGUUGCUUUCUUACAUACAGCAAAAUGAAUGAAAUCGAACUGCUCAACUUGCUUAACCUCUAAAAAAUGUGCUUGAAUAGUUCAAAUAUGACUAGUCCGACACUAUUGACUUCUAUUGACUAACAAACAUGGCAACUUGUAUAAUUAAACUGAGAAUCUCACUGAACUCCUUAUGAAUGCACCAAAUGUAUUAUCAUGGAAAGGUUAGAGCACUGACCAGAAUAUAUUGUUCCAUAUUAGCCUGGUAUGUAUCCGCACCAUUUGUAGAUCUACGAUAUCGAUCAAUUGUCUUUCGGAUUCUGAAAAAUUUGCAAAAAAAGCAUAUGAGCUCAGCCACUAGGAAUACAUUCUCCAAAUUAAUCAGGUAUCAUCAAAACUAAAGUAAUCAAACAUUAAACAUUAAACAUUAUUAUUUUUGUGAAUCAUGCAUGACUUCCAGUGAAUAUGUAUCACUACCACUCACGAACAGAAUAUGCAAGGACCAUAAGCCUCCGCAAGAAGCUUUUAGCGUCUCAGCAACUUAUUUGCAACUAUGUGAAUUACUUGGAAAAGUCUUGGUUGUCCUCCUUAUACUUUGUAAAUAAUCGACGCCGGAGGGAGUAUAGAGAAUUAGGAGGUAACACAAAUGAGAACUUAAAUGGAAAGCUCGCUCACCAUUCAGAAUUCAUUUAAGAGAUAAAAGCAAAACAAGAAAUCCUUCUUGUUCUGAAGCCAAAGCUAAAUAAGUUAUGAAUCAAGACAAGUCUAUCUUCUCACUCAUCAUAGCAUAUGCUUAUGUAGAUGAGUUUGGAAUGACCCCUUAAGCAUGAGUAAUUGCCAAGACUCAUUCGAAAAUAUGAGACCAUGCCAGCAAGGACUCCGGAAACUUAAACGACAUUUACUAGACCUUGAAAAUAUGAGAAUCAAAUGUAGUUGGUUGUAAGUCUCCUAGUUUUACUAGUUCUGAAUUAAUAAAAUGCUCUAACAUCAAUAACCAUGCCAGCAAUAUUUUCCUUAAAAUUUUAGCGUGAAAAUGUUCAACUUCACAUUAUAAAAGUAUAUUAUGUGCGCACGUGAAGUAUAUUUAAAUAUGAGUGAAUUAAUGCAAUGUUUUUUGCUCAAGCCCAAAGUCUCCAAUAUUCCACACACCACUCUUUGUCAGUAAGAAGUAAGAACAGCACAUGAUGCUUGUAAAAUCAUCAGUUGCAUUGUGAAGCAGUACAAGGACUCACUACUUCUGAGAGAAAUUAUAAGAGCAGAGUUGCACCUACAUUUAACUUGUGACUUCAAGCACUUUUUUUCCCGUAAAUGAAGAACAGGGGGUACUUACAUGGUGGAGCAACUAAAAUGGCAAACUUGUACAAUUGCAGUACUCUAUGAGUAAGAAGUCCAAGAGAUCAACGUGUUGUGUCAUGUUAGCCUUAAUCUAUUAUACUAGUGAAUGUACUCGAUCCCAUAAAAUCACCAUUACACAAAUCUAGUCAAGCCCAUGACCUUAUUCACCUUUCAAAGCAUCGUAUAAUUAAAAGUACCUAAAAUAGAAGAUGUCAGGACUUGUUUCACACUUUUUUGUUUAGGGUUAAAGUACCAUUAAAAAAUCAACUUGAAAUCUUUUGCAUGUUUUGUUUGGUUCAGAAAAGAGAUUAAUAAUGUCUAAGUUUCAAUUCAAUGAACCACGAUUUGAAUUGCUUAUUGAUUAUGGUGGUAGAUAGGUAACACAUUAUUCAAUUUCCCGACUAAUAAAUGUCAUAUAAAAUUCUAGUUUUUGCCUUGUGGUAUGAUCAUAAACUUGAAAGAUGGAUUUGCAUGAUUAACCAUUAUCAGAUAGGGUACAUAAAAUAGUCUUAAUUCAUGUCUAAGUAGUAUAAUUACAACAAACUGAAUUAAACAAGGUAUGGUUUGAAGGCUUCACACUUUUCAACUUAAGUUUGGUUUUCAACUUCCAAGCUAUCAAAUUUGUUUGGGAAAGAUCUACUUCAAAUAGAUUAAUACCUUACUGCAAAUACGUUUAUCAUCAUCAUGCCCCAAGAAUUAGUUAUGGAAAUCAAUCCCUAGAAGCAGCCUUAAAACCUAUAACACUUCAAAAAGGAACACUAUACGGCAUGUUCAUUUCAUAUCAACGUGGAAUUGGGGCAAAGGCUGACGAAAUAAUAUCAGUCCCCAGUGUCACUAACAUUAAAUUAUGUUUUCAUCCCCCAAGAAGUACUAAGUAUUCUAACAUGUGAAGAAGCUGGAAUAGAUCAGUACUUGCAAGAUAUUCAACAAUUAGUUUCCUCGGAAGAACCAUUAAGAAAGAGGGAGUCCAACUCCAACGCUACAGCGUACACAAUGAAUGCCUUUGAUCAUCAAAUCCCCCGCAUCUAGCCAUUUGAUUAGGGUACACCCCAGUGCAAUGACUAUCAAAAAGAAAAGCGAAAAAGAAGAUUUAAUAGUUUCGUACUUCCUUUUCUCAGCUAAUUUCGACUAGGAUAUCUGAAUAAAAGCCAUGUUUUUAAAAAUUGUCCGAAAAUGAGAACCAAAUUGGUCAUCAUGGUGGGUUAGUCCGUGAUCGAAGGGGAAAGACACUAAACGCUUGACCAAAACCAAAAAUGGUAGAAAAGAAAAGGCGAACAAGAAAAAAAACCCAUGCCAUGAUGCUGUCUCUUUUUUACACCUGACAAACACACAGCAUAUAUGUGUGUAUAUGCCCUCCUUUUGGACAUAAUAAUGUUAACAAGGCUCAAUCAUGUUCCUUAUCUAAAACCAUUUCGAGAAAUUAAAAAAUCAGUAUGCAAACGUACUCAGAAUUGCUUGAGAACUCGUAAAGCCUUCCUUUCUGUGAAAAGAUUAUCACAGCGACUUCGGCAUCACAGAGGACCGAGAGCUCGAAAGCUUUCUUCAGUAGCCCAUUACGGCGCUUCAAGAAGGUGACUUGCCGGCUCGUCACAUUCUCAAUUCGCCUCAUCUGAAUUUUGCCUCUUGCCAUGAUCGAAUUGUCCCUACAUACAUGACGGUUAUCAACCCUAAAAUGACAAGUAUUUAAACAUAGCGAUGAACUUAACAAAUAUACCUCAACAAUCAAAAACCACAACUCACCAGUGACUUUGUGCAGCUUCAACCAGCUGAAGAUUUAUCUAGACUUUAGACUGAAGUACUUGAGAAGCUAAAAACACUGCAAGAGAAAUAACUCUCUUUUUUUCAAAUAGAGAUAGACUAUUUCAUCAUUCAAACACAAGUCCAAAAGCACAGGAUAAAGAUUUCACAAAAGCAAUGGUCGGAGAAAUAUGGAUUUGCCCAGCGUAACAAAAGGGGAAGCUUCUCCACUCUAUGUCAGAAAAAUGAACCACAAAAAAUUCAGAAACCCUAAAGAGGGACGAGAGGGCGAAGACGAAAACCAAAAAACUGGGAUGAACGCAAAGGAUACAUUAGCAGUUGAUGGAUCUCUCUUUAUUUUGUGGCCACAAACAUGAAAAGAAGAAAAAAGUUAUUAUUCAAAAUUCAAUGAUCUUCUACUCAGGGCAAAUAUGGCGUGAACCAUGAAAAGGAAAUACAAACAAAAAAGGAAAGAAACAGGGAGGAAAGCAAAGCAUUCAAGGUCAACCAAAACGGCAUGGUUAAUUUGGUACCGAAGAUUCAAAGAAGCAGAUGGAUUCUCUUGUUUUGGUAAAAUUAAUAAAGAGUGUAGAGAGAGAGACAGAGAGACAGAGAAAGAGAGGAAGAGAGAGAAGACAUUUUGUUUUUUCCGAAAAAACGUAUAUUUUUAUUAGAAAGAGCGUAGAGAGAGAGAGACAGAACGACAUGCGAAAGAGAGAGCAGCGAGAAACGAAACAGGUGAAAAGAAAGAGAAAAGGUAGUACGAUAAAUAUGAGAAUUGUCGACGUCAUCGUACCAUGACGUGCGCAGUUAACCAAUGGGACGUUGACCAGUGGGAAAACAUUAUCUCUCGCUCAAAUUCAGUGGGCCUCCACUAGACCCAUGGAAAGAGACCCUGUCUUUUUCUUGGGCCAAGUAGGAACAGCCUCGGCGCUCUUCUUCAAUCGAUUCCCCUCUUAGUGGGUUUGCGAGCACUAGGAGUACUCGAAAUUAUUACCACGAUAAAUUCAUGGGUAAAAUAGAUACCAGAACAAUCCUUUAGCUUAUCUUUCCUUUAUGUUCUUCUUAUAAUUCCUCAUUAUAUAGGAGAGUAAAAAAUACCUGAAACUUUUUGAUUUGGGUAAUAAGUAUGGGAAUUUGGGAAGUUUUAUGCUUUGAUUCGAUUUUUUGUUUUGUUUUGUUUUUUUUUUUUUUGCUUACACACAUGAGAGUUCAAAGGUUACUGAUUAUGAUACACUAAUCCCAUAUCACUUAAUUUUCUAAUUAGCAGAAAUGUGAUCUUCUACGAGACUACUAUGUUUUGAUAGAAGACUAGCAGAGCAAACAUAUCAUAGUGUCAUUGGAACAAAAAUAAGAAAAAAAAAUAACUUAUUAUUUUCAGGAACAAUUUCUAGAAAUAAGUCAUUUUUUUUUCUUUUCUAAUUUUCUUUUGUUCAUCUUCCUUGCCGCAGCCAUCGCCCGUAGCUCGCCACCGUCGCCUAACUACCGGCAACCAUUGUCGUUGCCGCUCGACCGUCGACUGUUGUCACCGCCCACUACCCAUAACCCACCAGUUGUUGUCAGCUGUCGAUGUUUGGCAGUUCAUAAGUAAGAAGAAAAAACAAAUAAAUGCAAAAAAUUAUGAUUUGUACCAAACUCAUUUAUAUUCUUUUUCUAUUUCGAAAAUAUAAAUUUUGUAUAUUAUUUUACUUAGAAAUUAUUCCAAUGAGUAGAAAAAAACUAUUUCUAAAAAGAAAUUAUUCAUCAAAGUUGAAACGUUACCAUGCACAAUCUAAAUAAGUAGCAAAAUUGUAGCACUUUAUAGUUAUGAGUAGACAAAUAAGGCAAAUUGGGCCACUUAUACAUUAUAAUUCUACAUUUAUUACUUAUGCAUUGACAAUAAAGUAAUAAAGUAGAAACAUAUGAGCUUUCGUCUUGCUUCGAGAGAAUAUCUAGUGCUGAAUCUUUAUAGUGGGUAAAGGCUAUGAAUGAAGAGAUGAAAUCACUCCAUUAGAACUAAAAAUGGGAUCUUGCUAAAGUAUCGAAGACCAACAAUAUCAUUGGAAACAAGUGGGUCUACAAAUGGAAGGAAGGCAUCGAGGUAUAAGGUAAAACUUAUUGUGAAGGGUUAUACAAAACAAAAGAGCAUUGAUUACAACAAGGUCUUUUAUCCUAUUAUAAUACAUACUUAUAUUUGAAUAUUACUUGUCUUAAUUGCUACACAUGAUCUCAAGCUAGAACAACUGGAUGUGAAAAUGGCAAUUUUUCACAAUGAGUUCAAGGAAUGGAUUUACAUGAGGCAGUUAAAAGGAUUUGUUAUUUCGGGUAAAGAAAACCAUGUUUAUUUAUUAAAUAAAUCUUUCUACGGGUUGAAACAAUCUCCUAAAUAAUGGUAUAAUUAUUUUGAUGCUUUUAUGGCUGAAGCUAUUCGAAAGUUAGUUGGACAGCUUACUUUAGGAGAUUGGAGGAUGGAUCUUUGAUAAAUCUAAUAUUAUUUGUUGAUGACAUAUUGAUAACAAUUAAGAUUAUGUGGGAAAUUGAUGUGUUAAAGAAGCGGCUAAAUGCUGAAUUUUAGAUGAAAAAUUUGGGUGCUACAUAGAAGAAUAAGAGAUGUCAAAAACACUUAUCGGAUCAACCAUAUGAAGAGAUUUUGUUUUAAAUUAUGGUGUAAAUUUUGCUUGCAAUUGGGUUGAUUAUUUGUAAAUACUAUGGGUUUAGGUAUACUUUAAUUGUAGGAAAUAAUUGAACAUGUAAACGAUUAUUAAUUCUAUGAUUCUCCAAUUAUUAAUAGAUUAUUUGCUGCUAGUCCUUCUUGUUGAAGAGUUACCGACACAGAGACCAAACCACGUAAAUUCCUAAAGUUUUCUCUUGGUCCUGACUUAUUUCUAUGGUAAUUUUGCAUUGAUUUAAUUUGCAAGAUCCAAUGUUUUCCACAUUAAUUUUACAAAGUUUAGAAGGACAAGUCACCAUAUCAAUUAUAAAAUACAAAAGAUGAGGACAACAUAGCUAAUGCAAUGUGGAUUCAUGAGGACACCAAAAUAGCACAGGCCUUUGAUUAAAUAACAUAUCGAUAACAUAGGCCUUUAAUUAAAUCGCAUAUCUUUACUAAUAUAUUAAGCCAAAGCAUGCACCUUAUGCAUACGACCAACAUGCGCCAUUUGUCAUGUUUCUACAUCACAAUAAUCUUGAACCUCUCAACUAUUCCACAUUUUUUUUUCAAUAAUUAUGUACAUUUUAUAGUGCAAACAUCAACAUAGUUGGAGAGCAUCUUCUCUCUACCAACUCAAUACGGAGGCACGUCUUCAAAACGAAGAUGCAAUACAGCUUCCACAGCUGCUAAUACUAAUUUAGUAUCUUGGACAAAAGGCAAUAGUAACAUUCUCAAUGAACCUUAUACCAAGCUAAAAGGGUGCUAAGCCAGAUUCAAAAAUCUAAAUACCCAAGGAAUCACACAAAUAUUUGUUAGGGGAUGGCGGAUAUUUUCUCCUUUAGCAAACCAACAACCUUAAGUCAAGUUGACAAAUAGAGUGUGUUUAGAAACUCUAUCUUACAUUUGUAGUUAUCUCCCUGCCAUUCACAGUAUCUACAUGUAAUAGUUGACACUGAGAAAAUUAUGUAUGUGUAUGUCUAAAUUAAGUAAUGGUUAAGUAUUGGAGAAGUAAUGCUAAAUCAUGCAUUGGCAUAAUAUACACAUCAUUGAUUCAUUAAAUAUUUCAACACGUGGUUCAUUAUUUCGACACAUAUAAAAUGGGUAUUGUGGAAAGUAAUCAUUUGGUUUAUUGGUAGUUUAAUUAAAAUGAUUGGAAAAGAACUACUCAUUACAAAUAGUAUUUUACAUAAACAGAUAAUUCAAUUUUACUUUUAAAAAAAUUUCAAAGAGAUUAUUGUCAUUCUGAUGAAUGGGAUUCAUUCAAAUAAAUUUUACAUUUAAAAGUACUCUUACUUGAUAAUGAUUUACUUCUUCACGUCACUUUCUUAGGUUUAUUUGAUGCACACAAUCCCUUUUUCUUAUUUAUGAGGACACUAAGGUACUUUUCUUGGCAUGGGAUUGACUCAUUCAAGACAAUAUCCUUGUUUUAACAAAAGGAAUUAUUGUAGUAUGAUGUUUUAUAAAUAAAUAAAAAAAUCACAUUACUUGUGAUCUCCUGAAUUUUCAAUUCUAUUUUCAAUUGAAUGAAUCGGAAUUUUUAUCGAUGCACCUACAAUUCUAUUCUCUAAGCUAAUCACUCACGAGAUAACUAAUCCAUCUGGUGAAGCCAUUAAGGGAUUUUAACGUAAUAGAUUUGAGAAUUCGACCAAAAAUAUGCUAAUAUUCAAGGGUCAUUACGGUAUAGUUAAAAAUCGAUUAGAGACCGGAAAUAGAUCGACUCGACCGAGCCAUGUGAUUAAGUGUGGGUGAUUCUACUUAAUUUCAAAAUUCUCGUCGAUCAGCACUAGACCGAUUUUUCUUUCGUUUAAAUACCUUGUGUCUGUAUUUGAAAUCUCGAGAUUUCCACGACAAUCGAGAGUCGCCAAUGUGUCAAAUAUAUACAAUGUAGCUCGAAAAUAAUCGACCACAGGUCAAUUGCACUAAAAAUUCCUAAAAUUUAUGUCAUGUCAUGAUUUAAUUUAAGACCAUCGACUCACCCUUCGAAAAAUUUUCUGCAAACCAAGAUUUUUGGCAAAAUUUCAAAAUAUGGCCAUUUUUGUCCAGGAAAAUCAUAUGACCGUUUUUUGUCGCAUUUUUGGGAUUCAAGUUGGUUCAAAUGGUGAGGAAAAAUGUUGUAUUUGACGAGGACACCUUGGUUGAAUUUAUAGACGUCAAAUUGGAUUCAAUUGGGGGGGGGAAUGAUUCAAUUUGGGGGAAAUUGGUACAAAAUUCGUUGGUCCCUUCGUGUGCAACAUUUGAGGCAUCAAUGAAGCUUCCAAGGGAAGAUUGAGGGCUACAAAUUGGCUUGGAUGACAGCCAAGACAAGUGGGGGCCAAGCAAUGAUCAACUAAGGGAUAUUUAGGCAUUUUUUCGCCCCUCCAAGUGCAACUAUCUUCUUCUUCUUCUUCAGUAGCUUGCUUUAUCCAUUUUUAGACCACUCUUGAAGCUUGGAGAAACCAGAGAAAAACCGACAACCAUCCCCCUAGCUCGUCGCACGCCCGCCGAGCCACCGGAGCCACCGCUCACAUCGCACGAGCCCAUUGCGCGUCGCCCUGCCAGUCCGUGCCUCCUACUUGUCGUCCCGCCUGUCCCGAGCCACCUCGCCGUCCCCCAAGUUGCCCAGGCCACCGUCGAAGCCCCCUGGCUAUCGUCCAGUCGCCGUUCACCUCCACCUAGCCCGCUGCAGCCGCCCGCCAGCCCUCCUUACCGUUUCAACCCAGCCAGCAGCCCCGCACCAGCUCCUUCGGCCCAAGGUCAGUGGCCGAAGCCAACAAGGGCUUUGAGACUUCAAGACCCGUUUUCAAGCCCAUCUGGUCGCCGCUUGGUGUCGUCACAUGAUUGUUUUGUGCCCGUCUUUAUGUCGUCGUCGUCGUUGUGAAUCACCGGAAUGCUAAACUGGUGAGUUUACUUGCUAAACUCUACUUAUGGAAUUAAUGACCAUUAAUGGGUGAUUAAUUUAGGAUAAAAUAUGAGUUAGGUUGUUAGUUAGCAUGGAUUAGUGAUUUAAUUAUUAAUUGUAUAUGUUAGGUGGUUAGAAUAGCCUAAUUAAAGACUAGAUAAGUUGUAUUAUUUAUCUAGACAGGUUCGAAAAUUUUUCAGGCCUGUUCGAGUGGUUAAUUAGCAUUUCCAGCCUAAAUUUGCAUUUUUGGUAAUUAAUUGUAUUUAUUUAAUUAUUUUUUGUAUUUAUUUAUUAUUUAUUAUUUAUUACUUUCUGGAAAUUAUACUAGGAUAGCCGGUGACUGGAAUUUUGCGCUGAUUACAGUGGUAUGCUUAGUUUCUGCAAUUGAAUGCUAUUUUGUGCAAAUUGAGUGGUGAUUGUAAUUUUUGGUAUUUAUUCCAAAAUUGUGUAAUUUCGGUAUUUAAUCAAAAAAUACCGAGCCGUCGGUUUUUUAUGCCAAAAAUAUUUUUAGGCACUAUAUUAAAUGGUGGGAUUUUGAAAAAAAAUAUAUAGCAUUUUGGCUCAGACCGACUGUGUACUCACACACGAUUAUUUUUAUCGAGUGUUUUUAACACGAUUAAAUUAGACCAAGUUCAUUAUUUUUAUUGAGAAAUUGGUUUACAAAGCACAAGGUCCUUGGCCGAGAUUGAUUUAUUGUGUAUCAGCUUGUGUGAGCAUUGAUUGUCAGCUUGUGUGAGCAUUAUUGAAUCGUCACCUUGUGUGAGUAAUGAUCAUCAGUGUUACGCCUCGAUUCUCGAGCGCACGCCUAUCCCUCACCUGGUUGAUUAAUCUUGAUGUCCCAGGAUGCAUCGCCGACCCUUUUGUUUUAAUACGCAUGCGGAAGCAGAUAUAAAAUUCAUAAACAACAAAACAAUAGGAUAAAAAAGUAGGACUAAAAACUCGAACCUGAAAAUCAAUACACUUAUAUACAUAUAUAACAACUCAAUCAUAUAUGUACAUAUACAAGCCACACUGAAAAGUCAGUUCCUACACAAAUAGGUUCAACACCAACAAGUCAUCAAACAGGAGUGGGGGUCUCAAUCUUCAUCUAGGUCAUACUCUGGAUCAUCCUCGGGGUCUUCCUUCAAGUCAUCCUCUAGUUCCUCUUUAGGUUCUUCUUCAGGUUCCUCCUCCUCCUCCUGUUCAACGAUCUCUCCUUCUUCUUCACUCCAAUUAGCGUCCUCAGCUGAGUACACUGGAGAGUCAGAUUCGUCCUUAAGCUUAGGAUCAUUUGCAUUCACCACCGAUCCAUCUUUAGGGUCUAUUGUACCCUUACCAAAAAUAGUUUCCAGAACGAACCAAAGUACAUUAGAUUCUAGCAUAGGGCUCUCCCUUCGCCCAUCAUGAAAGUGGCGAUACCAUGACCAGUACUUAUAAGGCACCUUAUCGAGUACAUUCACGUCAACCCAAACAGUGGACUUCACUAGUACAUAUUCUAAUCUUUUAGGGUGGAGGUGUAUCGGAAAAUGAUAACCUAUUUCUGUAAUCUCCUCCGAUAUACCAAAAUGUGCGAGAGGGGGCGGGGGUGCUGCCAAUAUGGACCUGAAAUGUUAUCCCACAACGGAGUGAGACGACGUCUCAGCAAGUUCUGCCCCCUAAGACCCGAUUAGGAAGCCAAUAUGCCCUAAAGGCUACCUAAGCACAACAUGAGUUAGAGGAUUUACUUUGGCCUCAGUUCCAUCCUGCAAAUCAAUAACAUUUACAGAUGCCUCAAAUCACAUCAAUCACUCAAUUCGUAACAUCAGAUCAAAUCAUUAAGCAAUCGACCUAAUCGAUUACAUAUCACUACGACCUCUCCCUGAUCGAUACAUUCAAUACCAUCUAUUCUCCAAGAUGGUAUAUCUAGUCACCGAGCCAAUGUGCAUUUUCCAAGAUGACAUACCUAGCCACUGAGCUCACGUGCAUUCUCCAAGAUGACAUACCUAAUCACCGAGCCCACGUGCAUUCUCCAAGGUGAUAUAUUGAAUCACUGAGCCAACAAAUAUAAUGUCUUUCUCUGAGAUGACAUUCUUAAUCAUCGAGCCAACAUAGUAUGGCAUUCUUUCUCACAUUUUAUCAUAACCGAUAAAAUAGUCGUGUGUGGGUAUACGAUUGGCCUUAACCAAAAUAUAAUAAUUUCACUUUCACAAAUCCCAUAAUUUCAUAUGGUCCACCAAAAUAUUUUUGACGUUGUAAACCGAUACUCAAUUAUUUUCCAAUCAAUUACCAGAAUUAAUUAAUUUAGGAAUAAAAUGCUAAAAUCACAAUUAAAUCAAUUCAACACAAAUUAAAGCUCAAAUAAGUAAACAUACUACACCAUAAUAAUCAGCAUAAAAUUCCGGUCAUCGACUAUCCAGUCUAAUUUUCGAAAAAAUAAAUAAUUAGUUAAAUAAUUACGAAAAUAUUAAAUAAAUAGCAAUAAAUCUAAUUUAUGCCCGUAAUACCUAAUUGGAAGUCGAAACAGACCCAAAAAAAUUUCAAAGUUCGUUGAAUAAAUAAUAAAUCAUGUUACUCGCUAAAUGCACUAACCAUUUGCCUAACAUGCAUUGAUAAGGCACUAAUUUAAUUGUUCUACUUUAAUCUAUCCACCUAAUUAUACUUAAUUAAUUCUAAUCAACCCUUAAGCAUCAUGUGACCUCCCGAUUUUUCAAUUCUAUUUUCAAUAAAUUGAGACGGACAUUUCUUUGGCACGCAUAUAGUGUUUUUCCUUGAGUCGGCCACUCAUGUGAAAACUAGUCUAUCAAGUGAAGCCGUUAAGAAAUUCUAAUGCAUCAGACCCGAGAAUUUGACCAGGAAGCGACCUUUCGACCGAGCUAAUCUGCAAGGGUCAUUACGGCACAAUUAAAAAUUGAUUAGAGACCGGAGAUAGGUCGACUCGAUGGAGGCAUGUGAUCAAGUGUGGGUGAUUCCACCAGAUCGCACAAUUCUGGUCGAUCGGCACUAGAUUGACGUUUCUGUCAAUUUGGUACCCUGUGUCCGUAUUUGAAACCUUGAGAUUACCCUGACAACCGAAAGUCGUCAAUGUGUCAAAGAUGUACAUUGUGGCUUGACUUGAUCAACCACAGGUCAAAUGCAUGAAAAUUUCUAAAAGCUACCCGGUAGAUUAGGACGCGCUAGUAUCAUGCCAAAGUGAAAUUAACCGUGAGAUUGAGAUCGAAUUCUGAAAUUGGAAGUCAUGGUGUGUCACAAAUCUUAUUAAGAACAUUGGAUUAAUUUAUGGACUUUAAUUGAACUCAAUUGAAAGAGAAUCGAGUGGAAUUGAAGAAGUUGUUGUACAAGAUUUUAUACCCCAUCGAAAAAUGAAAUUGAACCUAUUGGACUAAGAUUAUGGAAGAUUGGAGUUAGUGGAAGAUGACAUCACCUUAUGUCAUGAUGGUUGGGCCAUAUUGAAGGAGAUCUUGACAAGUGAAUGGUGGGGAUUGGCUCUUGUAAAAGUGGGCUAUCAACAUCAUCUUCAAGCUUGGGAAGAGAGAGAAAGAGGGGAGAGAGAGCUUCGACCGGUUACAGCAAGCUUCGUUCGCCCCUUCGCCGUCCGCUCGUUCGUCACAAUUGUUGCCGUUGCUGCUGCGGUCACCGCUCGUCCGCUCGCCAGCUCACGCCGCUGCCUCGGCCACGCCUUCGUCCGCUCGAGCCUCCAACUCGUCAUCCGGCGUCCUAGCUGCUACUCAACGCCGUUGCACUUCGCCGGAGUCUCCAUCGCGGCCGCACGUCCUCGCCAGCCACCGCCCGAGCUACCACCCCUCUCCUCCGCCGUUCCUCCGCCUGAACCAGCACUGGAUCAACCCCUUCUCGGCCUCAACCAGCAGCUCGCCGAGUGGGUAUUGCAGCCUGAUCUUGGCCCAUUUUGGCCGACUUCCCGACCCCGAAAGCUUGACCCGCUUUGAGAAAAGUUGUUCCCCUCGGUGUCCUCGGCGUUUUGGUCCGCUCGGUUCGUUAAUCAGGUGAGUUUAACUCACUAAAUCUUGAUUAGACGGUUAAUGAUGCCCUAAGUGUACUUAGUCUAAGUUAAGUAAGUUUAGGUGAUUAGAUUAAUUAAUUUGGUUAAGGAUUAGAUUAGGGUUUUUAAUUAAGUUAAAGUGUGUUUAGUUUAAAGUUAAAUAGGUUUAUUUUAAUAUAAGCUUUGAUGUGACAUAAAGGAAUUUACUUUCGAUUUAUUUAAAUGUCUCGAAUUUAUUAAAUAAUUUAAUAAUAUAUUAUUAUUCAAAAUUAUUAAAAUAUUAUUAUUUAAUUAUUUUCGGAAUAAAUUUAAUUAUUUAUUAAAUUUCGAAAAUUUUGUCAGAAUCCUAAAUUCUUAGAAUUUCGUGCCGAUCGCUGUUGUGUAGUCAGAUUUUGAAAUUAAUGAUUGGAUAUUAUAAAUUGAGUGUGGAUCGUGAAAAAUAUGGAUAUUAUUAUUUAAUUAAUUUUCGGAAUAAAUUUAAUUAUUUAAUAAAUUUUGAAAAUUAUUUAAUAAAUUUUGAAAAUUAUUUAAUAAAUUUUGAAAAUUAUUUUGGGACCUUAGUUUCUUAGAAUUUCGUGUUGAUCGCUGCUGUGCAUUUAGAAUUUGAAUUUGAUGAAUGGAUGUGGCAAAUUGAGUGUUGAUUGUGAUAAAUAGAGAUUUUAUUCAUAAAAACUCAAGUGUCGGGUUUUAAUGCAAAAAUUGGAUUUUCAAUAUUAUAUUAAAUAGUGGGGUUUGAAAAAGUGACCUAUUGGUUUUCUGGAUCGAAAUUAACUUGCCCCCACACACGUGGUUAAUUUCUGGACUAUUUUUAAUAUGAAAAAAAAAUGGUCGGGAUCACUAUUUUAAGUGGAAACAUCGAGUGAAAUGCAAAGUGUCUCGACCGAAUAUGAAUUGUUGUGUGAUAAUUGAGAGGAGAUCGUCUCUAGGCUGUUGAGCCAGACUUACCCCUAUAUGGGAUGCCCACGCAGUGGUUGCAGGUCGCAGUUGAUUCUGGGCCUAUACUCCUUCGGGAAUGCCGUCAACGUACUGACGAAGCCGUGCUCCAAGGUGGGGAGGCGAUGCCUGGCUAUAUGCCAGUAGAUAGCCGAACUGCAAGUAGGCUAUGCUCUUGUGUGGUAGUCAAUAACAAUUGGAAUGCAUGUUGAGUGUUGAUGUGUCGAAUUAUGGGACGGAAUUGUGUGGCAUGGAAUGUGACGUGUCAUAACGAUUUAGUCUUAUAAUCAGGACCCUCGCGGUUGUUGGUUAUAUGAAAGUGAAUGCGUUCCGGUUGUUUAAGUUCUUAUUACUGCAUAUGAUUGAGUGAUAUGAAUUGUGCUAACCUGCAGGAAGGAACCAAGGCGAGGUAAGUUCUCUAUGUUGUGUGGCUAGGCCAUCCUUAGGCGUAUUUUCUUUCUAAUAGGGGUUUAGGGGGUUGAACUUGCUGAGACAUUGUCUCAUCUCGGUUGGGGGAUUACAAUUCCAGGUCCCUGGUGGACAGAACGGCUAGAUAGCUUUGGUUGACCUUGAGGAGUUGUAGAGGUGAAGUCAUGAGUAUUAGAGAACGUGUCCGACUUGUAGGUCGUAGGGCAGUUCAUUUUUAAAAGCCGGUCUUUUGUAGACUUUUGGGUGUAGGCCUUCGUUUGUAACUCCAUUGGUUUAUGUAAGUGAUUGGUUGUGAAUUUGCUUCCUGUUUUUCUAUCCCGUAUUUCAUUGUGAGGGGUUUUAUAAUACGUUCCGCUUGCGCAAUAAUAAAUGAAUGGGGCCGGCGACACUACUUGGGAAUGUCACAUUUACAUGACCAUGGUGGGAUGGUGGCGCGCUCGAGGUUCAGGGCGUGACACAUCAUUAGUUUACUAAGCGGGGUUUAGUGAGUAAAACUCACUUGUUUAACAAGCAGUUCAGUGCAAAAUGACGAGAACGUCGCGGGACUCAACUUUCCUCAAGAUGGGCCUAGCAACCGAGGCUCAGGACUAUCUCUAAACGAGCAUAGAGCUUGCUGGAAAACCCUCUAGUUUAUCCUCUGUUCUUGGCUGCAAGCAAAGAGAACAAGGGCUAAACAAGGCAAGCAAGACCGGUGAAGGCUCAAGGAAGGCUGCACGAUACUUGGUGGGCUUAAUGGCAGCUUCGGCGGGCUUCCAUAGCCACUCAUGGCGGCUGGACAGCCACCUGGGUGCAUGGACAAAGGUAAACGACAGCUGGGACACACGGACAAGGCUGUUGGACGUCGAGCUAGGCAGUGGCGCAGCAAGGUAGCGGCAUGAGCGGACGGCUAUGAUAGCGAGGGCGUGCGACGGCGGGGUUCCUCCAACAGGUGGCUGGCCUUGGUUGGUCUUUUUGUUGGCUGCUAGUGUGCGAAAAUGAAGGACAUGGAGAGGCAAAGCCAGCUGGUUGCCUUAGUGAGGAAGAGAGGGGGAUAAAGGCUCCACCAAUGGCCAAAUUUUCCAUUCCCUUAUCUCCUUGACUAUCCACCACCACCCAUGUCUUCCUUGGCUGCAAUUCAGCCACCCAUACACUCUCCACAACUCUUGAAAUGGUCCAAAAUGGGCUAGGCAAGGAGGCAUACGAAUUUGACAAGCUUUGGCUUCAAUUGGACUUGAUUUCCUUUACAAUCCAAUCUCAUUUGGCCAUUACAAAUUCAAUUGACACAUCAAUUAUUAAAUUGGUAUUUUUCCUUACCAAUUGAUCCAUCUUACAUCUCAAUUGCGCAAUAAAAAAUGAUCCCGGCCUUUUUCUGAACAAAAAUGGCUUUAGGACGACUUUUUCCCAAAAAGUCUCUAGUUGCAAAAAAAAAAUCUUUUGAGAUUGAGUCAAUGCUCUUCGUAUUUAUUGCGACAUGACAAAAUCUUCAAUUUUUGAAAUCAGACUCAAAUUCGCAGUUAAUUUCCAUUCGGAGCGUUUUUAGCGUGACUUAGACUACCGGAUAACUUUUAGAAAUUUUCCAAUGCAAAUAACCUGUGGUCGAUUUUCUUUGAGCCACAAUGAACCCACUCGACACAUUGGCGACUCUUAAUUGUCGUGAAAAUAUCGAAAAUUCAAAUAUGGACACAAGAUACCAAAACGAUAGAAAAAUUAGUUUAGUGCCGGCCGACAAGAAUUUUCCAAUUUAGUGGUGUCACUCACAAUUAGCCACACAUCACUAUUGAACCGACCUAUUUUUUAUUUCAAAUCAAUUUUUAACUGUACCAUAAUGACCUCUAAAGAUGGACACGGUCGAGAAGCCGAUUUGUAGUCGAAUUCUCAAGUCUAUUGCAUUAAAAUUCCUUAAUGACUUCCCCAGAUAGUCUAGUUAUCUCAAGAGUGAUCAACUCUAAGAACAGCCUUAUAGACGCGUCAAUAAAAUGCCCAAUUUAUUCAAUAGAAAACAGGAUUAAAAAUCUAGGAUGUCACAAUCAGCUUAUGUAUCAGCUUGGGUGAGCUUUAAUAUGUAUAAGCUUGGGUGAGCUAUGAUAAAUAUCAGCUUGUGCAAGCAACCAUCUAUAUCAGCCUGCGCGAGCAUAAAUAUACUUUAACUUGUGUGAGUAGUGAUCGAAUUGAUUGAAUAGGUAAAUGGUAUCGAUUGGAUUGAAUUGAUUGGUUGAAAUUAUGAACUGUAUUGACAUGCGAAAGGGAAUUGAGGUAAGGUAAGUCUUCUAACUUGUGUGUAUAGCUGCCUCUAGGCAUAUUUCCUUCAUAGUCGGAAUUUAGGGGGUGAAUUUGCUGAGACAUUAUCUCACCCCGUCGUGGGCUCAACUUUUUCAAGUUCUUAGAUGGCGAUUCCUAUGGAAUGUUUUGGCCAACUCAAGAGGAUUACCGAGUAGGUCAUUGAUAUUCCUAUUCCCGGGGGCCAUGGAGUCUAGGUCUAUGAAUUCGUGACGACCACCGUCUGGGUCGAUGGUCUAGGUCGAUGCGGGCCUACCUCAAAGGGUACCCCAUCGAUUCAGAGCGUGAUAUCGUCACAGGCUCAAUAGACACAGAGAGGGUCCCCUACAGGAUUUUGAGGUCCUAGUUUCAACGUUAGAAAUCAAUUUUAGCAAGGGUACAACUGACCCUCCUAGUGGUGCAGUAGCGGACCAAAAUUCCCAAGAGACCUCGGAAUUUUCAGUUGGGGAUUCGAGUGCCUAGAGGACUUGUAGGCUUUUCUGCUUUGCUAGACUUUUGUCUUUAGACUAGUCUUGUAUAUAAACCGAGGUAUUUAUAAAAGUGUUUUUGGUUGUGAAUAUGUUUCUUGCUUUUCUAUCUCUUGUUGGUUGUUGUUAGGGAUACUUAUUUUGCUUCCGUAUGUGCAUUAAAAUUGAAUGGAUCAACGACGCAUCUUGGGACAUCACAAAUUUAUCAACCACCGAGGAAUGGGCACGCGUUCGAAAAUCGAGGUGUUACAUUAGUAUUGCAGUAUAGUUGACAAGCUGGCCAUGGAUCUUGGUGUAGACCAACCCAAAUUUAAUCUUGACAAGUGGCUAGAGAGAGGAUCCCACUAUCUUUCCAAUCCAAGCUCGUCCAUAGAUUUUUCUAUCACGAAAAAGGAAAACAAAGUGAAAAAUAGAAAGCAUAUACAUAAAUUUUAUUUCCUUUUUCUUAUUUAUUUGUAUAUCUUCUUACUAAUUGCUAAGCUGGAUGCACUAUAUAUCUUAGUCAUCUCAUGUGUCACUUAUUAUCCUUAAAUGUCUAUCCCUCCAAUCCCUUCCAAUUAAGGCAUCGCCUUGGGAACAUUCAUCAUUCACGAGCUUAAAUGGAAGCUAGCUUCUGUUAGAUGGAAAAAGUUCGACCUCGUCGUUCGGGAUGAGUUACAAGUCUACUGAAUAGCCUCAUGUUGCAACAUGACAAUUUUGAUUCAAGAAUAUUUCAGAUGCCCAUGACCCUUAUGUUUGCAUACGUCGACAUGAGGAAAAUCAUAAGAGGCAAUGGAUGAACAAUUUUUCGCUUUGCCAACCUUUAAAAGGUGUCCGACCAAAAACAAAAACCUUAAAGAGGUGUCCUCAAACCAAAAAAUAAAAUAGAUUAAAAACCUCAAAGAGGUGUCCAAUGAUGUUGAAAUUUACGCAAGCAGUUCGAAAAUAUGCUCAACGGAGACGUUUCUUUCUUGGAAUCAAUCGAUGUGUAACUCAAAUGUGAAGCCCAAGGUGCAGGCAAGUUAUUUCAUUCAUUUCGCUAAAUCUUCCCCGUAUAUGUCUUUGUCAUUGUUCAUUUCUAAUAUGAUCUUUCUUUGCCUUCGCUAUUCUUACUCGUGGAUCUUGGAAAUGACUACUAUGAAUCCGGUGCAUAUGUUGCCGUGUCAGUGCUAAGGAGAAUCUAGCUGAGUAAAGAUAUCACCAAGUUAUAUAGCCAUCAUUCUUAUUUUAUUCUAUUGAACAUGUAUUAUUAGGGUGAUGGUGAACCAGCUUAACUCUCUGCUAAUCCGAUGAACAACCCGGUCUCACCAUCUGUACUCCGGCUGCUCCGGCUAUGUAUUGCUAUUGCUCUCGGAUGAGCUAUUGAUUGCCCCGGAUUUGCAAGACGCUGAAAUUGGAAGAAAGAACGAAAGGACCCAAAAUGCUUUUAAAUUUAAAAAAUAAAAAAUGCAAUUGAAUGGUGAUGGAGAACCUGGAAACUGUCACUCAAUUAAAAUGGGAAAAAGCUUCAACGCAAUUUGAGAUUUACAAGCAGAGAACAAGCCUUUCAUGGGAUCUAAUUAGGUGACGAAGCAUCUGUCUAUGCACUCAGAUCUAUUAAUGGUCACUGGGAGAUUUCAACUUUCCCAACAUCUUACUCUAGAAGAGGAUCUCUCCUCCAUGGUCAAAAGAAAAAAAGAAAAAGAAAAAAACUCUAACAGUGGCUAGCUACGCCAGACAUGACUACAAGCUUUGGUUCCACCUAUAGUCAAUGUCUAAAGUACAGACUAUCUCAUGAAAGUAACAUACUCUAUGUUGUAAUUUUUUUUAACAGUAGUCAUAUUAAAAGGCUAUUAGUUUUUGUUAUCAAGUUAGAAUUUUCUAAACAAUCCACUAAUGGUUACAGAAUCAUAGAAAGACAUAGGAACUUUCAGUCCUUCAACAAUCCCACGUUAGAAGUAUAGAAUUGUACAUGAUGAUGGUAAGUUGGGUAGUACUUUCCUCAACAUUAAUUACUCAAAACAUUGUGCUACUAAUUUUUAUUGCCACAUUGGCAAUUACUAACUUCGUGAUAUUUUCACCGGGAAAGUUGAAUUUAUCCCAACAACUCUAGAAGUGAUUCUCUUCCGUUCUCAAAAAAGACAAGAAUAAAAAAGCUCGAAAAGUGACUAUGUAUGCCAAAUGUGCUCACUAAGAACUUUUGCUGCAUCUAUAGUCCACAGUUGGAAAACCCAAUAUAUUCAUCCGUGAAAUAAACAUUCUCAAAAUUGUGAUAUUCACAACGUAGGUCACUAACUUAGUGCUAGUGAUUUUUUUCUUUUCAAGUCAAUAACUUUCCAAGCACAUCAAGUAAUGGUCAUGGGAGCACAAAAAGACAGAUUUAGGUCCGUCUACAGUCCUAUAGUCCAAUACACAGUUGUGUCUCUGUUGGAGAAAUCUUUCCAGAAUAUUUUGAAGCUGACAAAACAUUUCUAUCAGUCUAAGUCUGGAUAUCGAUAGUUAAAGUCUCAAGAUUUUAUAGUCUCAAGACUCUGUUAUCUCAAGACUCAAGACUCAAGACUCAAGACUCAAGACUCAAAGUUAUUCUCACUGACAGUCUUUCUAAUCCAGUGUUGAAGGAAAUCCAAAGUCGAGGUUUAUGAUUGAGGAUUUGAUCCUAUCCUCUGGGAUAGAUUCUUUGGUUGGAUAAUCAUUUCGGAUUCUUUAUAUCUUAUCUAAGAACGAUUGAAGAUCCGAUGGUCGACGAAAUAAUCUUGGAUUAUUCUAUUCUUGGAAACCGAGAUCCUGAUUGUAUGGGCGAACAGGAUUGAUGGGCUAUCAUCAGAUUCCUUAUAUAGCUCGGAUGAUCUUCUUGAUUGAUUCCGUCCAACGGGUAGAUUGGAGGAAUUCCUUUGGUAAGUGCCAACGGCUAUGAUGGCAUGAAGGAGUAUAAAAGGAAGACGUUCUAGUUGUUUUAAGUGUGUGAUCGAUAGAAAAAUUCCAGAGUCUGAAGAUCCUUUGAUUGUUAGUUGAGACUGAGCGAAAUUGUAUACUGAGAGUGUUUAUACUUGGUGACGUCUUGAGCAAGUGUGGUAGAUCAUCUACACCUAGAAAUCAAGGAAGAUCAACACUGUAACAUCUCUUUGAUCAUAGUGGAAUCCAGCCAAUCGGCUGUCAGUGCAGAAGAGUGGACGUAGGCUUGAAUCAAGCCGAACCACUAUAAACUGAGUGUUCAAUUCUCUCUUUCCCUUACUCAGUCUUGCGAUUGAAUUUUCAACUGUUGCAAAGUCUCUAAUUGUUUAAGUAUCGUGCAAACAUCGAGAAAUUUUUUGUGUAUACCUAUUCACCCCCCUCUAGGUACUCGUACUAGCUAUCUCAGUCUCUUGAUCACAAUUCCCAUAUAAUUUGUUUUCCCAGCAUGAGUUCGUAACUCUGUACUAGUAACUUCCAUUAUGGAGUCAAUCACUUUCUUAACAGAUCAAGUGCGGGAUCAUAGAAGGACACAGAGAUUUGAGUUUGUCUACAAUUCCAUGUAAAAAAGAAAAAUAGAAUUGUAUCUUGUGACAGUAAAUUUAUCAGUGUGGUGAUAAUUUUCUCAACUUGGAUUAGUAGCUUAGAAGUAGUAUUAAGUUUCAAGCAGGUCAUAUGGUCUCAAGAUCAUAGAAUUCUUCGGUGAUGUUCAACCUAUCUGCUCAUUCUAAAUUACCCUAUCAAAAACAAAACUCCUCACUGAUAGAGAAAGGUUCAAUAUAAAUACCAGUACAUAACCCUGAAAUUAAGUAUCUCUCAUUGUGUAUUGUCCUUUUCAUAAAAAUUGAUAACGUUGCAGCACUCUUUAAAUGUUUUAACACCGGGACUAAUAGAAAGCAGGACAAAUUGAUGACCAGCAAAUUUAACCAGCACAACAAACUGUACAGCACACAAUCUACUAAUAUUGGUUUGAUGGACAAAAGCAACAAGCUUCUUCACUACACAAGCCUCUUAGAACAUUAGGGCAAAAAACAUUAUUAAUCAUUAAAGACCUCUCUUUCUGGUCUUAGCAGCUCAUAAAACUGCAUUGUUAGAUCAUACAUAAAAAUUAUUGAGAGAUUCUAUUGCAGGUUUCGCAAGUUUUUGGAUAGUGGUUAAUAGAUGCACAGAAGAGUGAUGAUGCACGGCAAGUAAUAGGAAGGAAACUAAAGCACCGAUGGGAAAGAGGGCGACACCUUUGCAAGAAGCUUUGCAUUCUCUUCUUUCAAAGACCUCUCCUGAGGUAAACCAAAUAAAGUUGCUAGAUUAAUAUAACCAGGAAAUUAACAACGCCUGAUGAGAUCGGAUAUGCAAUCAUCAUAUUUGUCCACUUACCUUUGCUUGCAACUGCUGUAUUUGAUCGUUCAAUAAUUGAGCCUGUAAAAGAGUUCCGUAGAAAUAUUUUAACUUUCGUGUGUGCAUGUUGUCCCCAUACCUUUCUUAUUACAAAGUAAGAAUAAAAGAAAAGAGAGAAAAUAAGUUGAAAUGAUGAACGAUAGUAAUGAAAGGACGAUGCUUUGCAACUUAUCCAGAAACAUAGUUCAAGUGAGAAGUAGUACAUGGAAAUCAGCAAGGUUAACAUAAUAAAAAACUCAUGGUAUUCUAUUAUUUCGUGUUAUAAGUAUCAAUUUUUGUGAAUAAGUGUCAAGAAAUCAUUUAUAAAAAAUGAUCGAUGACUUUUUUUUGUCAGAGAAGAAAAGCCAGUUAUCUAACCAAACCAAAUAAACUUGUUAACUAAUCAAAGAAGAGUUGGUAACACCGAAUUAGUUAGUUACUUAAUCAGAGAAAAGUUAGUAACUCCUAUAAUUAUAAUUGGUAAUUUCUAGUUGGGUUCAUAAGUAAGGCAAAUAUUUAUGUGUGCACGAGUCUCAUAAGUGAAGGGUGAAGACGAGUGAGAGUAUUUUUUUCAACAGAACCUAUUUUAUAACUAAGAAAGUGAUAAAGAGAAGAAAGAUCUGCUGAAGUUGUUGGCAAGUAAAACAGAAGAGAGAGAGUAGACGUCACUCUCCACCAUAAGACAAUGUUUCCACUAUCUCAAGAGUAGUCAAAGGAAGGGUUAGAGCAGGAAAAAGUGCACUAAGAAAGACCAUAUGAGCGUUGGCAAGUUAGUCCCAAAAAAAUAAGUCUAUAAGUCUAUAAAGUUAGUCAAAUAGAGUUAGUAACCAAAAAGAGUUAGUGAUUUAAGCAAAACAUAGGUCUAUAAGUCAUACAAAGAAAUAUCUGAAAAUAUAUAUAUAAGAGCUAAUAAAUUUAAAGGAAUGGCAAGAAAAAAUAAAUAAAAUUUACUAAAAAAAUAAGAGAGAUUGAUAAUUGCACAUUAUUGAAAAGAGUUGGUGAUUUCAUAAAAGUGUAAGUUACCAAUAAGUCACCUAGAAAUCAGGUAAUUGAAAAAUUUUAUUUUUUAUCAUGGUUUUUUGUCACUUACAACUCUUUCAUAGGUUUAUCAAAAACUAUCCAAUUUAUUUUGGAAAGAUGAACAAUAGAGUCGUCCAAAUAACUCUAGGAAAAAUAAUGAUAGAAGAAUAAUCGUGAUAUUUUCCUUGUUUAUUGGCAAAAAAAGAACAGGUCAAUAACUAUGAAGAAAAAGGGUGAUUUGUAAAUGUGCUUUCAUUCUUUCUUAUAAGGUAGAAAACGCCAUGUAUGCUCGGAGAAAAUUGAUUCUCUCCUUUCAGAUGCCAAGUUUAACGUUUUUAGUCUAUUCAGUUCCAAUCUUACAAUGCGAUUAGAGUCUCUAUCGAAAUUGGUAUUUUGGCUCCUGUAUGCAUAUGGUCAGUCUUGUUAGUUAUUUGAGAGAAAUUGUUUCUCAUUGUUUUUUUUCCCUUCUCACCAUAUCCAUGCCUCCAAACACAACGGCUACUCGAUGAAAGUUCUCAAGACAUCUACUUCGCUCAGAGAAAAGGACAAAUAUGCCAAAGACACAUGUACCUUUCUUUCCCUAAUGCUGCUCAAACUUCGCUCGAGCUGAUCCCCUAUCUCUUGGAUUUCGUCCAUCGAGCAAGAUCCAAGACAUUGUCCUGAUAGCUUCCUGAUGUAAAAAAGAAAAGGAGUACCAUAGUUUAGUGAAUUAGAUAUCAAGAAUCCAUUUCGAUCCACAAUAUAUAAGAGAGAAGUCUCAAAAUUUGUGGACCGUAGAGAAACUUCAAGAAGCUCAAUCUUCCUCUCCAUAUCUGUGGUUUCUUGCUUCAGACGCUGCACAUAUAUGGAGAUUGUGAUAUUUAUGAAUCUAGUGAACGGAACCAUACAAACUGAACAAAUUUGAAAUUAGUGAUGGAUAAAACCAAUCAUAGUGAACAAAUCUGUACCACCACGGGAUCCUUCAAAACUAAGAUUGCUACUAUAAGAACCCUAACGUUCUUGCAAAAUUUGUAGCUGUCAUAGUGAAUUCUAUGGCUUACCACCUCAGUAAUUCUUGAGAUCAAAAGUAGGGUUCUUAUCAAGAACGCGAUUCAGUAUUAUUACAAUCUGUAAAUACAUAAAUAUACGUUCACACCAACAAUCAAUUUUAUGACUUCCUUCAAGAAAACAAUAAGAUGUAAAUGCCCAAGUGGUGGAUGAUGAGUGGGAAUUCAGAAGCUGAAAGAAUUUUAGAGGACCAGUCAAUGUCUUCAGGACAUGUACAAAGACCAAAAUAGCUCUUUUAAUGUUAUAUUUAACUUGACCUAUUUUUCUCUCUAUACAUAUCUGCAGUUUCUCCUAUUUGCUUCCCAGUCAUUGCCAAACCACAUGAAUAACAGUGGUAAGGCUGCAAUAAUAUUAUAGGUCCUUUAUCUAACCAUAACAGUGUAAGAGUUUUCCUAAUGUGGGCUAUAUUAAUUGAUAUUGUAAUUUACCGUUUUAUGGGGUUUGGUCUACGGUGAAAGAGAAGGUUUCUUAAUUAGUCUAAUAUGGGGUUGGUUAGUGUGGGCCGAGUUGAGCCUAACCGUAAUGAGAAGACCUAGUUGGAAACUCUAUAAAUAGUGCUCAAAUCUCUCCUCUAACCCUAAUUCUCAUAAAUAUCCUCACAUAAGGAGCAUUUACCUAGAAAGGGUGAGGGGGCCGUCUCAUUGAGCCAGUAAUACAGAGGGCAAUAGAGGAAAAAAACUUGAAUUGAUUUAAAAGAAAUUCAACAAUUGACUUAGCAUAAAGUACGUUUAUCCGCAACUUAUUGUGGAUAUAUACACCCUCUCAUUAAUAGAAAACUUAACACAUUAAAGAUGUAUUCGGAAGUUGAAUGUCACUUGACUCUAUCCCUCUUUGUACAAUGAUACCAUCAUCAUAAGUAUGAUCCCUACUUUGUGGUUCUAGUGAUCCAUUAGAUCAUGUAUGCAAGUAGAUUGUUGCGUAAUUCUUUGCAUACGAGGUGACUAUUUAUGUAUACACAAGUAUAUAUUACUAGAUUGUAGGGGAAAUAGGAUUUCUUGCCAUUUGUGUUCAUAUAUAGACUUCUUUGUAAGUCCCAUCCUGAAAUAAGUUAUGUAAUGUGAUGUUCUAUGUUAAUCCACACACACACGGGAGAAAAAAAAAGAAAAAAAAAACAGAGGAAGUUGCUUUCUUACAUACAGCAAAAUGAAUAAAAAUUGAACUGCUCAGCUUGCUUAACCUCUACAUAAUGUGCUUACGAAUGCAACUAAUGUAUCAUCAUGGAAAGGUUAGAGAACUGACCAGAAUAUAUUGUUCCAUACAAGCCUGGUAUACAGCCGCAUCAUUUGUAGAUCUACAAUAUCGAUCAAUUGUCUUUCGGAUUCUGAAAAAUUUGCAAAGAUAACAUAUGAGCUCAGCCACUGGGAAUACAUUCUCCAAAUUAAUCAGGUAUCGUCAAAACUAAAGUAAUCAAACACUAAACAAAUUAAUAAUCAUUUUUGUGAAUCAUGCAUGACUUCCAGUGAAUAUGUAUCACCAUCACUCACUAACAGAAUAUGCAGGGAGCAUAAGCCUCUGCAAGAAGCUUUUAGCCUCUCAGCAACUAAUUUGCAACGAUCUGAAGUACUUGGAAAAGUCUUGGUUGCCCACCUUAUACUUUGUAAAUAAUUGAUGCUAGAGAGAGUGUAGAAAAGUAGAAAGUAACACAAAUGAGAACUUAAAUGAAUAGGUCGCUUGCCACUCGUAGGAAUUCAUCUAAGAGAUAAGAGCAAAACAAAAAAUCCUUAUUGUUCUCAAGCCAAAGUCUAAAUAAGUUACAAAUCAAAACAAGUCUACCUCCUCAUUCAUCAUAGCAUGCUUAUAUAGAUGAGUUUGGAAUAACUCUUCAAGCAUGAGUAAUUACCAAGACUCCUUGAAAAGACAAAAAGACUUAUAGGAAAGACAAAACAAGUCUUACUAGAAAAUAACUAUAAUUAAAUAAGGACGCCAUAAACUUAAAUGACAUUUACUAAACCUUGAAAAUAUGAGAAUUAAAUGUAGUUGGUUGUAAGUAUCCUAAUUUUACUAGUUCUGAAUUAAUGGAAUGCUCCAGCAUCAAUAAUCAUGCCAGCAAUAUUUUUCUUCAAAUUUUAGCGUAAAUGUUCAAUUUCACAUCAUAAAAGUAUAUUAUGUGCGCACGCAAAGUAUAUUUAAAUAUGAGCGUAGAGUGAGCUAAUGCACUGUUUUUGCCCAAGCCCAAAUACUUCAAUAUAUUCUACAUGCCACUCCAUGUCAGUAAGAAGUAAGAACAGCACAUGAUGCUCGUAAAAUCAUUGUGAAGCAGUACAAGGACUCACUACUUCAGAGAGAGAUUGUAAGAGCAAGCAGUUGCACCUACAUUUAACUUGUGACUUCAAGUACUUUUUUUCCCGGUAAAUGAAGAAGAGGGAAUACUUACAUGGUGAGCAACUAAAAUGGCAAGCAUGUACAAUUGCAGUCACUUUUGGACAUAAAUACUCUAUUUAUAAGAAAUCCAAGAGAUCAGUGUGUCGUGUCAUAUUAGCCUUAAUCUAUUAUACUGGUGAAUGCACUCGAUCCCAUAAAAGCACCACUACACAAAUCUAGUCAAGCCCAUAAUCUUAUUCACCUUUCAGAGCACCCUAUAAUUAAAAGAACCUGAAGUUGGAGAUGUCAGGACUAGUUUCACAGGCUUUUGCUUAGGGUUAAAAGUACCACUAAAAAAUCAACUUGAAAAUCUUUUGCAGGUUUUGUUUGAUUCAGAAGAGAGAUUAAUUAUGCUUUAAGUUUCGAUUCAAUGAACCCUGAUUUGAAAUGCUUCUUGAUUAUGGUGGUAGAUAGGUAACACAUUAUUUGAUUUCCUGACUAAUAUAAUGCAUUUCAUAUGAAAUUUCUAGUUUUUUUUUUUUUUGUGGUCACCCAAGAUCUACCGGGUUCGACUUUCCCUUACGAUAAGCCAACUCAUGGCCCGUACAGUAUGCGAUGCACCUCAGACCAAGCAUCAAUACCUGAGGGGAAGCUAGCACAGGACCCCAUCACCAUGACCCUCCACUUAAGUUGUGUUAGAAGCUGCAAAAUUUCGACCUUGGAACCUCUACGAUAAAGUGCCCAAAGCCGAACCAACAUUGCUGCCCACCAGUGGGUUGAAAUUUAUAGUUUUUGCCUUGUGUUAUGGUCAUAAACUUGAAGCAUGGAUCUUUAUGAUUUGUAAGAUAGCU